AGAGUAACGGGUUUGGGAGAAGUACAAAAGUUGGUUAUAUCACGGUGAAACAUCAUCAAGGGGUCCACAUGAUCCUGGGCAAUUUUUUGAGACGGGUAGUACAUCCAACGAUCCAACAACGGCCUUCAUCAACGAAUGUUUCCUUAUGAGAGCGGUGUAUGCGCUCAAUGACAGUAUAUGCCUGACCCGGUGCAGCCCUUCCCUAGAGCUGUCAACACUGUUGGUAUUGACAUGUACAACAAACUGCUUGCUUUCCAACAGACCCCUGUGUACCCCAGUUGUCAGAAGACCGUUUUUGAAAGUGUGAUGGACGUAAUGAAGAUUAAAGUUGAGACAAAAUCGACCGUGAAGCUAUUAAUGAUUAUCUACUGUACACUGCUUCGAUGCUGCCCCACGGUCAUCGUCUUCCUACCACUCAUCAUAAGGUCCGAUGUAUCCUAAAAGAUCUUGGGCUUUCCUACAUCAAGAUCCAUGCAUGCAGAUAUGACUGCGUUCUCUUCUAGGGUAAAGAUCCAGAAGGGAAUGACCUUGGUGGCUUUGACGCAUGUCCGGUAUGUCACACUAACAGGUAUAAGCUGACCAAAUUACGUAAUAUAGGGGGAGAUAUGAGCGUUUUCGUGAAUUUAUAGACUUUAGCCGACGAAAAUAUAUGAAAAGUCGUCGGCUAAGGUCAAAAAAUUUCAAAAUUUUUUAGGCGGUAAACCAAAGUUGGAGGAAAAUUUUCAAAGGACUUUAGCCGACGAAAAUAUAUGAAAAGUCGUCGGCUAAAGUCGAAAAAUUUUCAAAAUUUUCAAAAUUUUCAACCAAAAUUUUCAAAAGAGUUUAGCCGACGAAAAUAAAGAAUUUCGUCGGCUAAAGUUCUUUAUAUAGGCGAAGAUGGAUGGUAAGAAGUCUAUUAUCUGCCAGAUUUUCUUCUCGGCCUAGCUCCGCCGUCAAGCCACCGGAGACCGUCACACUUGUCCCAAAAGCUUCGCCGUCGUCUCUACUUCAUUGCUGGAUAGGUGGUGCAUCGAGUGGCGCCGCCGUGAGGGAUAAAUCGAGCUCCAAAACUCCGCCGGUUCGGAUUCGGUGUCGAUCAAAUUUCUCAUUCAUUAGGUCACCAUUUGGUGAGUUCUAUAUAUGGAUAAGUUGAGUUUGAUUAGUACUACAUUCCCCUAGAAUUUGGUAGCUCGAUUCGGUGUGUGUGAAGAGAAUCGAAGAUUUGAAGUUUUUAGGGUUUAAAAUUGGGGAUUUUUAUAUUUUCAGUCGAUUGACCUGUUUAGGCUUAGAAUUGAGCUUCGACUUCUUCUACAAAGUUGUUCGAAAUGUUGAGAGGAAGAUUCUGUCAAAUUUUGGUGGUGAUUGGAGGUGGCCGAAAGUUUCUGCAGUUUUUUUUUUCAAAACCCAGAAACUUUAGCCGACGAUAUUUAAACACUAUAUUCGUCGGCUAUAGUAUUUUUAAAUUUUUUUUUAUAAGGUUUAGCCGACGAAUUAUGCCAUAAUUCGUCGGCUAUAGUUAUUUUUUAAAAAUUUUUAUAAGGUUUAGCCGACGAAAUAUUUUAUAUUUCGUCGGCUAUAGUUAUUUUUUUAAAUUUUUUAUAAGGUUUUAGCCGACGAAAUAUAGUAAAUUUCGUCGGCUAUAGUUAUUUUUAAUUAUUUAUUACACACUUUAGCCGACGAAUAUAUUAAUUGUUUCGUCGGCUAAAGUCUGGGAAAAAAACCGACGACAUGUUUUUCGUCGGCUAACUGUGAGACUAUAGCCGACGAAAAAAAAAAAUUUCGUCGGCUAAAGUCAUCACAGACGACCUUUUUCCCGACAACACUAUAGCCGACGAGCCUUCGUCGGCUAAGAUGUUAGCCGACGAAUUAAGAUAACAGGCCGACGAAAAUUUUUCGUCGGCUAAAGUGCUUGUCCUGGUAGUGAAAGUUCAUCUCAUGGAUCGUUGUGAGCUUAUCACAUUCUCUGUCGAAGUUGACUGACAAUUCCUAGCGGAUUUCUGAUUUCUUUCCUUAUGCCAUAUGGAUUUCUUUUCCUUCAAGAUCUCUCCUCUUUUGCUUCUUUUCUGCUCCUCUGCUUUAUUUGCGACCUAAAAAUACAAACUAAGUUAAAAUGAAUAUUGUUAAAGGAAUUACAUAGCUAAAUAGGGUUGGAAAUACAUUAAGAACGUUGCAUAAAAUGCACCUAUCAAAUUCCCCUACACUUAGCUUUUGCUAGUCCCUUAGCAAAAUCAAACAAAAGACUCAAUACACACAAACCAGAAAUUACACAACUACAAAACUCAACAAACAAACAAACAACUCUAUUGCCCAUAACAUAUUGUCUCAGAAUCUCCAAUCAUGGCAUCAAAAUUAGCACUCAAUCAAGAAUCAUUCCAUGAAGUUUCAGAAGCUAAUUGCCAUGCAUAGAUAACAUAUUUACAUGUAGGACCUGAUAGAACAAUGGUGAUAUUUAAGCUCAGCAUGUUUCAAACAACUAUGAGUCAUUCUCACAAGGUAUGCACUCAUUUUUCACUCAGAUUUUCUGGCUAAAUCACUCAAUAAGUAUGCAAGUUAGAAUCAGAAAGUUUGCAUUUAUAUGAACAAAAGCACAAUAGAACAGAUAUAAACCUCAUGAAAGAAUCAAUUACUCACACAAAUGAACCAUACCAUAGGCUCAACUCUUGGAACAAACUUCACAGAUCAAGUUUUACUCAUCUUUUGGACCAAAAGGAACUUUACAAGGUAUUAAUGGGGCUGCUAGGGUAUGAAUUUAAGAGUAGGUAUUGCAAAGAAUUCCUAAGGACCUAGCAGAGAAUUCAAACACGUCUUAUGUCGCCAAAGCAAGGGCCUAAUGUCAUCUUGUUGGGCCCUUUGUCAUUCUAAACACCUUCAACAUUGUGAAAAAGAACAAAGGCCAAAUAUUCUGUUUUUGGGCCUUCCAUUUACAACCAAAACUCCCAUUUCACAACACAAAGACAUUGUCCAUUUUUUUCUUUUUAUUUUUCUGCCGAAAUUUUGUUUUGUUUUGUUUUUGUUUUUUUUCACGGCAUUUUCUUUUCUCUUUAAACAACAAGGACAUUUCAGAAACUUCUUCCCCCACACUUGCUCUUCAUUGUCACCUCCAGUAGUCUUCACACAAAAUGCUCUACUAGGUCCAAAAGAUAAGGGUAGAGAUAUCACUGUACUAAGCUCAGGUAAAAAUUAUAUGGGUGAUAAAAGAAAAGGCUUAAUGUAGGCUCAAAGGGGCUCAAACUAAGGGGUAUGCAGCGCACACAAAUAGGGACACACGUUUAUUUGGCAAUGGUGAUCAUCCUAAAAAGUUCCAUUUAUCCUUUCCAAAAUUAGAGUGUUUUAUGAUUAAAAGUUUCGAAAGUCCAUAAGAGUGAGUUCUAGUCAUCUAGAGUUCAUUAAAAGUUGUGGUGAAAUCAAACUAAAAGAAUAAUGAGGGUUUUGAAAAAUUAUAGCCAAGAAAACAAAUCAGAAUAUUUCAAUUAUCACUCAAAAAGAAUAGCACAUAUAUAGGCUCAAAAGCUCACAUUUAAGGUCAUAUGAAUCAAAAACUUGUCUUAGCCUGCUCAUUUCUGUACCAGAGAUUCAAAUCAUAUCCACUACAUUUCACAUGAUUUCUAUCCAUUUCAAUUAACAACCGAAUAUCAGUUAGAAAUCAUCUCAAUCUUGUGAUCUUUUCUUAUCCAUAAUUUUAGAGAUUAUCACUCAUCAUAGACAGUUAAGGGCUCCUAAGACUUAAAAACAAAAGAAAAGACUAAAACAAAAAAAACAACAAUUAUUAUUAUUAUUAUUAUUAUUUUCAAUAAAAGAUAUAAAAAGAUGUAAAUCCUUCCCCCACACUUAAAUCCUACAUUGUCCACAAUGUAACACAAGAUGAAGCAUAGAAUCAAAGCAUGGAAAGACAGAGUCACGAAAAACAAACAAAAGAGAAGAAGGGAGAAGAAAGCAAAUCUGUGUUGAUGGCUCCUCCAUAGCUUUGGUUGAAUUGGGUUGCCUCCCAAGCAGCGCUUAAUGUUUAGAGUCUUUCAGCCUAGACUUUGUAUCUCCAUUUAUCCAUGUGAUGGCACAUCUUGAAGGGAUACUUCCUCCACACUGUGUUCCUCAAAAGCCUCGUAGUAAGGCUGCAAUCUGUGGUCAUUCAUCUUGAACUCGUUCUCGGAUGUGAGACUCUUUAUCUGUAUAGCACCAUGAGGAAAAAUAUUAGUAACAAUGAAAGGUCCAAUCCAUCUAGAAUGCAAUUUACCUGGAAAUAGUUUAAGUCUAGAAUGGAAGAGUAGAACUUUCUGGCCCACUUUAAAAAUUUUCCUUGAAAUCAUCUUAUCAUGAAAGGCCUUUGUCCUCUCUUUGUAAAUCCGAGCACUAUCAUAGGCCUCAUUUCUUAUCUCUUCAAGCUCAUUCAAUUGAAGCUUCUUGUGUAAACCUGCCUCAUCAAUGUCCAUGUUAAAUGUUUUCACCGCCCACCAAGAUUUGUGCUCCAAUUCCACCGGAAGGUGGCAUGCCUUCCCAUAGGAAAGUCUGAAAGGUGACAUUCCAAUUGGGGUCUUGUAUGCUGUCCUAUAGGCCCAUAAUGCAUCAUCAAGUCGCUGACUCCAAUCUUUGCGUGUAAGGCCCACCGUCUUCUCUAAAAUCCUCUUGAUUUCUCGGUUUGACACCUCUGCUUGUCCAUUUGUCUGAGGAUGAUAAGGAGUAGACACUUUAUGCGUGAUAUUAGUGAUGGAGGAUCCCACUUCUGCUUGUCCAUUUGUCUGAGGAUGAUAAAGAGUAGACACUUUGUGCGUGAUACUUCUUGGGUAGAGCCGCGAUUGUCCUGUUGCAAAAGUGCGAUCCUCCAUCACUAAUGACAGCACGAGGCAUUCCAAACCUACAAAAGAUAUGAGAAUGGAGGAAAUCUGUAACAACUUUGGAAUCAUUAGUUUUGGUGGCUUUUGCCUCCACCCAUUUCGACACGUAAUCAACCGCUAGAAGAAUAUACAGAAAUCCAUUGGAAGAAGGAAAGGGUCCCAUAAAGUCAAUACCCCACACAUCAAAUAUUUCAACAACUGUCACAUUAGUUAAGGGUAUUUGGUCUUUAGGACCUAGGUUACCUAGCCUCUGACAUCGAUCACAAGUCAUACAAAACAUAUAUGCAUCCUUAAAUAUCGUAGGCCAAUAGAAACCACAAUCCAACACCUUAAGAGCUGUCUUACGUGAACCAAAGUGACCACCACAAGGCUCAGAAUGACAAAAAGCAAGUAUAGAUUUAUGCUCAGAUUCUGGGACACACCUCCUAAUUAUUUGAUCACUGCAAUGUUUCCACAAAUAAGAUUCAUCCAAAAUAUAGUACCUAGCAUGCUUCUUAAGUCUAUAUAUCUUUAUUAGCACGAGUCAAAGUGUCCGGAAAUUGCCUAGUCACUAAAUAGUUCACAAUAUAUGCAUACCAAAGUUCACUUACCUCAAUUCCGAAGAGUUGUUCAUCCGGAAAGUUCUCUUGUAUGGCAAUGGUGUCCUCCUCAUGUACCAAUCUACUCAAGUGAUCUGCUACAACAUUCUCACUCCCUUUCUUGUCCCUAAUCUCGAUAUCAAACUCUUGGGGUAAAAGAAUCCAUCGUAUGAGCCUCGGUUUUGCUUCCUUCUUUGUAAGCAAGUACUUCAUAGCUGCAUGAUCAGUGUAAACAAUAGCUUUAGUCUGAUCUAAAGCAAAAACAACAGCAAGAAGUUCUUUUUCUGUAGUAGAAUAAUUCAAUUGAGCAUCAUUAAGAGUCCUUGAGGCGUAGUAAAUAGCAUAGGGCCUCUUGUCCUUCCGUUGUCCUAACACAGCUCCAACUGCAUAGUCUGAGGCGUCACACAUCAACUCAAAGGGUAGAGAGCAAUCCGGAGGGAGCAUAAUAGGAGCUGAUGUGAAAAGCUCCUUCAACCUCUCAAAUGCCUUCUUGCAAUCGUCGUCAAAUUCGAAGGGUACAUCCUUUUACAGUAAAUGACAUAGAGGUCUGGCUAUCUUGGAAAAGUCCUUAAUAAACCUGUGAUAAAAUCCUGCAUGGCCAAGAAAUGAAUGAACCUCCCUCACAGAAGUGAGAAAGGGUAAGUAACGAACAAGAUCAACUUUGGCUUUAUCGACCUCUAUUCCCCUAGCAGAUAUAAUAUGUCCCAACACAAUGCCUUGUCGAACCAUAAAGUGACACUUUUCCCAAUUUAGCACCCAGUUAGUUUCAACACAACGUUUUAAGAUUAGUUCUAAAUUCUCUAAGCAUGCAUCAAAACUCUUACCAAAGAAAAUAGACAUCCAUGAAAACCUCAAUGAUCUUUUCAAUGUACUCAGAGAAAAUAGACAUCAUAUAACGUUGAAACGUACCUGGAGCAUUGCAUAAACCGAAAGGUAUGCAUCUAUAGGCAAACGUACCAAAUCAGCAUGUGAAGGUGGUCUUCUUUUGAUCCUCCUGAGCUAUGCAAAUUUGAUUGUAACCACUAUAGCCAUCCAAGAAGCAAUAAUACUCAUGACCUGCUAACCUCUCUAACAUCUGAUCAAUGAAUGGCAAAGGGAAGUGGUCCUUCCUGGUGGUGGCAUUGAGCUUUUUGUAGUCCAUGCAGACUCUAUGUCCAGUCACAACUCGUUGAGGCACUAGCUCAUUCUCUUCAUUCUUCACCACAGUCACUCCAGACUUCUUUGGCACCACUUGGACUGGUGAGACCCACUUGUUAUAUGAAAUAGGGUAGAUAACAUCACAAUCAAGUAAUUUAAUAACCUCAGUUUGAACUACCUGCAUCAUGGGUGGGUGGAGGCGUCUUUGGGCCUCUCUGGUGGGCUUAGCGCCAUCUUCAAGCAAAAUCCGAUGCACACAAGUUGUAGGGCUUAUACCCUUGAUGUCUGCCAAAAUCCAACCAAUGGCGGUCUUGUACUUCUUCAAUAUUUCCACAAGCCUUUCCUCUUGCUCCUUCUCGAGCAUAGAAGAUACAAUUACUGGCAAUGUCUCAUUGUCUCCCAAAAACACAUACUUCAAGUGAUCUGGUAAAACUUUAAGUUCAAGAGUUGGGGCCUGUACCACUGAAGGAAGAAGUUUAUUAGUCGAAAUGGGAAGUGACAAAGGAGGAUCAUAACUAUCUAUGGUGGCAUGGCCUCAAGAGAAGCCACAGUUUGGAUGAUAAUAGGACUAAAGUUCUCUUCAAGUUCUGCCUUGGUGAUGUUGGUGCCAUGUUCAUUGUAACCAACUCCUUGAGCGAUUGUUAGCGCCAACUCAUCAUCCGGAAUUUCAUCCAAGAAUUUCUGAGCAAGAGAAUCAAGUAUGUCAAUAGAAAAACCAGAUUUGUCAUCAGAAAUAGGAUACCUCAUGACUUUAAAGAUGUUGAAGCCAAUAACAUCACCAUUAAACUCCAUGGUUAAUGUUCCUUCAUACACAUCGAUCUUUGUCUUCGCCGUUCUCAUGAAUGGACAUCCAAGCAACAAGAUUGUGGAAUUAUGAGGCGAGUCUUCCAUGUCAAUGAUGUAGAAAUCCGCUGGAAAGAUCAAAUGGUUCACCUGCACAAGCACAUCCUCUACAUACCCCUUAGGAUAUGUGUUGGAUCGAUCAGCUAACUGGAUAAUAACAUUAUCUUUCUUAAGUGCGCCUAACUCCAUAGAUGCAUAUAAACUAUAUGCCAUAACAUUGAUCGAUGCACCUAAGUCAAGUAUGACAUUUUCAAACUUAUUGUUACCAAUUACACAAGGGAUAGAAAAACUCCCUGGAUCCUUAAGCUUUGGAGGCAAUUUCCUUUGAAUAACCGUAGAGGCAGUCGCAUUCAUCUUCACAACCUCCUUUUGACGUGUUUAUCUCCUUGUAGUGCACAACUCUUUCAGAAAUUUAGCAUAUUUUGGCACUUCUUUGAUGCACUCAAGCAAAGGCAUGUUUACUUGAACCUUCUUGAAAAUCUCCAGGAUAGCUUGAUCCGACUCAUCCCUCUUUGAUUGUGCAAACCUGCUUGGGAAUGGUACACGAGCAUAGGGAGAGUUAGAAAUAACCGAACUUUGAGAGUAAGAAUCAUUACCUUUACUUGCUGGUUUCAGUGGGGAUUGCAGUGAGCUUUCAAUCCUAGAUGUUGCUGGAUCUUUUUCUAAAUCCCUCUUGGUGACUUCAAUGUCACCCUCCUCAUCAUGGGCCAAAAUUGGCGCCACUUUGGUCUUCUUUGGUGCCUUAGCUAGGGACAUCUUCAAGCCUCUUCCCACUCCUUGUAAUGAUUACCUUUGUAGAUUCAAAGUUAGGAUUCGGAAUAGUACUGGGUGGGAGCUUUCCACUUUCAGUUAUUCUUCCCAUGAAGUCCACAACAUGUCCCAUUUGCUUCUUGAGCUCCGCUAGGUCCUUACCAUGACUCUGUUAUCCUGUGACAAGUGCUUGAGUAGAAGUUGUCAAAGUUUGUUGCCCUUGAAAAAGAUCUUCAAGCAUUUUAUCAUAAGAAGCAUUAAUAGCAUUAUGAGGAACAUAGUAAUUAUUUGGAACAAAGUUUUGAGGAACUUGAGGCCUCGGAUGGAAGCCUUGAGGACGUGGAAAGAGUCCACUAGAUGGUUGGGGUUGUUGCACAUUCUCUAUGUCGCUCCAUCGAAAGUUGGGGUGGUCCCUAAGUCCUGGAUUGUAGGUGUUAGAGAAGGGAUUGUAAUGUUGUUGCGAUCCCAAAGCAUUUAAUGAUUCCCAUCCUCCAUUCUCAAUCAACUGAGGACACUAAUCAAUCACAUGCCCUUGCAUAGAGCAAACUCCACACGUCUUAGCUUCUUCUUGACCUUUUACCUGUAAGACCUGAGACAACAAAGUAGUCAUGUUAUUCAAUUUUUCCUCAAGUGCAGAGUUAGAAGAUACCUGAUUUACCCUCCGAGAAGAGGAUAACGUCCCCUCAUACUGUUGAUAGUUGAGAGCACGAUUUUCCAAGAGUGCUUAGCCACUUCUGGUGUCUUAUCCAAGAAAGAACCUCCCGCAGAAGCAUCCAAAAGUUCUCUUUCGUUAGUGAGAAGUCCCUCAUAGAAGUACUGGAGCAGGUUAUUUUCUGACAUUCCAUGGUUGGGGCAUGACGUCACUAGAGCCUUAAACCUCUCAUAAUAGGUGCAAAUGAUUCAUCAACCUUUUGUUGUAUGCCAGUAAUCUGCUUCCUAAGGAUGGUUAUCCUUGAUGCUGGAAAGAACUUUGUGAGAAACUCUCUAACCAUCUUAUCCCAAGAGUCAAUAUGGCCAGAUGGAAGCUCAAAUAACCAUGUUUUCGCCCUAUCUUCCAGAGAGAAAGGAAAUGGAUUCAAUUUCAGAAUUUGAAUGUCUGCUCCCUUUGGGCACAUACUGGUACAUAUGAACUGGAACAACUUCAGAUGAUUGUUAGGGUCCUCAUUGUUAAGCCUGUGGAACUUGGGGAGGUGGUGUAAGAAACCACUCUUCAAUUCAAACUCUGCCUCCUUGCCUGUAGCUGGAUCUGGAUAAGUGAUGCACGUUGGAGCUACUGCUCCUUGAGUUGUUGACGAGAGUUGCUUGAUAGUUGCCAUGGAUCUUUCUUCAAGGUGUGGUCCUUCUUCCUCAAAGAUUUACUCCACCUCAUCUGAGAGAUGUGAUGAACUAGCUUCUGAGUGAACUUCUUUGUUUUCCUCUACUCGAGUUGUAGAUGCACUUCCUUUAACUUCUUGUUCUUUCGAGUAGUCCUCUCUAUCUCAGGAUCAAAGAGAAGUUCACUUGUCGGUUUCGCCCUUGUAUGCAUAAACCUACGAGUUCCUGCAUCAAAAAACACUAAGUUAGUCUUCAAGAAUUCACAUGAAAUGCAUGUAUAUAAAUAAUAACACAAUUAUUUACUAAAUGAAAAACACAUAUAUCAUGUAUAUACAACAAUAAAGAACGCUUAUUUAGCUAAGGAUUUUUCAAUCCCCGGCAACAGCGCCAUUUUGAUGAGUGUAAAAUCUACAUCAAAUAAACCCUUUUUAUCGUUGGUAGCACAAGGUAAAUAAGGGUAUCGUAUAAGACCGAAGAUUGAGGGUACCUUGCAAAACAAGCGUUAGUAAAACUAAUAAACACAAGUAUUAUUUACAAAUAUACAAUCAAAUACAUUUACAAUUAAAUUGGGGGUAUUGAGAGAUAAUUUCUAACCUAAAAUGCAAGAUAAAUAAACCUAAACUAAUAUAAUAUAUACAAGCGAUCAUCUUCUUUCACACGAAAAACAGCCUUUCAAACUACAUAAUCAAGUUAUCACAAUGUUUCAAUUUCCAAAACAUAGAAUCAUGUCAACUAUAUGCAAUAAACGAAUUCGAAACACAAGCCGAAAGAGGUCAUGCAUCCCAUAUAAUCUUCUCAAGUCUCCUACACUGGAAAAAUCCGAACACAUAGAAUAUUUCAUGCAAUGCAUCACGUUAAUACGAAGCGCAUCCAUACAACACACUACAUGUGUAACGCCCUGUACCCAAUUUUACCUUUACCUUUUUACUGGGUAUUAUACGAGUUACUGAGGAAUUUAACCAUGCUCGGUAACUUAGUAAGUUAACACUUGAGUUUAUUUGCGAUUUCUUCUGGAAAUGUCAAAUUCUUCUUUUAAGGUGUCAGUGUCGUAGUUCGCGUUGACACGGGUUCUCCUGUGUUUUCGGUUUAUUUUCGGAGCUUUGAAGUAUUUUUGUACGAUUUAUUGAAGGUUGGUGAAAGAAAUUAAUUUUCUGAAAUUAGAAUAACCCAUUUAAUCUUGGCCAUCGGAUCUUUAGGGUUUUGAUCUUGAUCGUCAAUUCAAGUAUAAAGGGAAGGGAAGAGUUGACCGAGUCAAGAAGCCACACUCGGGCGUUGACCCGAGCUUCAGCCUCUCUCUCCUCUCUCUGGCUACGUCAGUCUUUCCCGACUCUUCGUCGUUGAUUCCGGCCACCACUCACCGCCACAUCGGUCUCAAAAUGACCGUCUCAUUCUCUUCUAUCUAACCCGGUCCAUAGAACUCGAUGUUAGCCCGAUUCAAAGCCAAACCGAGGGAGAGAAGCUCGGCUGUUUUUCGGCGAAUCCUCGAGAUUCCGACCACGGCGUGACGAGUGGGAGGUAGGGUUAUCUUCCUCUCUUCCUACUUCACCUUCUGGUGCCUUUCUUUUCCCCAUAUCGUGCCUUAAUUGAAGACCCAUUUUUCUGUGUUCUCCGAGUUUCGAGCUCCUAGCUCAGGCGACCCUAGCUCGGUGGUUUCUGGCGAGUUCUUCAGCGUUUUGGCAGGUCAUGUGAGCUUGGUGUGAAGUUGAGACGGACAUUGAUGGAGUUGCAUAUCGAUCAGGAUCGAGGCAGAGGUCUGGUGCGCUUGACCGAAGAGGAUCCGAGGUGAAUGGUGUUGUUGCAGUGAAGAAUGAGGCAACGGUUGUGGAUGUUUAGGGGUCCUGCAUAUUGAGUCCGGACCAGGAGAGUUCUUGGGAUAGCACUUGAGAUCAAUGGAAUGUAAUCUUGAUCUCCUUUGAUGUUAUAUAGUUGUUGUGUGGAUAUUCGGACUGAUUGGAUGCAUUUUUUUUGGUGUUGCUUGUGGAGAACUUGGUGUAUUGAAGAAUAUAGGGAGGUCAUGGCAAAAUUCCGGUAAGAGGCCAGAAUCCGGCAGAAUAUUCCGGCAAGUCGCUGGAGUCCGGCAAGGGGUGGAGCUGGCAGAAAUGAUGGAGGUAGUGAUCGAUGUUUCUUUUUCAUUGUAUGUCAUUUCGGGAAUAGGAAAGUUUGGAUUGUAAUCGGAAAAAUUGUCAAGUUAGGAAAGUUUCUAUUUGGGAUACUUUCCGUUUUUGGAAACCUUCCAUUUAUGGAAACCGUUUUUGGGUGCCCUUAGUAGUUUUGUGGUUUUUCAUAUUAAUAUGGUUCGUAUGUUUUUGACUUAAAGAAAUUACAUUAGUUUGAUUAAUAAAAAAUCGAGGUUCACCAAAACAAAUUAUUAAGUGAUGCCUAAGCGUCUAACGGUUAGUGGGACGUAUAGAGAAAAUUGGAUCGAAUUGUUAAGUCAAAGGUUGAAUUGAAAAACGUUGAGCAUCGUUAGUUGGUCAAAUCAGUUUGACCUAAGAAACCUUAGUCAAACUAGGAAAGAAGGCGAGGCAAAGGUUAUUUUAAAGUUUGGUCUGACCAAUUUGUCCUACAACUUAUGGUCAGGCAUGGGAUUGACUCAAGGACAUGGAUAUUUGGAAGCGGCGCUCAAGGAGUGUCCCGAGCAAUGGAAAACUUAAGCCUAAUACUGUGAGUGGACAUUUUCAUUUUAAAUAAAUAUGCAUGCAAGAUUUUAUAAUUUAUUAUUUUAUUUUCCGAGCUUAUAUUAUAAUUUUGGCUUAUGAGAUGUUCUUGGAAAUUAUUUGAGUUUGAAGCAUUGCUUAAGUGUUGGUCAUGAUAUAUGGAUUCGAGCUCAGGUUAUAUAGUUGGUAUUUAAGUUUUGAUAUUCUUUAUGACUCCGGAUUUAAAUAUUUUCGGUUUUAUUUUUUUGAUGACUUUGAAAUUUAUAAAUGAUUACCGAAAAUGGGAUUUUCAGUAGUUCUCCAUCAUAAUUUAAUUGUUUAUUGAUGCAUAAUGAUUUUGACUUGGAGAAUAUUUUAGCGAGAAUUUUCGAGUGGGGAUAUUAUUAUUUAUGAUUUAUAUUUGAUAUUGAAAUCUCGCUUAUAUUUAUAAAUGUGAGAAUAUUUUGACGUGUGAGAGACGUCAUUGAGUUUUAAUAUAAUAUCUUAUGAUGAUUUUCAAGUACAGUUGGAAACCGUACCAUUCGUAUGAUAUUGGUGAAGUUUAAUGGAUUUAAGUGAUUUCGUAUGUUUUUAGUCACCAUAAUAUAGGGUUGAUUUAUAUUGAUUAUUGCUAGCUAACCUUAUUAGCGGUCCUCAUCAUAUGUGAGUCCACUACCAGAAGAAAGGCUUUAGCCGACGAAAAUAAAAAAACCAGGCCGACAAAUUAUUUUUUCAUCGGCUAAAGUCCACUUUAGCCGACGAAAUUUUCCUUCGUCGGCUAAUUUAAAAUUUUCGUCAGCUAUGGUCAACUUUAGCCGACGAAAUUUUAAUUUCGUCGUCUGAAUAAUUUUUUUCGUCGGUUAUAGUUUGUGAACUUUAGCCGACGAAAUUUUUAAAAGUUUAGCCAACGAAAAAUAUAAUUUCGUCGGCUAAAGUGCCUUAUAUUUGCAGAUCUGGACAACAACUCAUCUGGGAAAAAAAAACUAUACGUAGAACCUUCAAACGCAAAAAAGUCGUGAAAUAAGAUAUGACCAAAAUGGUGAAAUACGUCUACAGUUGAAAAAUCAUGGUAUUCCGGUAAAGUACCAGUGCCGAUAGUUGCGGUCAAUGCAAUUUACCCUUAUUAUUCACUAUGCUGCAGAUUUGGCGUUUGGUGUCCGAUUGACUAUUGUGAUACCUUUCCGGAAGCAUAACGGCCCUACGAGUCAAACUCAACGCUUUGCCCUGACAUAUGGGUCUUUUUGGCCAUCCGAGUCCGUUUAGGGCUUCAAAAUGUAGUUUUCUUAUUUCCGAUUAAAGUUAGACCGUUUCGAUCGAGCCCUUAACGUUGUCGGAUCCAGUUGAAUUUUUUACCAUAGACAUCUUUCGUCAUAAUGAUCAUAUCUGACGGUCGAAUUUUGGUUUGUGAAUUUUAGUCAUCAGAAUCACAAUGUGUACUAUUUACCGUUAUUCUUCCCUAUGGGGAGCCCUACCGUCGGAAAGUAAAUGUCUCAAAAUUUUUAUAUGGGCAGUUGCGUCUCAUCUACGUGAGAGCUUUUUGUGUGGAAGGUUUGACCAAACGACGUAAUAUAGAGGGAGAUAUGAGCGUUUUUGUGUGAUAAGUGAUGAUGGAUUAGGGUUGACCGUUUCGAUCGAGCCCUUAACGUUGUCGGAUCCAGUUGAAUUUUUUACCAUAGACAUCUUUCAUCAUAAUGAUCAUAUCUGAUGGUCGAAUUUUGAUUUGUGAAUUUUAGUCAUCGGAAUCACAACGUGUCUACUAAUGUUGUAUAACUUGUUUAGUAGGUUAUACAACUUUGUGAACCAACUCUACAUAGGAAGCAAAAUUAUCAAAAAUCUCGUGAAAUAAGAUGUGUUCAGAAUGGUGAAAUACGGCUAUGGUUCAAAAAUCAGGUAAAUCGGGUAAAGUCUCGGUGCCGAUAGUAGCGGUCAACCCUAUUUACCGUUAUUAUUCCCUAUGGGGAGCCCUAUCGUCGGAAGGUAAAUGUCACAAAAUUUUUAUAUAGGCGGUUGCGUCUCAUCUACGUGAAAGUUUUUCGUGUAGAAGGUUUGACCAAACUACGUAAUAUAGAGGGAGAUAUGAGCGUUUUCCUGAAUUUAUAGACUUUAGCCGACGAGAUAUUAAAAAAGUCGUCAACUAAGGUCAAAAAUUUUUGGGCGGUAAACCAAAUUUGGAGGAAAAUUUUCAAAGGACUUUAACCGACGAAAAUAUAUGAAAAGUCGUCAGCUAAAGUCGAAAAAAUUUUCAAAAAUUUUCAACCAAAAUUUUUUGGUGGUCAACCAAAAUUUUCAAAAGAGUUUAGCCGACGAAAAUAAAGAAUUUUGUCGGCUAAAGUUCUUUAUAUAGGAGUUUUACCGAAGGUGGAUGGUAAGAAGUCUAUUUCGCCUGCCAGAUUUUCUUCUCGGUCUAGCUCCGCCGUCAAGCCACCGGAGACCGCCACACUUGUCCCAAAAGUUUCGCCGUUGUCUCUACUUCAUUGCUGGAUAGGUGGUGCAUCGAGUGGCGCCGCCGUGAGUAAGGCUGGGCUCGGGUCGGGCCGGUUCCGGUUUUCAGAAAACCCGACUCAAAACCCGAAAAAAUCGGGUCGGGUCGGGUCGUGCUUUUUCAGUUUUUAAGCCCGGCCCGAAUUUUUUUUUUUCGGCCUUUCGGGUAUUAUUUCGGGCCCAAUCAUGAUUCUUGCAGUUUACACCAUUUCAGCUCUAGAUAUCCAAAAAUAAUACAUCAACAUUGCAGAUCAACAUUACAAAUCAAGGAAACUAAAUGGAUCAACCAAAAUCAUCAUACAAUGACAUCUACUUGACUCAAAAUCUCUUCAUUCUACAUCAGUUGACACCCUUCUCAUGCGUCUCAUGCCCUUCUCAUGUUACCAAUUCACAAAACACCAAUCAUUCAACUCUGCUAUUUGACAUUUCUAUUCCAUACACCAGAAGUCAUGUACAAGCUGAUCACCAAAGAAAAAAACCAAAAAAAAAAAACAAAACUGAUCACCAAGCUUUCAAAUAGAAAGAACAACAGAAUCACAUCAAAACAAGGGUUACCUGGAGAUGGGGACGCAACACAAGCUUUAUUUUUUGUUUUUGUCUUCUCUCUUUAGCCUUAUUUUUUGUUUUUGCUGCCUUCUCUCUUUAGUUGCUUUCCCUUUAAAAGCAUGAGAUGAACUGGUGGUAAUAGGCUCCGGGUGAUCCACAGUCCCAAUAAUAGCGUCUUCCUUUUCUUGUUCUGCACCAUGGAUGCCAAUAAGCAAUUAGAAAUCAUCGCUAGCAGCUAAGGCUGUAAUUUGUAAAUGGUUGUGUAAGACAAAACUGAACCUCAUUACUAUCAGAGCUAAUAUGGAGUUUAGUUAAUACAUGCUCUUUUUUUUUAAUCUGCUGUAAAUAGAGAUAUAUGAAUUAAGAAAAGAAAAUAAAAAAGAGCUUACCUUCCUCCACAGAUUCAUAAAACUCCAUAUCCUCAAUAGUUGGAACAUAUUGGAUGUUGUGGAUACUCUCAGACCUAAUCCAAUUUUGGUAGCAGAUUAAGGCCUCCACUGUCUUGGGAGAUAAAGAACUCUGAAAUGGAUCAAUCAUCCUUCUACCAGUGCUGAAUGAAGACUCGGCUGCAACCGUACUCACUUGGAUGGCUAGCACAUCUUUCGCAAGUGCAGCAAGACCCGGAUACUUGUCACCAUUCAUCUUCCACCAUUCUAAUAUGUUGAAUUUCUCACGACUUGGAGGCUUCUCAAUUGGGUCUAGUAGGUAUCUGUCCACUUCAUGUACAACAACAGCUUCUUGAGAGUCCUCCAAUUCUCUCUCCCAUUCUUCUUCCAUGUCCUUUAUGAUUCCAGUAGCCUCUACGGUGCUUUGACUCUUUUUGGAUGAGGAUUUGUUGGCUUGGCUAACUAUGCUUUGACUGCUCUCUCCACUCCUAGAUUUUCCUGAUUUGGAAGAUGAUGGAACAUUCAUUGAGCUGCUGUAAAGAUCACAAAGCUCCACCAGAAGCUCUUUAAUCUCGGCAGACUUCUUCUUAAUUUCAACAUACCCCAUCUUUAACCAUUUCUUGCAUAUACUUUCAAAGUUUCUAAUCUUGUAUCUUGGGUUUAACACCAUGGCAAUGAACAUAAGUUGGUUGCAGUCAUCUAAGGUAGCAAAAUACUUCUCGUACUUGAUUUUCAUACUCGAUGCCAUAUCAAAUAAGGUUUUCUCAAUUGGUGCACCGGUACACAUUUCAGGUUUACUGAGCAAUUCAUCAAUCUCAGCCUUUAUGGCAACUAUAUCAUGAAAAGCUUUCCAUGAAGUUGGGUGAUUGGAGGCACUAAUCCUCAUUGUCACAUGAAAGAAAAUUCUUAGAAACUUCACAAAUAUAGCAGCUUUUUCCCAAUCAUGUCUAACCGGUGGUCCUGCCCUCUUCCUCCUUUGUUUCUUCCUUGCAUUAGUUGCAUCUCGAGUCACACUUACUUCCCCCAAGUCUUGGAUCAACUCAUCUUCAAAAUCAAUGUCUUCAUCCUCUUCAAAGUAUUUUUCAUACUUACUUUCCUCAUCUUCUGCCAUUCUAUCAAAGGCCUUCCUCAACUCUAAUGUAGUGGAUAACAUUAUAUAAGUCGAGUUCUACCUUGUUGGUACAUCAAGAAUGCAAACCUUCUUGGACUCAACCUUCUCCUUCUCAAUACACAACUUGAAAACAUCAAGUCUUUGUGCACUGCUCCGGACAUACUGCACUGCAUUCCUAAUAGAAGCCACAGAAUCUCCCAUCAUUGCAAGCCCUGAUUUAACAAUGAGGUUUAGAAUGUGCGCAAGGCACCGAACAUGCAAGUACUUGCCUCCUAAAACAGGUUCCUUCUCCCACCCUAACAUCUUUUCUCUGAUAUAGUCAAUUGCUACCUUGUUUGCACUCGCAUUAUCCACUGAAAUGGUCAAGACUCUCUCCACUUCCCCCUCAAAUAAACAGUCCUCCAACAACUUCCCGAUGCUAGUGCCUUGAUGGUUAGGAAUCACCUUAAAACUCAGAAUUCUUUUUUGCAUUUUCCAACCCGAAUCUACAAAGUGAGAAGUCACAACCAUGUAGUUUAUAUUUUGCACUGAUGUCCAUGUAUCAGUGGUUAAACACAGGCAAUGACCCUUCAUCUCUUUCUUCAGCUUCGCUUUUUCUUCUUUAUACAUCGAAAGAAACAACUUCACAAUCACCCUCCUAGAAGGAACUUCCCAAUUAGGCACUGCAUAUCUACAAAAAUACUUAAAACCAUCCUUUUCGAUGUGACUGAAAGGAAGCUCAUCCAUAACUAUCAUCUUCACAGCUGCUUCCCUGCAACCUUGUUGAGUCCACUUCAUCACCACCGACUCUUUAGUACUCCCACUAGCCUGCUGCUCACCUUCUAUGUCUAUCCUCCCUGGAUAAUGUUUGUACACAGUUUCUAUGUGUCUCUUGAGAGUGCUAGUCCCAUUUGUACUGCUAUCACAAGCAAAAUCAGCGUCGUAGUGAUUACACAUAGCUCUUUCUAUUUCAUCAACCACAACCCUCUUACCAUCCUUCAUCCCGUAGAAUAUCUUCUUUAUCUUUUUAAAGUGCAUCCACACAUAUGAUCUUCCACCAAGCUUUUCAGAUAUUUCUAUUUCGACAUCAUCUUCAACACAUUCUCUCCUCACACGACGCUUCCUUUUUCGAGGAAUCUGAACCCCCGAGUUUGAAUUAGAGCCAGAACGGUGGGAGGACUGGGAGCCAGAACUCUCGGACGAACUGGAGCCUAGGCUAAGUGAAAUCUGAGGUGAAGCCAUGAAUCUCUAAAAAUAAAAAACAAACAAACAAGCCAUGUAUCUCUCAAACUCCCAUUUAUAGAAUCAUAUAUAAUAAUGUAGGCUAGUUGAUGCACAAGUAGACAGAGUUAGAACUUGUAAACAUAUAUAACUGAGCUGCCAUCCAAGCAAACAUACUAAAUUAUUUCAAUCAUCAAAUAAGUAUAUAUGCAUCAAAAUCAUUAGACAGUAUACUAACCAUACCAAGCACCAUCAUACACCUCAUUGAAAAAAUCAUACACAGUAAACUACAGAUUCGAUCUGCUCUCUUGUAUUUGAAGAUGGCAAUAAUGGGUUUGCUCUAGACUUUUGAUAAGGACACACAAAACGUAUAUAUUAACAAUGCUAAGUUAAUCAUGCCUUUCUAAACUAAAUGAACAAUGAACACUUCUGAAGUUCUAAUGAUAUGAACAAUUGAACAAUGAACACUGAUGAACAAUGAGCACUAAUCAGACUGCUUAAGCUUACAAAAAUAAUUUGAUUGCCAACAUAAACUACAAAUACUUUUAUACCUUUAUUCUUUUGAAUGCAUGAAGUUAAGAAAUCCAAAUUGUUCGUGAAAAUUAAAUGCCUGAUUCCAAUCAGCUUCCCUGAAACAACAAAUUGGCCAAUGGCCACCAAAAUCAAUCAAAUCCAUACUUAAACAACCUAUCUACCAAUUUUAACAACCCAACAGUAUCAAAAUAGUUCAGUAACCCAGAAUACAAAAUACAAAUGCCAGAAAACCCAGUUGGGAUUUGUACCUGAAAUGAGAAACCCAGAAAACCCAGUUGGGAUUUGUACCUGAAAUGAGAGAAAACUUAAACCCAGAAGCUGAAAAGCCAUCUGUCUCCACUCGAUGAGACUCGAAACAGCAAAAGAGGUAGAAGAGAGUUUGAGGCUUUGAGAGAAGAGGGGGGUGCUUGGCGGUUUAGGUCUUGGAGGCUUCAAGUCUGAGUUUGAGAGAUUUGAGCUGCGUUUUUUCAGUUUUAGUUUUUUUUUUUUAUUAUAUGGACCAAUAGAUAGCUGACACGUCGUAAAAAAAAGGUAUUUCGGGCCUGAACGGGCUUCCGGGCCGAGACCGAACUCGAACCUGAACCAGGACCGAUCAUUAAGCAUUCAGGCCCGUCUUUGGAGCGAGCCGUUAUCAUCACUUUCAGGACCGGCCCGAUCGGUCCUUGUCGGGCUUUCUAGUCGAUUUUUUCGGGCUUUCGGGCCCUAACGCCCAGCAUUAGCCGUGAGGGAUAAAUCGAGCUCUAAAACUCCGCCGGUUCGGAUUCGGUGUCAAUCGAAUUUCUCCUUCCUCAAGUCACCAUUUGGUGAGUUCUAUAUAUGGAUAAGUUGAGUUUGAUUAGUACUACAUUCCCCUAGAAUUUGGUAGCUCGAUUCGGUGUGUGUGAGGAGAAUCGAAGAUUUGAAGUUUUUAGGGUUUAAAAUUGGGGAUUUUUAUAUUUUGAUUCAAUUGACCUGUUUAGGCUUAGAAUUGGGCUUCGACUACUUCUAGAAAGUUGUUCGAAAUGUUGAGAGGAAGAUUCUGUCAAAUUUUGGUGGUGAUUGGAGGUGGCCAAAAGUUCUGCAGUUUUUUUUUCUAAAACCAGCAACUUUAGCCGACGAUAUUUAAAUACUAUAUUCGUCGGCUAUAGUAUUUUUAUAUUUUUUUAUAAGGUUUAGCCGACGAAAUAGACUAUAUUUCGUCGGCUAUAGUUAUUUUUAAAAUUUUUUUUCUAAGGUUUAGCCGACGAAUAUCUUAAUUGUUUCAUCGGCUAAAGUCUGGAAAAAAAACCGACGACAUGUUUUUCGUCGGCUAAACUGUGGGACUAUAGCCGACGACGUCUUCUUUUUUCGUCGGCUAAAGUCAUCGCCGACGACCUUCUCCCGACUAAAUCUUAGUCGACGAUCCAUCGUCGGCUAAGAUCUUAGCCAACGAAUUAAGCUAACAGGCCGAUAAAAUUUUUUCGUCGGCUAAAGUGCUUGUCGUGGUAGUGGUCGCUAUUAUAGCCUUAUUAGUGGUCCUCAUCAUAUAUGAGUAGAGCGCGUAGCGUGGGACGCUAUUAUAGCCUAAGAGGCAACCGAUCGGUAUUUAUAUUUAUUAGUUAGCUAGCCUUAUUAGCGGUCCUCAUCAUAUGUGAGUUGAGCGCUUAACGUGGGACGCUAUUAUAGUCUGGAAGGCAUCAACCCGAGCCUUGGAGGCUCCUUUUACAUGGUGAUAACUCUUCCCUUUAUUUUUAUUCCUCUCAGUUAUGUAUUUGAUUAACCAGCGGGGCUGGUUUAUCUCUUCUUACGAGAUUUUCUUUAUUUGAGUUAACCAGCGGGGCUGGUUUGUCCAUUCUUAUGGGUUUCUAGAUUUUAAGUUAUAUGAUUUAUCAAAAUUGCGUGUAGCUAAGCUUUUAAAGUUGAAAUGUGGGAAAGUAUUUAAAUUGCGUAUUUGUUAAGUUGUUUAAUUUAUUUUUGUCCACUCACUCUAACGUUUUUAAAUUAUUUUCCCCUGGGCCCUUUGGUUUUAAAUGCCCAGUGUACAUGCUAGGUUUAAAUGAGGUCAAGCGUACAUGGAGUCGAGACAUAGUCAGAGGUUGCUUCCGCUUAAUCUUUAUUCAUUGCUAUAUAUUCUUUCAUUAUUAGAUAUGCUCUAAUCACCAGUUAGUGAAUUAAUUUUGUUUAUUGUUAGUUGUGGGAUUAUUUUAGUCGAGUAAUUGAUAUAUUGGGAGGUGUGAUGAACUUGGGGAGCAGGAAGGCUCCAGGUGUUGAGGAUGGAUGUUUAGUUAUAGAAGUGUUAAGUUGGAUUUUUCAAGUAAGGGUUAUCCAUUUUCAAGGAAUUUUAUGCCGAAUUUUCGGUAAAUUUUCCUUGAAGGUAGACCCCGCAGGAUUUACCUCGUGUUUCAGAGUGAAAUUCGGGGUGGGUCCUGACAACAUGAAUCAUUAAGCAUAAAAGAUGAACUCGAACAUAUUAGAUUUGUUUACCGAAAGAGGCUUAACAACCUAACAUGCAAUCUAUGUUCUUAAUCGAAACCCAUAUCACAUGAAUCCCAAUUUUUACCACUUGUUAAUCUACACUUACCGGAAGAGGCUUAGCAUAAAUUAUGGCUUUGCUAACUUGGCCGAAUUAGCAUAUUGAAUUAAACCGGAAUCAUAGACUUUCUAACACAAUAAUAGGCAUGAUCUAAGUUAAACAACUAUCAUAACAAUCUGAAAAUUUCAUAACAAUAGUUUAAAAUCAUCCCAUACAUCAAAUCCAAACGUCACAAAGAUGAAAGAAAAACUACUAAAAUUAAAACUAAAUCGAAAUACAAAAGUAGAAGUCAUGUUUUACACUUUUUGGAUCUUCGAAGAAAGCUUCAAAGCAUGCCAAGAGUAGCACCCAGAAGAGAUGAACUGCCAAACUUCGGAAAAGUCCUAAUCUUGGCAGAAACUAAAGCUAAAACUAGGAUAUAUGGGAGGAACAAAACUACGGUUAUAGAGAGCAGACGAACGGCAAUUUCUGACUUUUGGUGCGUAAGAAGUGAUGCCUUUUCCGUCUCCAACUCUUCCUAUAUGUAUGAGCAGAUGCUAUUAGGGUUAGAGAACCCUAAUUUUCGUCUAUGGGCUUGCCUAUGUGGUCUGGGCCUUGAAAUUAAACUUUCGGUCCAAUUCAGAAAUUCGGGCAGACUGACCUUUGGCCACUCAAACGAUCAUAAAUUCUUCUCCAAAAUAGCUAUUGAUGAUCCGUGAAAAGUUCUGGAAACUAGACUCUUCUAGCUUUCCGUUGAAAUAAAGUUCAUUACAUGGAUUGUUGUGAGCUGAUCACAAUCCUCUGUCGAAGUUGACUGACAAUUCCUGGCAGAUUUCUGAUUUCUUUCCUUGUGCCAUAUGGAUUCCUUUUCCUUCAAGAUCUCUCCUCUUUUGCUUCUUUUGUGCUCCUCGGCUUUAUUUGCGACCUCAAACACAACUAAGUUAAAAUGAAUAUUGUUAAAAGAAUUACAUAGCUAAAUAGGGUCGGAAAUACAUUAAGAACGUUGCAUAAAAUGCACCUAUCAGCUGUCAAAAGAGUCGUUAGAAACUAUUAUCCUAAACAUAACAUAACUACCUUACCUGCAUCUUAAAGCCCUAAAGCUAUGAGCCAGGAAAAUAUGAGGUUUCAGGUUAGUAUUUUGUAUUAACAGUUUAUUUUCCUCUUUUUCUAUAAGUCUGGUGAAAGUGAAACUGUCAGGACCCACCCCGAAUUUCACCCUGAAACCCGAAGUAAAUCCUGCGGGGUCCACCUCCAAGGAAAAUUUACCGAAAUUUCGGUAUAGCCUCCUUUGAAAAUGGACAACCCUUCUUAAAUAAAACACCUGCAAACACUUCUAAAAGUUCCAACUCCAACCUCAUAAACUCCUAGAGUCUUCGUGCUCCCCACAAAUCACAACAUCUCCCAAUUUCUAUUUACUAAUGUAACAAAAAUAUCAUAACCAACAAUUCAUAGGUUCAGAGCAAUUCUAACAAUGAAGAGGAGAUAAAUAUAUAUAUAAGCGGAAGCUAUACGAUGGACUAUGCCUCGACUCCAUGUACGCGCUGACCUCAACUAUGCUAACCUGCAAACUGGGCAUUUAAAAACGAAGGGCCCAAGAAAAAACAUUUGAAAACGUUAGAGUGAGUGGACAAAAGUAAAUUUAAGAGAAAUGAGCAACAAAUAACUUUAUGCUUUCCUGAUUAAAUUUCCAUAGAGAAGAGAUGCUGCAAACGACAAGCUCAAAAGCUCUUAACUCAAAAUCUGGCAAUUACAUGACUAGCCCAGCUAGUCUCCACAACUUUAUAAACUAGAGUCUCUCAGGCUAAAAUAUAAAUAUAUGUAUGUAUUUACACUCGUCAUAUUCCUUGUAUGAAUUCUUAUGAAAAUAUAUGAAAAAUAGAAAUUCAUACAAGCUACGACGCUUACGUCUAACGCUCACGUCACACUAUAAUGAAAUUUUACCUCAUUAUGGCGGAAAGACGGAUGCAUAUACGUGCAUAUCCCCUAUAGAUUCAUAUAGGGCACCAUAAUGGAAUUUUACCUCAUGAAAAGCACAUAUGGCUAGUUAGCAUUUAUAUACAUAUUAUCCUCAUAAUUAUCCAUAUGUGAAUAUAUAUUCACCGAAACUCUCACUUUCGGUUAUUCUCCAACAAUAAAUAAAAUCUUCAAAUUAAAAUAACAUCAUAUGCUCCAACCAAACACUACAAGAAUUCAGGGUUUUUACCGCCUAAAAUUUACGGCGUGCAUCAAUGCGUGCUGUAAAAAUGGGUCAUUUACGGCUUGCAUUUAUAGCAUGCCAUAAAUAUAAUGUUAUGUAGAGUUAUUUACGGCGCACUUCUGAAGCAUGCCGUAAAUGAGAUUGUGUCUCGAGUUAUUUACGGCUUGCAAUAAAAGCACGCCGUAAAUGUUAGUAUUAUGAAAAAGUAUUUACGGCAUUCUUUUAUUACGCGCCGUUAAUAAGUAUAAAGUAUUUACUGUAUGCAAUAGUUGUGCGCCGUAAUUGGUACUUUUCGGUUCCCGCGCAAUUAUUUCACCAAAACUUAAACUUCCCACACUUUUUUCCAUUAAAAACAAAACCUCUUAAAUCCCAAAUGCCCACACCUUGUCUGCUCAUCAUUUAUCUUUGGGAGUUUAUCCCAAAUACUCAAUAGAAAAUGACAUCCCACUACUUCAAACAGUUGCAAAAAACAGAAAACCCAUCUUUUAAAAGAUUUAAACAAAUAAGGACAUAAGCCCAAAGCCCAAUAACAGAUAGGAAGAGAGAUGACGUGAAUUUCAAGUGGAAAAUUACCAAAAUGUUUAGUUUUUUAACAAAAUUACGUGACAUGCCACACCUUUCCUUCUCUCUUCCUCCCGAUAUGAUUCACUCUCUCUCUCUCNNNNNNNNNNNNNNNNNNNNCUCUCUCUCUCUACUCUCUCUCUCUCUCUCUCUCUCUCUCUCUCUCUCUCUCUCUCUCUCUCUCUCUCUCUCUCUCUCUCUCUCUCUCUCUCUCUGAUUCUAAGCUAUGGUUUUGAUUCGAAAACUCGGAAUCAGAAUCAAUGGCUUGCCUCUUCUCCACUCUCUUCUUCCAUAUGCCUUCGACGGAGUUGCCACCGGCGACGACCACCGUAAAUCAGAGCUUCUGCAACUCAUCAAUGAUGUCGUUGAUGCUUCACCGAUCUGGUGUGGCGGAUCGCAUUUUCUCGUAUGCUUCGAGUUAUCCAUGCUCGAUCGAGCAUUGGGUGACAUAGGCGUGCUUGUAGAUCUUAGUUACGACGAUGUUCUGGAGGUUGUGGAUGUCGAUGAUUGCAGGGAUAGAUCUACAGGUGGAUGUUCAUUUUCAGUUUGGUUUUAUAAUUGUUGAUGGAAAUUAUAAUUGAAUUCAUUUGGGUGCUAUGGUUGUAUGGUUAAUUAAUGUGUGGAGGAAUGAAGUUAUUGCUACUGGAGGUGCUUUGGUGGUGUUAAUCCACUGUUGAAGUAGACUAAGAAAGGUAAGGGAGGAAAGUAGAUUUGGAUCUCAGUCGGCAGUAGCACCUCUGUGGUUAACAGUAGCAGCCAGUAGCAGUACGUUUUAAUAAGCAGUAGCAUCAACAGUAACAGUAGCAGCUUCCUAAUAAUCAACAAUAGUAGCAAAGCCUUCCAGUAGACAGUAGCAGAGCCUUUGGGUCGGGAGCAGUAGCAGAGCCUUUCAGUCUGGAGCACGAGAAGGCAGUAGCAAAAGUGGAGGAUAAUGCAGUAGCAGAAGUGGAGGAUAAGGCAGUAGCAGAGUUAACCUUCAUUGUCUAGUCCUCAUUGAUGUGUGUUGUUGUGUGUUGCUACUGCGUGCGCUGUUGUUGUGUAUUGCCACUGCAUGUUGUUGAUGUGUGUUGCUAUUGUGUGUGCUGUUGAUAUGUGCUGCUACUGCGUGAGCCACUCAAAACAUGCUACUGCACUUAUUGAAAUUGCUACUGCACUUAUUGAAAUUGCUACUGCACUAGCUGAACCACUAAAACCUUGCUACUACAUCUGUUGGAAGUGUAGCUUUCCAACAAAACAUGCUACUACAUUAGCUGAGCCACUAAAAACCUGCUACUACUUCUAGUGGGAUGUUAACAUUUGCUACUACUUUCUACUAGAAUGUUAACCCCUGCUACUAUUUCUACUGAAAUUAACUACUAAUACUACUGGGAUGUUAACCCCUGCUACUACUUCUACUGGAAUGUUAACCCCUGCUACUACUUCUAUUGGAAUUAACUGCUAUUACUACUGGGGUGUUAAACUUGGGUGUUAACCGGUACCCCUGCUACUACUUCUACUAGAAUUAACUGCUACUACACUAAGUUAUUAAAAACCUGUUACUAUAUUCCAUUUACUGAAAAAUCUCAAAAAGAGAGACUUUUUUCUUCUAAAAGCAUAUUUAAUUAGUUAGUUUGGUAAAUUAAAUCAUGACACAUGGCAUGCAGAGAAAAGAUUGUCCUUAAUUCUUAAAAACUGUCCUUAUUUGUUUAACAACAACACAAGUGGAUUUAGUUAUGUUUCAAAUCAUUUUGGAGGAUAUAUAUAUGAUUUGCUAAAUACCCAAAUACGUACCCAAACCUCUUUAUCCUUCAUUCUUCACCCUCAUCUUUUUCACCGGAAUCACUCCAAGCCCAAUACCCACACCUCAUUCUUCAUGCUCUCUCGCUCUCUCUCUCUUUCCCCAAUUCCCAAUUUCGUCUAGGGGUUUCUGCUUUUCGACUCUCUCUCUCUCUCUCUCUCUCUCUCUCUCUCUCCCCUCCCCCCAAUCCCCAAUUUCGUCUAGGGUUUCUACUUUUCUAUCAUCGAAGUAUCAGAAUGGCGCCAGAGUCCCAUUGCUACUACCCUUAUGCCCCCUCUAGUCGCCCUCUUGUUCCUCCUCAACUGUCAUCCAAGGCAUCUUGUUCGAUUCGCCACCAAACCCAAGUCGCCUACGUCGUCCGAUAUGCCCAAAACCGAAUGUCGUCGGCGGUUAUUUGCUCUCCCUCGGCCUCCUUUUCACCGCUUCCUUCUUCAUGUGACUCUGAUCCGCCAUUCACAGAACUAGAUCUUAUUUCUCAAGUUAAUUUUGCGAUGAAAUUCUCAUUUAUAUUUGUGAAUUUUGGAUCGAAAAAUUAAGAACUAUGAUAGAGUAAUUUAACCAAUUGCAGAAGUCACUGAACCAGAAAGCUUGUUGCUUCCAAUCAUAGGGUUAGUCUAAGGCUUCAGAAAUAUAUGUUAUCAGACUGUUUAGUGUGGGAGUUAGAGAUUUGUUUGGUCUAUCUUCUCGUUUUCUCAAUGCUUGUGCCAUUUUGAUGAGAGAUCACAUUAAAAAGCUUAAGAAGUGUUUCGUUAUUGAUCAAUGUAGAAUUGAGAGUAGAUAAAGCCUCGAUAGGAUUGGAGACAUCACCUUGUAACCAAUUGUAUGUUAAUUUUGUUGCUCCAAUUUGUUAGUUCAUGAAGGAGCUGUGCAAUUUGCAUGCUUUUGGUUAAAAUUGGUUUGCGAAAUGUUUUGAAAUUAGUUAUGGGAUGCAUAACUGCUUGCAACAGUUCCUUGCAGUUGUUGGGUUCUCAUGUAUUAUCUUGACUGAUUGAGGUUUUGCACGGUUUAGUCAUGUAACAUUAACAUUCCUUCUUUAUGUGCACAUAUUUGUCUGAGUUUGUAUAUUAGUAUUAGUCCACUCUUUAUAGUAUAGUUAAUUGUGUAAAUAUAUAUUGCAGCUAUGAAGCAACCCCUUCCAGGAAAGGCGUAGAGUUUCGUGUAAUGUGUGAAGGCUUUUUCGUAGAUUUCGGAGCUACUUGAUUUGGAGAAGGCGACGUUUAAGAUCAGUGAUGAGUAUGAGGUGAGUUUCAGAAAGAUCAGUGCCCUUAGUGGAAUUUUUGUGUGCUUGAGGGAGGGAGGCCUUGAGGUAUUCUUGAGCAAUUGACACAUAUGGUUUCACAUUGUAGUUUUAUAUGUAGUUUGAUUAUCACUUGGCUCGAAUUUUUGAAAGAUCUUAUAGUGUAACAUGUAGAACUCAGUAUAGUCAGCAGAGCUAAUGUGCAUACAGUGACUAAAAGAAAUGGAUAGUUCUUAAAUCGGUAAUGCUUAGGAAAAGAAGCGAGGGUCUCCCCAUGUUUGAACAUGACUUUGAUCAGAUUCUUCAGUACAAUAUUAGAAUUGGCUGUCACCAGAAGCAUGGAUUAAUUUCAUUGGGCACAGUUUUGCAUUUUAAAUUAGUAGUUCAUGGGAUAUUUGAUUUGACUUUGAUUUGAUACUUUGGACUGAUCAAUUAUAAUAUUGUAUGUGGCUAUGUGUAGUUGAACCUCUAAAUUCAAAGGAAGCUGUGAAAUGGUUAUAUCUUGCUUCUUUUCUGUUUUAGUAUUCAUAUCAUUCUAAUAUAAAGAACUGAUUCACAAGGAACUGAUUCACAAAGAACUGAGUCAUAUCAUUUUCUAUUUUAGUAUUCAAUACUUUUCUGUGUAGUUUUGCUUGAUUCAAUUUUCACGUAGCCCCCGCGAGCGGAUUAUGUUCAUGUUGUUGUUUCUACUCUCAAGUUGUGAUCAAUAAAAUUGGUUUCUCGUAUUUUAUCAAAAAAAAUAAAAAAAGUUCAUUUAUAGGUGAUCGUAAUCCCACGCAAAUGCAUGGGUAAAAUGCUAGUAUAAAUAAUCCAAAGUUACAAACCGUAGGACAACGGUGGUGGACAAAAUUCCCCACACACUCCAUCACCAACUUCAUUACCUUCUUCACUUCUUAGAAAUAUAUGUGAAGAGCGAAAAUGCAUUCGAUUCAUUCCACUAUAAUCUUCCAUGACUAAAUGAGGAGAGCGGAGAAUAUUAAGAACAACAAAGGAAUUAAUCCACUUCCCACUUGUAUUCUUCUUAACCCAAACCAAGAGGAAGUGAAUGUCCAUUUACCUCAAUUACUAUUACAGUGAGCACCAAAACGUUCUGCAACUCGAAAGUCUGAGAGGCUAUGUUUGAGUUUAAAAACUUUACACGCGAUUAAUUAACAUCAACAUCUGUAUAUACGCCCAUAUAGAUUUAGCUGGAGUUAACUUUGACUUUUAUUGUUCCCCAUAUAUUCCAGGCUUAAUGAGUUGAAUCUACUUGCUGUGAAAUAGACAUUUAUGCAGGCAGCGGACAUGUCAAAUAGUAUUCGACAGGAGAUGAAAGAAACUAUAGGACCAAAAAUAAGGCUCAUGUUAUCUGAAUAUGGUCUCCCUAUGGAAAUGGAGUCGAAAGUGAAGGGAUUGGUAAAAGCAAAACUUAAUAAUGAUGAAGAUCUUAUCGUAGAGAAUUUGUCUUCGAUUUUGUCCUCAUCAGGUCUUUCUGAAGUAGAUGAAGCUAAGAAUCUUCUUAUGGAGAUCAGAUGCAGUCUCUUCAUGGAUAAGCUCAAAAAAAUAAGCUCUCUCUCUCUUCGCAUGAGAUCUUUUAUGUAUUAAAAGAUGACAAAAAUUCACCAUCAGUCCCUCAACUCUUGUGGCAAGGCCAAUGUGAUACCCAACUUCUUAAACCUACCAAUGUGAUACCCACACUUAAUUUUCGCUACCAAUAUGAGGCCAGAAGCCAUAUUCCGUCAAGUCGUCGUGUGUUUAGUCAUGUGUCGCGCACAUGCCCCAUCAUAAAAAGGUUAAUGUACUGGAAUGACCAUGUGUUCAAAAACUCAUUAAAUUAUUUGAGGUUCCCAGUAAUCAAAUCCAAGGUCCCAACAACGCACAUAAACCUGCGCAAAAAAAUUCUUGUAGGAUGAUGGAGAGAAGCCUGGCUUCCAUUUAAUCAAUCUUAAGAAGCCCUGUUGUAAUCUAAUUGUCCCCAAACUCCAAACCUUCUGCAUAUCAUCAAGAGAUUCAAAGUGCAGCAUAAAGAAACCUCUGCCUAAAGGAGAGACCGACCAGUUUUGAAGCGAUGGCCAUAGCUUGAUCAAUUGAGUCGACAAUUCAUGGGUCUUCAAUGGCAACGCUUUAGGAGGAAGAACCAAACGAUCAAUCAAAUUGGUUUUGCAUUUGUCAAUCCCGCGGAGAACGGAGCUUCUGAGAUCUGAAUUGAAACAAAAUCCAUUCUCAAACACAGGGGAGGGGAGGUCAUCGAUUGAGAAGUCAAGGGAGGAAUUUGAAGCUAAGAGGGAGGCAUAUGACUUUCCAGGAGCGAUGGAGGUCGCCAUGCCUACAAGAGAUUAGGAAGGGAGGAUAUGGCUGAGAUUGGGAUGGCUGAGAUCGGGAAGGGAUGGAGAAUAGGAUGGUUAUGAUGCGAUCUGGGAUUUAGGGUUGAGAUAUGAGUUGAUUGACGAAGGGAAAAAGAGGAGGAGAGAGAUGGACCCGCGCCGCCGAUCGCUCGCCGGUUAACCGACCGGCCGAUCAGAGCAGACGAGGCCGCGCGGAGGCAUGAGGUUUAGUUCGAGUUGGAGCAGAGAGAGAUGGUUGUUCGAGUGGGAGGGUGUACUCGAGUUUUUAUCCGAUUCUCGUUCCAUUUAGGUGAAAUGUCAUUAUUGCCCUUUUUUUGGAGAGGCACGUGCGCGAUACGUGACCAAACACACGGCAACGUGACAGAAUAUGGCCUCCGGCCUCAUAUUGGUAGCGAAAAUUAAGUGUGGGUAUCACAUUAGUAGGUUUAAGAAGUUGGGUAUCACAUUGACUGUAACGCCCUGAUUUGCACCUCAUCAAAUCGAGCACAUUACAGUGCCGUGUUCUCUUAGAACCUAAGCUAGGGCCCAUCACUCAAGCCCUAAGAACCCGCAAGGCAUUUUAUUUAAACUAACUAAAACUUUUAUAAAUUGAAAAUCAAAGUUAAAGUCAGAAGCGUUACAUAAAUGAGGUGUAAAACAUUAUAAUAAAACAUAUUUACUUCCUUUGAAUCAAGCUAUAAAGCAUAAAGCAAAACUAAUGUGAAAUAACUACUCCAGUAAAACAUAGCCAAGAUCAACUAAAACAUAUUUCCUUGGUAGUACGGAUAACAAUGAUAGGAAAAUAAAAUAAAGUAGCUGACAGACUAACUUCAAACAGGGCUUUCAAAUAAAACACAAGGAAAUGUAUCAAGUAUUCAGGAUACAAAAUGGAAGCCUUAUAUAUGAUAACAAAUUCGAAAAGACAUUUAACUAUAACCAAAUAUGCACACCCAGCUCAAUCCCGUUCUUGUGCACAGAACCUGCAUCCAAAACUGUUGUAGGGGUGAGCUUUCGUCCUCGCUGCUCAAUAAGACUCAACCAACUAGGUUUGAAAACUAUUUAAUUUAUUGGCCAGUAUGUGAAAACAAAUAAAAUAUAAAUGAUGAUCAAAUCAUAAAGUAAGUUUCAUUUCGAAAACUAUUUACGGGCCCAUAUACACAAACCUGACGACCGGUCCUCUUAUGCCAACUACAACCUUACCACAAUUAAUAUCGUCCAUACCGGCAAGGUGUAGUGAGAGUGUCCAUUUACGCCAUACCGCCUAGGAACGACGCCACACCUCAAAAGAUGUCAGACGUCCUCCAGUCCUUACAGCCCCUUCGGAGGUUUAGGGGAUCGAAACCCAAGGAAGUCGCUAUGCCCCGCUCACUCUCAGGUCAUCACACAAUAUCGAAAACGAUUGAAAACAAGCAUGGCAAUAGAAGUAUCAAAUCUUCAUAAUAAACCAAUCACAGCUAUGCGAUCANNNNNNNNNNNNNNNNNNNNNNNNNNNNNNNNNNNNNNNNNNNNNNNNNNNNNNNNNNNNNNNNNNNNNNNNNNNNNNNNNNNNNNNNNNNNNNNNNNNNNNNNNNNNNNNNNNNNNNNUUCUCAAUUAUAAUAUGGUAAUCCCUUUAAAUAACUCUUCACUUUUUCUUGACUCAAAUCUAUCUAUCAACUUUAUAUUGAUUAACAUGAGCAUAAGAGCUCACUCUCCAUUGAGACCAACUCAUUAUCUUUCUCUUAACCAUUCAAGGUUCAGAACAUAACCAAAUCUAUAACUCAACUCAAAUUAGAACUUUCCCCAAUUUGGUACCUCAUAACGUGAUUACCAAUUCACAAUAAGUCCUUAUUAAUCUGAAUAUAAGCCAUAUAUAUAUAAGGCUGGUCUCAACACCCAUAUAUAAUUCACUUGCUUCCAAUACAUGGAAAACCUAGUAUUGCAUCUCUUUACUUUAAACAGACCUUGUCUCUUUUAAAAUAGGAUAUCAAUUACACAACUCAAUUGUACCAAAUUCAUAACCCGUGCCAGCUUCUUACCGAAUGAUCAAAACUCAAAACCACAACACUUUGCAGACUAAUAGCAGCCCAGUUAUAUUUAACCAACAUAUAGUCUUACAAGUAUUAUCAAAUCAAAUCAAAUCAAGUAAUAAUGGUCAAAGUAACCAGCCAACUUACCUUGUAGAUUAGUAAGUAACAAUCUCCUUUCUUUAUGCUGUGAGAUUGGACGAGCAGCCACAGGUCCCUCUUCUCCUUUUCUAGUUCCUUCUCUGUUUCCUUACUCGUCAAUCCUCUUCAUCCUUUCCACUUCUAACUUCAUGGAAAUUACUUAUCCUGUUGUGAUUUUCAGUUUCAUCACCUCUUCCCUUCACAGCUUAAUUAUUCUCCAUGGUCUUCCUGCUUUGUUUCUUGGAACCUAAUUCAACUCGAGUUUGUCAUCACCGGCAACCAAACCAUCAAAAAUAAUCAAAACCCAAUCUGUGUUAAAAUCUGAAAUCCCAAAUCUAUAGGUUCUUGGGACUUUACCUCAAAACGAUCCAAGAAGAUGGAUAUUUGCAUGUCGGAGCUCUAAAAACUCGAUUCCCUGUCGAUUGUGUAGCAUGUUUGCAUGCUCCGUCACUACCAGCAUAGCCUUGAGCUGAAGGUUGGGGAAACUAUGAACUACACAGAAACGAUGUCAGAGAAGAAGAGAGAAAACGGGAGAAGCUUCUGGUCAUUAUGAUCAAAGCUUACCAAUUUGUAGCUCAUCUAUAUAAAAUUACAAUGUUGCCCUUCUUAGGUCCAAACAUGUGACUCAAUCGGGUUAUUUCAAACCUACACUAUAGGCCCGAUUCAAAAAUGAAACUUCUCGAACCCAACUAAACCAAACAAUGUCCGUCCACUAUAGAAAUUGUUUACUAAAAUCAUUCACGGCUGCAAUACAUAUACCUAUAACUUUACAGGGUCUCACAUUGGCCUUGCCACAACAGUUGAGGGAUUGAUGAUGAAUUUUUGUCUUAAAAGAUUUCUGUAAACUUAACCUUAAUUAGGUCGACGGGCUUAAAGAUAAAUGGGAAGAAGUUUACAAAAAAAUCUGUGAGCACCUUGAGCCAAUGAUCUACAAUAAAGGAUGCUACAUUAUUCUAGAGGGGGAGCCACUUGACAUGAUGUUCUUCAUCCCAGUGGGCAGUGUACUCACCUAUGCGACUAAUAAUGGAGGAUCAAAUGGUAGUUCUUCAGGUACUAUCCAACUUAAGAAAGAGAAAGAUGAUUAGUACGGAGAAGAGCUUCUAACUUGGGCAGAAGGGACUUGUAGCGAAUUGUCCAACUUACCAAUCUCUGCCAUAACUGUCAAGUGCCACAACAUGGUUGAAGUCUUUGCUCUCCAAGCCACCGAUCCACAGCUUAUUGUAUCUGAAUUCCCGAGUCAAUUCAACAUGGACAGGGCUCUCACCAUAGCUGUUAAUAAUGAAACUGUACGUGAAUUAAAGUUACGUAUCUUAUCCAUGUAGGAGAAAUUUUUCGAUAAUGUAGAUGGUUUGUAUUUAUAAAAUUUUCGGUAAAUUUACUUGAAUUUUAUAAAAUUUUGGCUCUCUGCCUAAUCUAAGGGUUCUCAAUAUUGACACGUUACUAUUGCAUAAUUUUUUAGUUUUUAGUUAUAAACCGUGGUUAACUUGUCGUGAACCAUCAUUAACCCUAACAGCAACGACAAAAAAAAAAAUUGGCUAUGAAUAAAUUUUGUUAUUUGUCUUAUUUGUAAAUGCAUAUCUUAUAUAUAAGGAACUUGCCCAGUGUUUCACUGGUAAAACAAGGCGGCCAAAGGCCAAAAUAUUUUCUUGCUCACUACACCAUGAAAUUGACGUACGGAGGCAAAGCUGACCAACUCCAUCACUUUCAUACACUUUAUUUCCUUGCAAUUUCUUAUGCUCUCACUCUUUUCUAGCCGCAUAUAUAAACACAUUUUUAAAGCUUUCUGGGAUUUGUUACCAGCCAGAAAGGCUUAAAAUUCUAACCAAUAAUCAUGUGUAUAAAUCAUACAUGGAGGGAAGUUCUAGCAGUGAUGAGUUGUCCAAGAUCAGCCUUAGGCCAUAUUGGGUCUUUCGGACAUCGAAGACUUCAUGGUGUGGGCAACCGAUGAGAAAGUCCCUCGCUUCUGCAUUUGGGAGCCUUACACCAGCAAAGAAGAUGGCAUUAAAUUCAUCAAGGAACAUGUUCUCCCACACCCCUGGUUCAGGGCAAUCUGCCUUGACAACAAGCCAAUUGGCGCAAUUUCGGUAGGCUCAAAAUCGGGGAUUGAUCGUUGUAGAGAUGAACUCGGCUAUGUUUUGGGGUCCAAGUACUGGGGGAAGGGGAUUGCAACAAGGGCUGUGAAAAUUGUAGCCCAUACUAUUUUUAAGGAGUGGACACAUUUAAAGAGACUAGAAGCUCAUGUUGAUGUGAAUAAUGUGGGAUCACAAAGAGUUUUGGAGAAGGCCGGGUUCCAGAAGGAGGGUGUUCUCAGGAAGUAUUUAGUUUUGAAGGGAAGAACUUGGGAUGUAGUGAUGUAUAGUCUUCUUUCUACAGAUCAAUGUCCGACUCAGUAACUUGAUGUAUAUGCAAUAAAGUUGUGUUUUGAAAUCCAUGUAUAUGCAGAUACUAGAGUUCUAGUUGAAAAUCAAUCUGAUACACUGAAUUGAAAGAUGUGUAUUAACCAUUUUUCUGACUAGCAUAAAAAAAUAAUAAUAAUAAAUAAAUCAUUUUUCUGACUCGGUUUUAUUUUCAAUGGAAUUUGAAAUUUACCAGCUGCCAAGAUCCACUAUGGCGGGCACUAACACAUUGAUUCUCCCUUUUUUAUUCUAAGUCAUUUCUUGGUCACACUCUAAAGCUCCCUUUUUGUUUAUUUAAAAAAAAACUUCUUUUUUUAUAUCUUCCAAGGCACCAUGCCGUUGCCAGUGCACUACAUAAACGCAAAAUAUAUUGCAACUUCCUCAUCCUUUCCUGCCAGAAACACUUGAGCUCUAAGCAAUCGUUGGAGUAGUAAUGGAGGGAAAUUCUGGCAUAUCAAACGGAAGAGAAGGCGGUGAUGAGGUCUUUACCAUCACCCUCAGGAAGAUGGGUCUUUCUGACAUUGAUGAUUUCAUGGUUUGGGGCACAGAUGAGAAAGUGGCUCGUUUCUGCACUUGGGAGCCUUAUGGUAGCAAAGAAGAGGGGCUCAAUCACAUCAAGGAAAAGAUCCUCCCACAUCCAUGGUUUAGGGCAAUUUGUCUUGAUGGCAGGCCUGUUGGUGUUAUUCUAGUAAACCCGAAUUCAGGUAAUGAUCGGUGUCGAGCUGAAAUCGGCUAUGCCUUGGGGUCCAAGUACUGGAGGAAAGGAAUUGUUACAAGGGCAGUGAAGAUGGUGGUUAAUACUAUUUUUAAGGAGUGGACACAUUUGGAGAGACUGGAAGGUCUUGUUGAUGUGAACAAUGUGGGAUCACAAAGGGUUCUGGAGAAGGCUGGAUUUCAAAGGGAAGGUGUUUUGAGGAAGCAUUAUAUUAACAAAGGAAGAACUAUAGACGAGGUCAUUUAUAGUAUUCUAUCCUCCGAAUGUAAAAAUUGACAUAAAACUCGUAGUACUCUAUUCUGGUAUGCCUUUAGAUGAUCGAAUGAAGUUGGAUUGAAUCAUUGUCCUUGUGUGGUAAACUUACUGUCAUUUUCUUUUCUGUAAAACUCUCUAGCUAUGUUAAGAACGCAUGUUAGCAACCAUAACCAUAUUUCUUUACAUUAAUAUCAAUCAUAAUCUUAAGCCCUUGAACUCUUGUAGCAAUCAUAAAUUCAUAAUGUAUCUUCUUCCCUCCACUUUCGAUUCCAUUACAGAUGUAAUAUUCUUCUUCUUUGAUCCUAGUCUUUGGUUGCCUUCUCUAAACCAAUGAGAAAAAUCAAAUUGAAGUUAUAUCUGAUCUAUAUUACAUAUCAUUAACAGUUUAACACCAAUGACAAUAGUACAAACUGGUGUAACCGGACUUGAGAACAAUUUGAAAACAUGACCAAAUUCAUAUUUUGCAAGUGAUUGUAGAGAGCUUGAUAAUUUGAACUCAUGACACUUUUUGAGAAAAGGAGAAAUUUCCAUUAAUCAAAGAUCAUGACGACCAAAAUGGUUAAGCAUGAAUAUUAACUAACGUACAUGAAAAAAAAAAAGAACAGACAAAGGACUGCAAACACAGACCAACCUAUACUACCAACAAUCGCUAAAGCAAUUGUAUUAUUAACUAACCUAAAAAUGCAACCAAAAGAUUGUUGCCGAAAGAACAGAAAAACUAAAAAGCAAAUGAACCUACCAAACUCAGACUGUGAUACCCCGAAAAUUUAAUAUUAGUUUCUAAUAUUAUUUUGGAAAUUAUUUAAGUAAGUGUUGUAUGGAUUUGUGGUUUAGUGAGUGGACUGGAAGUAGUCGAGUUUUUAUUUCCGUGAAAAUGCUUUAUUUUAAAGAGUCAACAGUUGACUUUUUAAUUUGUUGGGUUUCUCGGAAAACUUCAUUCACGAAAGUUGUAGAGCACAACGAUACGAGUUCGUAGACACGUGGCACACGUAAAAUGGACUUCGUAUGAGUAAGUUAUGGUAAGCGGAAAUUCGUGGCUUUAAGGGAAUUUUGGGGUUAAAUAAGAAAAGUGUUAGGUUUCCUUUUCAUUUUUUCGGAACCAUUUCUUCCCUCUUCUCUUUCUCUCCCGCGCCUCACCUUCGGUAUCUGAGUUUUCCAGCUGACCCGACCCGACUUUUUCGGCCGACUCCGCCAGACUCAGACGGCGGCUCCAGUUAGGUUUUCUUCCUCUCCUCGGCGUGAUCCUCCCUGUGUAGGUGAGUGAGAGCGACUCGUGGACCCGACUUCGACCCGACGACUUUCCGGCCGAAUUGGUUCAACCGUUAGGUAUAAAAGAUGCUCACCAUGUUUCAUUAUACAAGUUUGCUAUUGGAAGUUUGUUGUGAUUUUGAAGUUGUUGGGGUGGCGCGUGGGGCCCACUCGCCGCUGCCCGUGGUGGCGCGUCGGGCAAAGUGUGUAGGUUCAGUUGCUUGGGUUAAGGCUUGUUAAGGGUGCAAUGUUCUUUUGGUUAAGUGGUUAUUAAAGUUAUUAAUUUUGUUAAUAGGUGACUUGUGGAGUGUGGUUUGGUGUUAUAUUCUUGUGUUGUGCGUGCGAAGACGUAGCUUGAUUUGAGGUGAGUAACAUCUCACCAAGGUCCACUUUCGGACCAAUUAUUUAUAAUUAUUAUGAUGAUGAUUGUGAUGAUGAUUGUGAUGUUGAUUUUGAAGAUGAUUAUGAUGAUGAUUGUGACGAAGAUGAUUUUAAAUAUAAUUGUGAUGAUGACGAUUAUGAUGAUGAUGAUAAUGUUGAUGGAAAUGUUGAUGAUAUGAUUAUUAUGUUGAUAAUUAUUAUGGUGACGAUGGUAAUGGUUUUGUUGAUGAUUAUGAUGCUAUUUUUAUAUUGUGAGUAAAUCUCACAUGGGUUCAUAAGGAACCGAGUUUAUUUUAUAAUUUUAUUAUUGUUAGUUGUGAAGUUGUCCUUAAAAGGUGAAUGAUUUUUGUUUUUAAAUAUAAAUGAGCUUGAUCGUCAACGGCUCAUGAGUAAGUGAAAAUAUGUUUUCUGAUAAAAAUAAAUCUUUCAAAAGGACUUCCGAUCAUGUGAUAUUGUGAUGUUAAAAUAUGGUUGUUGAAUAGAUUAUUUUAGUUGGAAUAUCUAUGUCUUUGUUUAUAUAAAUAUAUCUAGGUGGAAAGAUAUAAUUUAUGAAGUGUUCUUGUGUUGUUGUUGAUGAAAUUUUUAUAUCGUGAAUUGUUGUUUAAAUAGUCAAACUGGGUUCCAAGCCUUAAAUCGGGUGAUUGGUUACGGUUAUGAUUAUAUUAUUAUUUUGUGAUUUGAUAAGUGUUAUGAUGGGAGAGUAUUUAAAUGUGUGCCUUAGUGGUGAUUGUGUGCAUUAGUUGUGGAUAUGUGUGCCUUGGUGGUGAUUAUUAGAUUAGGAGCCUUCGUGGUGGACCGAGAACCAAGUCUUGGCCAGGUGAUUGGUUACGGUCAGUAUAGAGCUCUAGUUUGUCGGUACUUCAUGGGGGAUGACUAUGUGUUAACGAACCCAUGAGUACAUGUUUGUCUAGUUACUUAUGAGGAAUGACUAUGCGUUGACGAACUCAUAAGUAAAUGUUGAGAAAUGAUUGUGUGAUGUUCUUAUAUGUUGUCAUUUUAAAUUCAUUGUUUUAAGUAAUUCCUGAACUAUGCCUUUUUUGCCGUAUUUUAUUAUGAUUUGUUUGAUUGUGAUUUGUUGCGUUUCCUUUUAAUUAUUUGUUUCAUUUAUGAUUUUGAGUGAUUUUGAAUUGUUGUGUUCUCUUAAUUAUUUCUUUUGAAUUCUCUUGCUUUUAAAUGAUUCCUGAACUAAAUUAUUAAUGCAGGAAUUUUCAAUGUUAUCUUAUGUGAUGUUGGAAUUGUUGAGUUUUAUUUUGAGAGUUACUCAUACGAGCUUUUUAAGCUUACCGGGUUUGUUGUUUACAACCCGGUGCACCAAUUUAUGGUGUACGGGUUAGACCUGCAGGUGUUGAUUAGCAGGGUUGAGGUAGUGGCUUAAGAGCUGGGUUUUAGGCGAUGUACAUUAUUUGUAUUUUAUGGCUGUUGUUUUUAAGCUCAUGUGAGCGAAGUAGUUUAUUUCUAGACUUUUAGAUGUUGAUGUAAUUAAGGAGAUUUAAUGUUUAACUCGGUUGAGGAGUUAAUUUACAUUUACUUUUCCAGUAUUUGUUUUUAGUUUGGAAUUUGUCGAGCAGGUUGUGGGAUAUUAAGAUUUUGAAUUUUAUCAUGCCCAAAUUUUUGAAAUUUUAUCAUUCGAAAAUUGGGGUGUGACAGUUUGGUAUUAGAGCUAGGUUUAUAUAUUUGGUGAUAAUCAAUACUUCGGAGUGAUGGCCCGACUGCAGCAGAUCACCAUCAUAAGCUCUUCGGUAUUGAUAUGUCAUUGGGUAUGUGAAGGGUUAGGUGUCGCCUCUAGGUCAAUAGGAUGUGAGAGUAGAGAGUACUCUGUUAGUGGGAUUUUGAAUCUUUGUGUCCACCUUGAGUUAGUGCCUUGGUUAAUAAAUGUUGCAUUCGACUUAUAUUUUGGUUUAAGUUUUAUGCAUGAGUUAACCAAGGUUUACUUGCUUCUUAGGUGAUGGAUCCUCCGCGAGGAAGAGCUAGAGGCCGAGGUAGGGCCAGAGGCAGAGGUAGGGCUCCACCUGUGGAUGAUUUCUUUGAGGAGGAGGUGGUGUUGGAGGUGCCAGUGCCAGUUGCAGUAGAUGAUGGUCUACGAUUGGCCAGGCUAGCUUAGGGUAUCAUCAGGUUAGGAGCGCCUUCCUUUCUUGGAGGUACAGACUUCCUUGUAGCGGAUCACUGGAUAGAGGGCAUGGAGACAUACUUUACCCUUAUCACGUGUACGGAGAUUGAGAAGAUGCGUAUUGCUAUUUUUCUUCUCAAGGAUGAGGCACGGGUAUGGUGGAGCGGGGUAGAGAGAGCUAGAGAUGUGACCGCUUUGUCUUGGGAGGGGUUCGUACAGCUCUUCGGGAGAAGUAUUUUCCUGAUACUGUGAGGGAGCAGUUGGAGCUUGAGUUCAUAGCUCUAGUGCAGGGCUUGAUGAGUGUCAGGGACUAUGAGGCACGUUUUUCUCAGCUGUAUCGAUUCGCGAGAGAGAUGGAUGCAGUGGCCUUGUCAUGGAAGUUUAUUCAGGGUUUGAGGCAUAAGCUCCAGAAUGUUGUGAGUUCACACCGUUUUGCUACUCUAACAGAAGCGGUAGAGAGUUCCUUUGCAGUUGAGCAGGAGGAGGCCAUGCCUGAGGCUGAGGGACUGAGAGAUGUGCAUGGGAAGGGGAAGGCCAUUGCAGGCGGCAGUGGCACUGAGGGUCACCAUGGUGCGUUUGGGAAGAGGCAGCGGACCGAUCAGCAGGGUCUAGCUACGGUGCCAGCUGCACCUAUCCAACAAGUAGAGCCCUUGAGAUGCUACCGUUACGAUGGGUUAGGACAUAUUUCUAGGGAGUGCAACAAGCGGAAAACUCAGGCUUGCUACAAUUGUGGGCAGGUGGGGCACCUUACUAAGGAGUGUACUCGACCUUAGGAGGACAGACGUUUGAAAAACGCGAUAAAAGAUGUUUUAAUAACGUUUGAUAAACAUUGUGAUUCGAAUAAGCCAUAACGUUUCCAAAAUGUUAUAAAAGUUCAACUAUAACAUUUUUUAAGUGUCAUAAAUGAUUUUGGUCUAAAAUUUGAAUAGCCCGUCUUUUUUUGGGCCAAAAGUUGAAUCUCCCAUUUUUUUUUUCUUUUCCUUUAAGGAUUUUGUCAAACUUUAUUUUGGCUAUUUUUGAUUUUUCAUCUAAUAAAACUUCACAGGUGAAGAUCUGGACCGUUGGUCCUUUAGCUAUAAGGGUUGAAACCCUAAACUCAACUCAUUUUGAUCGAGAGAGAGAGAGACAAGCCAAGACGGGGCGAGAACGUCGCCGCCCUGCCAGCGUUCCCUCCGCCGUCGUUAAGUCGCCGCCGACCAAUAAACCACACCAUUGUUCUAACCCUCUCACUCUCCUCUACCUAGUCCUACUCUGGAAACCUAUAUGUAUAAAUUCUAGACUCAGAUCGAAGGAGGAAGCUCGAAGGCAUUUUCUGCGAUUACUACGUUUUCCGGCGACGCCACAGCUUGCAAGUGGUAAUCCCUGAACCCUCUCAAUCUCCUCUGCCUUCUAGAACCCCUAAUUUACAGUUUUAAUUCGAUUCUAAUCAAUCCCCAAUUCUGCUUUUUCGUUUUUCCGUCUCCGACGACUUGAUUGAUCGGAGAAGAAGACCCAAGCUUGAAGAGGCCAGGCCGCCAGGCACGCAACAUUUUGUCGAGAUGGAGCCUUGACCAACUCGGAGCAGGGCUCGGACUCCGACUUGGAGAUGAUCGGAGGCAGAAGCAAGAGGUGUUGUGUUUGGGUAAUAAGUCUACCUAAUCUCCAGCCUAUAAUUCUUAUAGGCAAAGAUGAACAUUUGACCUGUAUGACCUAUCACUUAAGUUUAAGUGUGCACUGUAUACUGACUUGUUUAUGCUAAUUUAUGUGUUUCAAUCUAUUUGGAUCAUUCUCUUAUGGUCAUGGCUCUAGGUGGGAACAAAGCAGAUCUUCCAAGGAAAGUGCAGUAGAGGUAAAUAUCCUUCUGUGUCUCAACCUAAUAUAUUUUAUAGUUCCUAAUCAGAUAUUUGGUCUUUCGUUAAGCAGUGUAGAUUUGGAAAUUUUAUGGAAUGAGCGUAGGGCUAAAGGUAUGUUGUUUUUAGCUUAAUCAUCCUAAUUAUAAUUAAGCACUGCUUGUAUUUCUAAAUACGUUGAAAGUUCUUAUUUGCAACAUUUUUGUGAAACUAAAUUUCUUAUGAGCGUGCAUCUAAAUUGAACAUUAGAUCGAUAGUUUUAGUUGUGAUUUUGAAUAUGGUGGGUGGAGGGUUCUUGACCUCAUGUUGUUUCAUUUCUGUUUGGAGGAUUUACCUCAAAAUUAUUUGAAUUAUAGGAGUAUAAUUUUUUAAGGUUCUUGUUUCAGUUGGGCAUCCAAUUCGACAUACAGAGUUCAAAGUUAAUGGUAGACCAUGUGAUAUGGUGAUGUUGAAAUAUGUUUGUUGAUAGUUGUUUACAUUUAUUUGUAUUUUUAUGGUAGUUGUUUUAAGCUCUUGUCAGCGAAGUUGUUCAUUUAUUUGUAUUUUUAUGGUAGUUGUUUUAAGCUCUUGUCAGCGAAGUUGUUUAUUAACAAACAUAUUUCAACAUCACCAUAUCACAUGAUCGAAAGUCCUUUUGAAAGAUUUAUUUUUAACAGAAAACUUGUUUUCACUUAUCAUGAGCCGUUGACGAUCAAGCUCAUUUAUUUUUAAAAACAAAGUCAUUUUCCUUCAAGGACAAUUUCACAAUUAAUAAAACAAAAUUAUAAAGUAAAUUCGGUUAUUUAAGAACCCAUGUGAGAUUUACUCACAAUAUAAAAAUAGCAUCAUAAUCAUCAAACAAAACCAUUACCAUUGUCAUCAUAAUAAUUAUCAUCAUCAUCAUUCUCAAAAACAACAACACAAUCAUCAUCAUAAUCAUCUUCAAAAUCAACAUCAUAAUAAUUAUAAUGAUUGGUCCGAAACUGGACCUUAGUGAGAUGUUACUCACCUCAAAUCCAGCUGCGUCUUCGCACGCACAACUCAAGCAUAUCACACAAAACCACAUCACAAAGUCACCUAUUAACAAAACGUUAACCUUAGUAACUAAGAAAGCAACAUUAUCCGACUCGAACCGAAACUCAAGUCCUAAUCCACGAGCUUAUCACUCGAGACAAAUCCUCCUCCUUGACCUCUAAAAGGUCGCUGAAACAUCCUACACAUCCUAUAGAACUACUAUCCAGAAUCUCAUGUUCGGAUUACUAAAAAAAAUGAAACGAACGAAACUAAUCACCACUGGGAAACCCUAGCAUGCAAUAAAGAUAACCAAAACCUACAACCCACAAAUCAACACACUCGUAUCGAAGAGUAUUAUCUAACCAGCACCACAAAACACCCCAGACACUACCGGACGCGCCACCACGCGCCACCACAGGCGGCGACGAGUGGGCCCCACGCGUCACCACGAAACGUCCGAAUUAGGGCAAACUCAAAACAUCAAAUUUGUAGAUUGAGGAGAGAGGAGCAUCUUUUAUACCUGAGGGUUCAACUAGUUCGGCCGGAAUCGGCCGGAAAUCACCGGAAACCCGCCGGAAAAGUUGGAAUUCACCACCACCACUCCACACCGAGAGUCAAGCUUCAAGACCACCGGAAAACAAACCAGGACGCCAAAGAGCUCCUAUCCCGACCGUUUCCAAGCUGCGUCGCCGCCGCCGGAGGUGGGAAACCCGACCGGUCUCCAAGCCGGACUUCCAAGCUUCGGGUCACCACUUCGGGACUGAAUCGGCGCAAGUCACCACCACAGGGCAGCUCGGACGGAGGAGAGGAAGAGAACCCGACCGGUGCCGUCGUCUGGGUCGGCCGGAGUUGGCCGGAAAAGUCGGGUCGGGUUGCCGGGUCCGGGUCAGGUCGGCUGGAAAACUCAGAUACCCAAGGUGAGGCGCGGGAGAGAAAGAGAAGAGGGAAGAAAUGGUUCCGGAAAAAUGAAAAGAAACCUAACACUUUUCUUAGUUAUACUAAAAAUUCCCGAAAAUCACGAACUUUUGCUGACCAUAACUUUCGCAUACAAAGUCCGUUUUACGCGUGCCACGUGUCUACGAACUCGUAUCGUCGUGCUCUACAACUUUCGUGAAGGAAGUUUCCCGAGAAACCCAACCGAUUAAAAAGUCAACUCUUAACCCUUCAAAAUAGAGCAUUUUUACGGAACUAAAAACUCAACUACUUCCAGUCCACUCACUAAACCACAAAUCCAUACAACUCUUACUUAAAUAAUUUCCAAAAUAAUAUUAGAAACUAAUAUUAAAAUUCCGGGGUAUUACACUUGGAUUGUAAUAUCUCACAUCAGCCAAACGGAGAAGGGUUAUGUGCUGUAUAUGUACAUGCCCACCUCCAAUCUAAUACGAGGCUUUUUGGUGUCUCAACGGCUUCGGAGGGGAUGGGUACUCCGAGGUUAAACAUGUUGAUGCUAGAGCAAUCCUAGGAUGGGUGACCUACUGGGAAGUUACUCCUGAGCUGUCGGAAACAAAACCGUGAGGGCCGGUGGGCCCAAAGCGGACAAUAUCGUGUUACGGCGGAAUGAGUCCUGGGAUGUGACAAAUGGUAUCAGAGCCACUCUGCCGUGUGGUGCGAGUGUGCCGACGAGGGCGUUGAACUCCCAAGGGGGUGGAUUGUAAUAUCCCACAUCGGCCAAACGGAGAGGAGUUAUGUGCUGUAUAUGUACAUGCUCACCUCCAAUCUAAUACGAGGCCUUUCGGUGGCUCAACGGCUUCAGAGGGGAUGGGUACUCCGAGGUUAAGCAUGUUGAUGCUAGAGCAAUCCUAGGAUGGGUGACCUACUGGGAAGCUGCUCCUGAGCUGUCGGAAACAAAACCGUGAGGGCCGGUGGGCCCAAAGCAGACAAUAUCGUGUUACGGCAGAAUGGGUCCUGGGAUGUGACAUUUAUUUCGCUUAUGUAAAUGGUAGACAUUUCUUAUGAAAAUAGUAGACGUGUCUUAUGUUAAAUGUAGACUUUGCAUCUUUUCUCUUGGGUUGCUUUAACCUCAAGAACAAUUUUGAUUUCUAGAAAGUCUACUUUUCUUUGAUUUCUCUUAUGUUAAUGGUAGACAUUUCUUAUGAAAAAAGUAGUUGUAUCUUAUGUUAAAUGUAGACUUUGCAUCUUUUACCUUGAUUUGCUUCAAUCUCAAGAACAAUUUAAUUUUCCAGAAAGUCUAUUUUUCUUUAAUUUCUCUUAUGUUAAUGGUAGAUGUUUCUAAUGAAAAUAGUAGAUGUGUCUUAUGUUAAAUGUAGACUUUGCAUUCUUUUACCUUGGGUUGGUUCAAUCUCAAGAACAAUUUAGAUUUCCAGAAAGUCUACUUUUCUUUGUAUUUCUCUUAUGUUAAUGGUAGNNNNNNNNNNNNNNNNNNNNNNNNNNNNNNNNNNNNNNNNNNNNNNNNNNNNNNNNNNNNNNNNNNNNNNNNNNNNNNNNNNNNNNNNNNNNNNNNNNNNNNNNNNNNNNNNNNNNNNNNNNNNNNNNNNNNNNNNNNNNNNNNNNNNNNNNNNNNNNNNNNNNNNNNNNNNNNNNNNNNNNNNNNNNNNNNNNNNNNNNNNNNNNNNNNNNNNNNNNNNNNNNNNNNNNNNNNNNNNNNNNNNNNNNNNNNNNNNNNNNNNNNNNNNNNNNNNNNNNNNNNNNNNNNNNNNNNNNNNNNNNNNNNNNNNNNNNNNNNNNNNNNNNNNNNNNNNNNNNNNNNNNNNNNNNNNNNNNNNNNNNNNNNNNNNNNNNNNNNNNNNNNNNNNNNNNNNNNNNNNNNNNNNNNNNNNNNNNNNNNNNNNNNNNNNNNNNNNNNNNNNNNNNNNNNNNNNNNNNNNNNNNNNNNNNNNNNNNNNNNNNNNNNNNNNNNNNNNNNNNNNNNNNNNNNNNNNNNNNNNNNNNNNNNNNNNNNNNNNNNNNNNNNNNNNNNNNNNNNNNNNNNNNNNNNNNNNNNNNNNNNNNNNNNNNNNNNNNNNNNNNNNNNNNNNNNNNNNNNNNNNNNNNNNNNNNNNNNNNNNNNNNNNNNNNNNNNNNNNNNNNNNNNNNNNNNNNNNNNNNNNNNNNNNNNNNNNNNNNNNNNNNNNNNNNNNNNNNNNNNNNNNNNNNNNNNNNNNNNNNNNNNNNNNNNNNNNNNNNNNNNNNNNNNNNNNNNNNNNNNNNNNNNNNNNNNNNNNNNNNNNNNNNNNNNNNNNNNNNNNNNNNNNNNNNNNNNNNNNNNNNNNNNNNNNNNNNNNNNNNNNNNNNNNNNNNNNNNNNNNNNNNNNNNNNNNNNNNNNNNNNNNNNNNNNNNNNNNNNNNNNNNNNNNNNNNNNNNNNNNNNNNNNNNNNNNNNNNNNNNNNNNNNNNNNNNNNNNNNNNNNNNNNNNNNNNNNNNNNNNNNNNNNNNNNNNNNNNNNNNNNNNNNNNNNNNNNNNNNNNNNNNNNNNNNNNNNNNNNNNNNNNNNNNNNNNNNNNNNNNNNNNNUGUUUCUUAUGAUAGUUGUAGACAGUCUCAAGAAUCAUUUUGAUUUCUAGAAAGUCUACUUUUGUGUGAUUUUGCUCAUCUGAUUGGUAGAUAUUUCUAAUGAAAACUGUAGAUAUAGAGAGACUUAACGGAGAGUUAACGGUGUUAGUUUGCUUUAACCUGCUAUAGCAAGUCAAAACUUGUUGGGUAUCCAUACCUUAAGGCACACAAGUGGAACCCAACAAUUGAUGACGUUUGGAAACUGUUAUGAAAGAUGUUCAAUGACGGUUGAAAACGUUAUGAAUGAUUUUUUUAUGACAAUUAAAAAAUGUCGUGGAAGAAUGUUUCAUGACAUUUAGGAACCAUCAUUGAAAUAGAUUCAAUGACAUUUAUCAAACGUCAUUAAAUAUAUUUCAUGACAUUUGUAAAAGGGUGGGGAAACCAUGACUUCAGUAAAGACGGCGAAGUAGAUGACGUUUGAUGAAUGUCAUGAAACCCUUAUAAUGAUGUUUUCCAUGUUAAUUUUGGAGUGAGUAUUAGCAGAGAUAAGAGCAAAAUGAUAGAUGAGAGUAGUAACCUUAAGAAGGAUGUUUCCUUGGGUAGCAUUCGGAACUCAGAAUGACCAAAUUAUAAUCUCUCAGAUCAUGAGGUAAUUUUGGGCUUCAAGAAGGAUAAUUCUACUGUGAAGAUCUUAACAAGAUGAAACCUUUUAGAGAAAAAUAAAAUGAUUAAAUUCAGUUUACCCUCCUGAGAUUUGAGGUUAACAUCAUUUCAGAUCCCAUACUUUUAAUUUUGAAAAUUUACCCCUUAAAGUUUCCAAUUUACAUCAAUCAUGUCUAAUUACUGAAAUUCCGUCUAAUUUGGACGUUAAUCUUGAGUUCUUGACUCAUAACUCACUAAAAAGGCUAAUAUAGUCAUGUAACAACAUAAAUCGUUUUUUAUGUACCUUUUUUUUCUUAAAAUUUCAUGCUAGCAAUUAAACUCUAAACUAGACAGAAUUUUAGCAAUUGGGCUUCAUUUAUGAAAAUUAAAGUAUGUGUAUUUAGUGAAUGUGUUGUGUAUGUAGUUGUAGUCGGUUGUGCAUAAAACAACCUCCCAAGCCCGUAAACCAGCUGGCGUUCCACUAUAACUGAGGCUGCCCCGAGAUAUCCACCAAUAAGUAGGGUGGGCCAGGCCCAACCUCAGUGGCAGUAUUGGGCUGGGAGUGGUUUUACAAGGCAUAAGGGAAUUGGGUGUGAAGUAGCAGCAAAGACAGUUGUCCCACAUCGGUUUUCAGGUAAAGAGAAUCCACUCUGGGCCAUAAAUAUGGCCCAGCCACCAGCUUGUUAGGUAUCAUAACUACCCUCAGUAAUUACAUUCUACCACAAGUAUCGACUUAAGCUUCGGAGAAUGAAAGACCAGAAGCCCCCGGUCCCCUUGUUAUUGCAGGUCAGCAGGAAGAUAGCAGACCAUCCACCAGACACAUCAUCAGCUUCUGCGAACCCAUCCGGGAUUGUAUAAAAACAUUUGGCGCCGUCUGUGGGAAUUUUUACAAAAAGCCAGCGUGACUCGAUGGCUAAGUUAAUCGAGCAGCAAGACUAGGAGAGGGAGGUGAUAUUAGGAAGGACCCUGAAAACUGCAGGGGGAAGUUCAAGAAUUACUGGGAGAACCCUGAGGGAUGAAACACCAGAGUAUGUGCCGCGGGAUCUCAAUCCUCAAGAGGUAGCCGAGAUGUGGGAAGAUAUGAGGGCCCAAAUCACUUGGCUGAAACAACAAAGCGCCCACGAUCGAGUGGAAGCCUUCAGGAGGGAGCGUAGGUUGGAAAGGGAUAACACCACGCUCAUGAAAGCGCUAGCCCGAGGAGUUGAGCACCGGGAGGCAUUGGACCGGGCGGGGGAGUUGGAUCGGGCAACCACGUCACAGCAGACAGGCACUCCGGUGGGAGCGAACUGUAGGACCGUGCAUAUAGGAACGAACUUGUUCCCGGAUGAAAUGCGAGAUGAGGGACCGCCGCCCUUACCCGAGCCAAUCCCGUAAGUCCAAGUUGGAAGACAAGGAGAGAUGGAAGAAACCCUAAGAGCUAUCCGGGAUAACGUGGCAAGUUUGGCUGAAAGAAUCUCGGACGCUGAGAGAAGGGGGACGUGUAACCCAACUCUCGCGAGUUUCGAGGAAAGGGGGGACCGUCCGACCAAGCGCAGCCAAGCCACUGAAACUUAGUUACAAUGGGGAUCGAGACCCCCAUCUCUUCCUCGAUAGUUUCAAGUCUCACACUAACGCUAAAGGGUACUCAGAUGCAAUAUGUUGCAAUAUGUUCCAAGAGACAUUAACAGGGGAAGCGCUAAGUUGGUUCUACGAGCUCCCUUCGAACUCAGUCGAUUGCUUCCGGGAACUGGCAAACAAGUUUGUCAAUAGAUUCAUUUUACUAACGGACAGGCAGAACACCGCCUAGUUGUUCAAAGUAAAGCAAGAUAGGGGUGAGGGAUUGAAAGCUUUUGUGAACCGUUGGCAAGGUGCCACUGCUAGAGUCAGGAACUUUGACAAGAAGGUUGCAGAGGAAGCGUUCAUUCAAGGACUGCUUCCUGGGAAAUUUAUGUAUGCAGUAAAAAUCGAAUGUUCACAAGGCUACGAUGAGCUUAUGGAAAUGGCGGUCAGACAUGCACAAGCAGACCAUGAUACAUAUGGAGGGACCUCGGCCAAGAAGAGGAAGGUCGGAAGGGAAGGAGGAUUGCCGGUACAAGUGGUCCAAGAGAUUAGGGCCUGGACGGGGGAGCAAGAGCCGAACCCGCACCCAGUUGGAAAGAGGCACAAGGAAAGAAGCUGGGGGAAGGCAAGGAAGCAGCAUAACGCGCAAGGGAAGGCAAAACGGCCGUACAAAGAUACCGAGUACGCGAGAACGGUACCGACAAGCAAGGAGCAUUUCUCAACACUCAACGCCACGUAUGAGGCGAUAUGGAACGAGAAUAAAUCCGUCAUUCCGCCUCCCUCGGCCCGGAAGUUUCCCCCAUCUCGGCUCACCAAGGAAGAUACCGGAAAGUUUUGUGGCUACCACGGGGAGGCAAGCCAUAACAUCAACAGCUGCAUAGAAUUGAAAAAAGCGGUAGAGCUCCUGGUGCAAGAAGGAAAAUUGCAGCAGUAUGUACUCGGGCCAAGGCACGUAGGGGCAAUUAAAGUAUAUGGGACAAUCAACACCAUCCAUGGCGGGUCUCGUAUAGAUAAUAGAAGCAACAAGGAAAAAAAGCAGUGUACGGGAUCCAAGGAUGGCCGGGGGGUCUUCGCCUUUGGGAGUAGCAAUAAUCAGCAAGUGACCACCGGUUUGAAGUCCGUUACCUUCCUAGAAGAGGAAGAGGAGGGGAUAAGGCCGCACGAGGACCCAUUCCUAAUAACAUUGCAACUCGACCACUAUAUCACGAAGAAGAUCCUAGUUGACAUAGGAGCCUCGGUCAACGUGUUGUUCAGGAGCGCCUAGAAAUGACUACAUCGAGGAAGUAACAAGUUGAUACAAGACCAUGAGCCGCUGAUCAGCUUCUCAGGUGAUGUCGUCCAGCCCCUAGGAUCGGACAGCUUUGGGGUAAGUAUGGAAGGCCGAGAGGGAAUUGCCCGGGCGACUGUAGAAUUCAUCGUGGUAGAUUGCGAGUCGUCCUACAACGGGAUCUUGGGAAGGCCCGUGUUAUGGAAGCUUAAGUCUUUAGCUGCCGGCCACAUGUUGAUGAUGAAGGUCCCAACCCUAACCGGAGUCAUCACGACCUAGGGAGACCAGACGGCAGCAAGGAGUUGUUACGCGAUAGACAACGGGAGGAAGAGAUCCGAGGUUCUAUUGGCGAGCCAGGCCACGGCAUCCCCCUCAAACCCUUAUGUGGAUCCCAGGGAUGAUACUGACUCGGAUAAGGAGCGUUCGGGGUCGGCAGAAGAAACAGAAAUGGUAUCAGUCUCAGAUGAAUUCCCGGAUAAGCGAGUGACCAUUGGGACAGGGCAGGCACCCGGGGUGCGAGCGGCCUUGAUGUGCUUCUUGAAGAAAAAUAGUGGGGCAUUCGCUUGGCCAUAUAAGACAUGCCCUGGAUAUCUAGUGGUAUCGUAACACACCAGCUAGGAAUCGAGAAAGGAUCCCCCCCCCCUCCCGGUGCGGCAAAAGCGAAGGACGUUUAAACCAGAAAAGUAUGAAGCAAUGAAGGGGGAAGUGCAAAAGUUGAUAGACAUAAAGUUUAUACGGGAGGUCAAAUACCCCCAAUGGUUGGCCAAUAUGGUCAUGGUUCCAAAGAAGUCAACAGGACAGUGGAGGAUGUGUGUAGAUUACUCAAAUCUCAACAGAGCAUGCCCAAAAAACAGCUUCCCGCUCCCACGAAUAGAUCAACUGGUGGACUCCACGUCCGGAUUCGAAUUAUUGAGCUUCAUGGACGCCUAUGUGGGCUAUAACCAAAUUCGGAUGGAUCCAAGGGAUGAAGAGCAUACAACUUUCACGACCGACAGGGGCCUUUAUUGCUAUAAGGUAAUGCCUUUCAGACUAAAGAAUGCGGGAGCAACUUACCAACAACUGAUGAAUGUCAUGUUCGCCGAGUACCUCGGAAAUAUAAUGGAGGUAUAUGUCGAUGACAUGCUGGUCAAAAGUCUAAAGGCCGAGGAGCAUGUAGGGCAUCUUGAGAAAGUCUUUGAAGUCAUAAUGAGGUUCGCGAUGAGAUUGAACCCUCAGAAAUGCAUCUUCGGGGUUGUCAAAGGGAAGUUCCUGGGGCAUAUAAUUAGCAGGAGGGGGAUUGAAGCCAACCCAGAAAAGAUCCAAGCCAUAUUGGACAUGGAAAGGCCCAAGGAGAGGAAUGAAGUGAGUUCAUUGGCCGGGAAAAUUGUCGCCCUUGCCAGAUUCUUUUCACGACUCACGGAUAAGUGUGCCCCUUUCUUUCGGCUGCUGAAAGACCAGUGGUGUAAAGAGAUAGUAUGGGGACCCGAGCAGGAGGAGGCAUUCAAACAAAUAAAGGCGUACCUCACGUCCGCGCCGAUAACCAAUCCUGGGCAAGAUGCUUUACCUAUAUAUCGCGGCAUCACAGUCAGCAGUUAGCUCAGUCUUGAUAAGAAAAGAGUCCGAUAUCGAGCAUGCUGUAUUUUACGCUAGGAAGGGAUACACACCGGCUGAGAGCAGGUACCUCGACGUGGAGAAAUUAGCCUUGGCACUUAUUAUAACCACCAGAAGGCUCAGACAUUAUUUCCAAGCGCACUUGAUAACCCUUUAUACUAAUCACCCCCUGAGGAAGAUUAUACAAAGCCAGAAAUCAGCAGGAGGCUGGUGAAAUGGGCAAUAGAGCUGGAGGGAAUUUGAUAUCCAUUACCGGCCGAGAAUGGCAAUCAAGGGCCAAGCAGCGGCUGACUUUAUUUCUAAACUCAGGCCCAUGAAAGUUGUGGGAAAGUCCUUUGAGCUCACGCCCACGAAAGUUGUGGGAGUAUCCUCCGAGAUCGGCCGGGAGGAAAGUGGUCCCGGAGCGGAUAAGGGUAUGCACAGCGAGGAACCGCCGGCCCAACUGUGGAGGUAUUUUGUUGAUGGCUCAGUGAUGAGAAAUAAAAGCGGGGCGGGAAUAAUAUUAGAGACUCCCGAUGGAUUCAAACAUGAGUACGCCCUGGAAUUCCAUUUCAAGGCAUCAAACAAUGCGGCUGAGUACGAAGCUCUAAUCGGGGGAUUGCAACUCGCCCGAGACGUCGGUGUGGAAAGAGUUGAAGUGUUUAGUGAUUCACAGUUGGUUGUAAAUCAAGUCAACGGGAAUUUUGAAGCUAAGGAGCCUUAGUUGUACUCUUACCAAGCAUAAUCAAAAGCCUUCAUGCAACGUUUUAAGUCGACCUCUCUCUCUCACAUCCCUUGGAAAGAAAACAGUAAUGCAGAUGCCCUCGCUCGGCUAGCCACCGGAGGGCCCGGGUAAGGCAGAAAGAAGGCACGGAUUGAGGUUCUUGGAAAGCCAAGUAUCAGUAAGACAAUCUCAGAGAUAUUCAUAGUCGAGGCGGGACCCGGAGAGCCUACGUGGAUGGACCCCAUAAUCGAGUUCAUAAAGGAGGGGGUGCGCCUAGCGGACAGGCAGCAGACACGAAAGUUGCAAUCGAGAUGUGCUAAAAACACCCUCAUGAACGGGAAGCUAUACUGCAGAGGUUACAAUUUCCCAAACCUCAAGUGCGUGACAGAGGAAGAGGGAGAAGUGAUCAUGGGAGAAAUUCAUGAAGGGGUAUGCGGGAAUCACUCUGGAUCCCGGUCGUUAGCACAUAAGGCACUACGCACAGGGUUCUUCUGGCCCAACAUGGGUGUCAUGACAGAUAGGAUGUCGGAGAGAUGCCGUAAAUGCCAUUUGCACGCCAACGGGAUACAUUCCCCUUCUAUUGCUCUGUCAGUCUUAUUGUCGCCCUGGCCUUUUGCACAAUGGGGCCUUGACCUCAUCGGGAUACUGCCAACGGCACCCGGGCAGUUCAAGUACGUGAUAGUGGUUGUUGACUAUUUCACGAAAUGGGUGGAGGCAAAGCCCUUGGGGAAGAUAACCACCGAGUGUGUGAAGAAUUUCCUGAUGAAGAACAUCUACUGCAGAUUCGGGGUCCCGGAGACAAUCGUCACGGACAAUGGUACACAAUUCAAAAAUAACCAUCUAAUUGAAUUCACAAAGGACAUGGGUACCAAGAUGGCAUUCGCGUCGGUGGCACACCCGUAGACCAAUGGUCAGGCGGAGGCGGUUAACAAGAUCAUUAAAAACCUUUUGAAUUUUGAAAAAGAAGUUAGACGACGCAAAGGGUCUGUGGGCUCAAAAACUGCCGGAGGUAUUAUGGGCAAUUAGAACCACAACAACAGAAGCAACAGGAGAAACUUCUUUCAGCAUGGCCUUUGGCACGGAGGCUGUUUUGCCAAUCGAGACGUUAAUACCAUGGGGAAGGGUCGAAAAUUUCGACGCCACAACCAAUGAGGAGGGUCUCCAUUUGAACAUUGACCUCAUCGAGGAGAAGAGGGAGCGAGCAAACUUACACAACCAAUUGUAUAAGCAGCGGGUUGCAUGCCAUUACGAUAGUAAAGUCAGGACCUGGACGUUGGGACUGGGGGACUGGGUAAUGAAGAAAAUCAUGACCAAAACGGUGGCCCUGGACCCAACUUGGGAAGGACCGUACGAGAUCAUCGAAGAGGUCGGCCCAGCAACAUUCUUUCUCCGAGAUCAGUAUGGGAUAGUCACCGGGCGCCCCUAGAACACGGAGCGCCUCAAGUUCUACCCGGUGUGAAAGAGUCACCAAGAUCCACUCCAUCUUUUUGUAAAAUGUUCAUUCGUAAGUAUUGCGGCCCCCGGGAGGACAACAAGUCCCGGAGGAUGCCUUCAUUCAUUUUGAAAGACUUAAUACAAGAAUGGAGAAGUUAAAUUCAAAUUCUAAUGAUGGUAGUCCACCGGGAGGCAUAAGUCAAUUAAAUCUCAAGAAUUGCCCAACAGGAUGGUUGACAUGACCCACCCCGAAUUUCACCCUGAAACCCAGAGUAAGUCGUGCGGGGACCACCUCCAAGGAAAAUUUAUCGUAAAGAUUGAUAAAACCUCCCUUGAAAAUGGACAACCCUAACUCGAAAAUUUCAAAUUUACACUCUUAUUACAGCACGUCCAAAUGUCACAUAAUUAUCCAGCUAAAAACAACAAAUCUUAUCCUUCAGAAAUUCUAAACAUGAAGUCAACCGACCGAGCACACUACCGAAAUAAUAUACAAUAAUCCCAAAGUAUUUAGAGCUACUAGGCACUAGCGGAAGCAAGAAAACACUAGUAGGUUAAACAGGUAACCUACUGAUGAAAACUGGCAGAAAUGCGGGUGACUAUGCCACGCCUCCUACUAGAUCCAACCUGAACUCUGCAGACUGGGCAUUUUAAAACAAAGAGCCCAAGGGAAGACAUUUGAAACCGUUAGAGUGAGUGGACAAAAAUAAAAUUUAAAAGAAAAUAAUUCUUUAUGCUUCCCAAAUUAACUUCUGAGGAAAAAUAGUUAACAACAUUCAACAAGCUCCAAAAGCUUUUAAAAAAUUUACCAAAUUUACUGAAACGUGACUAGCCGCGCCAGUCACCAACACUUCAAAAAUAAGAACCUCUCAGGCUAAAAUAAAAUAUGCAUGUAUUACACUCGUCAUAUCCCUUGUAUGAAUUUUCUUGAAACAACAAAGACAAAUAGAAAAUUCACACAAGGCUAUGACGCUUGCGUCUAACGCUCACGUCACACCAUAAUGGCAUUUUACCUCAUUAUGGUGGAAAAGACGAUGUAUAAAUAUAUAUAUACGCGCAUAUCUCCUAUAUAAAUUAUUAUAUUUAUAUAGGGCUACAACGAUUGCGUCUAACGCUCACGUCGCACCAUAAUGGCAUUUUACCUCAGUAUGGUGGAAAAGCACGUAUAGCUAGCUAGCAUUCCCUCAUAUACAUAUUAUUCUCAUAAUCAUCCAAAUAUGGAUAUAUAUACAUACUCAUCGAAAUUGAGAAUUUCGGUUAUUCUCUAACCACAUAAAUUAUUUCGCAUGCACAUUAUUUAAAAUAAAAGUUCACUCACAAAUUAGGCUUAAGCAUGAUGUCGAUCUGGGGCCUCGUCAGCACGAGCCUCCUCACGACCUGUUCCAAAAAUAAUAUUAAUUUCCUAGUCCGAAAUUCCAAUAUUUACGCAAAAUAUGCCAAAAUUAACCGAGAGCCAUAAACACGCUCGUCAUUGCCUAACUUCGAAAUGGUCCACAUUUCAACCCUAGAACCAGCAGCCGUAACUACACAUUCCCACAGUUUAAACAACUUUAAUCUAGGGCUGGGCAUUCGAAACCGGUCCAGAAGGCCCGUCCCGAUCCCGUCCCUAAAAUUCACGGGACGAGAUGGGACUUCAUUUUGAAUAUUAAAGGCCCGGCCCGGCCCGUUCUUAUUUAAAAUUUCGGGUUCGGGAUCGGGCCUUGUUAGCUGGAUCCCGUAAAGGCCCGGCCCGUCCCGUUUUAAAAAAACCUUAAUGGUGUGAGUUAAUCUACACCGUCCGAUUAAUCAGCUGAAAGUUGUUAGCCCUAAUUCUGUCAUAGCAUCCAUAGUUCCAUACGCCUCACUUCAGUUUUCACUUCUCUCUCUCUCUCUCUNCNCUCUCUCUCUCUCUCUCUCUCUCUCUCUCUCUCUCUCUCUCUCUCUCUCUCUCUCUCUCUCUCCUCUCUCUCUCUCUCUCUCUCUCUCUCUCUCUCUCUCUCUCUCUCUCUCUCUCUCUCUCUCUCUCAGACCAUCAUCGCCAUUGUUGAAGAUCCAACAGCAGACGGAAACUGGACCGACUGAAAGACGGAAACCAGCAAGCUCGAUCGGAAACCGUCAAAUCUCGAUCGGUGAGUUGGGAGAUUGUAUUGUGGGUUUCUGGGUUUCUAUGUUGAUGUUUUGUAGUUUGUACAGUGGGUUUCUGGGUUUCUGGUUUGAUUACUGUUAGUGAGUUUUGUUGUUGAUUACUGGGUUUCUGUCAAUUAUGAUUAACACGAAGCUCUUCUAGAAUAGGAUAUGCUGUUGGUGUUGCCAUUGACAUAUGAAACACGCCCUCAAUUUAUCUUGUCCUUUUCAGCCAUUAAGAUGAUGUAACAUAACAAAACGUGAUUGCUUAACAAGGUAAUGACUUGCAGAGCUUGAAGCAUACAAGCAUGAAGCAUCUGUGUUUACUGUCUAGGUUUUGGUUUUUAGCUGUUUUUUUCCUUUUUCAGUUUUUUUGUUCAAAGGCCCGUUUUGGGCUCGGUCCCAAACGAGAUUCGGGCCUAUCGGGAUCACUUCUAAAAAACACUAAUCCCGACCCGGCCCGUCCCUAUUCAAAAUUUCAGGUUCGGGUUCGAGAUCACCCUAAUCCCGGCCCGUCCCGGCCCAUGCCCAGGCCUACUUUAAUCCAACGGCUGGAUUCUACAUUAAAUCACCGCCAAAAUACCAAACUUCAGAAAUUCACCAACCUAUCCAAAACUCAUCCAAAAAUUCCAUAAUUUACAUCAAUAUACUCCCCUUAAUAUUCCACAUUUAAAACCAUAAAAAUCUCCCAAACAGCGGCGGCCGGAGGCCGAUUCCGGCGACCUCCAAUUCCUAUGAAAUUUUGACAGCAUAAUCCUCUCAUCAUGCUCUACAACUUUCCUAACUAGCACAAACCCAAAAUCCAAGCCUAGCUAUGUCAAUCGAACAAAAACAUCAAAAACGCCCUAGAGCUUCCACCUCAAAUUUCUCCUUACCUAAAGCAAACCGGAGUGAGUCCUUUUAGGGCAAGGCAGCUGGGUUAGAGACCUAUAAAACCGUACCAAGCUUGCCUAGAUUGGUGGCCGGAGGAAGGAGUUCCGGCGAUGGAGGACUUUGGGCAGCCCGAGGUUCUAGGCGGGAGAACUCCUUCACGGUGGCGCUAGGGCAGCCUUCACCGGCCUAGAAUGGAAGCUGGGUCGAAGGGCAACCGAACGGGACCGGAGCGGCGGCCUACGGUGGCCGGACGGCGGCAAGCUAAGCGGAGGAAACCAGCGGGGGAGAGAGAGCUCGGGAGGGAGAGAGAGAAGAGAGAAAUAGGCUUGGGCCUCCUACCAGGUCCAAGUCCUAUAUACAACCCAAUUCCAAAAAUAAAACAUCCCAAAAAAAUAAUACCCGAAUAAAAAUUACCUUUUACUAGCUAAAAUUUACCAUUUUUUACCGUCGUCAUAUUUUCCUCCUACGAAUAAUCCUCCGCACAUAAUCGUCCCCGAAACCCCUCUAGGGACCAAUUAAACUAUUACCUCAAUGACGGAGACGGUAAAAUUCUUAUUAUAACCAAGCUAGUAAAUAAGGUAAAAAUAUAAGGGUCGGGAUGUGACAAUUCUCCCCUCUUUAUAAAAUUUCGUCCUCGAAAUUUACAUACCUGUCAUUCGAAGAGAUAGGGAUAUUGCUGCAUCAUUUGCUCCUCUGAUUCCCAAGUAGUUUCUUCUACUUGAUGACUUCUCCAAAGUACCUUGACAAGUGGGAUUGUCUUGUUCCUGAGCACUUGCUUCUUUUGAUCAAGAAUCUGAACCGGAUCCUCUUCAUAAGACAAAUUUUUCAUCAAACUGAUCGGCUGCUCUUGCAGCACAUGAGAAGGAUCGGCAAUAUACUUGCGAAGCAUGGAUACAUGAAUCACAUUAUGUAUCCUGGAUAACUCUGGAGGCAAAGCUAAUCGAUAAGCAAGUGAGCCAACUCGCUCUAUUAUCUCAUAGGGGCCAAUAUACCUCGGGCUAAGUUUCCCAUGUUUUCCAAAACGUACUACCCCUUUCCAAAGAGAUAAUUUCAGGAACACCCAAUCACCCACUCGAAAUUCAAGGUCUUUCCUGCGGACAUCUACAUAACUCUUCUGCCUACUUUAAGCGGUCUUGAGUCUAUCUCUGACCACUUUAAUCUUCUCAUUUGUAACAUGAAUCAAUUCUGGGUCACAAAGCUCUUUUUCCCCUACUUCAUUCCAACACAAAGGCACACGACACUGCCUCCCAUAAAGUGCCUCAAAAGGAGCCAUACCAAUGCUAGAAUGAAAGCUAUUAUUAUAGGCAAAUUCCAUCAAAGAUAGGUUUUUAUCCCAACUCCCUCUGAACUGCAAGGCACAAGCCCUCAACAUAUCCUCCAAAGUCUGAAUAGUCCUCUCGGACUGCCCAUCAGUCUAAGGAUGAAAAGCAGUGCUGAAGAGCAAUUGGGUACCUAAAGCUGCCUGAAGAGCUCCCCAGAAUUUAGAAGCAAAUCUAGGAUCCCGAUCUGACACUAUUGAUUCAGUAACACCAUGAAGCCUAACAAUUUCAUUCACAUAAAGCUCCGCCAAUUUAUCCAAUUUAUACUUCUUUCCCACUGGCAAGAAAUGUGCAGACUUGGUGAGUCGAUCCACAAUCACCCAAAUACCGUCAUGCCCUUCACGGGUACGAGGUAAACUGAAAACAAAAUCCAUGGUGAUGUGGUCCCACUUCCACACUGGAAUAGGCAACGGCUCAAGCAAUCCAGAAGGCUUCUGCCUUUCAGCUUUUACUUGCUGACAAAUUCGACAUCUACUCACAUAAGCUGCAAUUUCCCUCUUCAUGUUUGGUCACCAAUAAUAAUCCUUCAAAAUCUGAUACAUUUUUGUGCUACCCGGAUGAGCAGCAUAUGCAGAACUAUGAGCUUCCUCCAUAAUCUCACUCUUCAACUCUUCAUUUCUUUUUGGAACACAAAGCCUAUUCUUAAACAAUAAAGUCCCAUCUCUUCUAACUGAAAAAUGAUCGGCUGCAGCUCCAUUCAAAGCUCUUUCUAUCAAUCGAACUAUGGAAGGAUCAUUAUUCUGUGCUUCCCGCACUCUAUCAACCAAAACUGGCCUCACAUAAAAACUGUCUACCAAAGCACCAACCUCAUCUACUGCUAAAUCCACCCCUGUAGCUCGCAACUCAUAAAGAAGCGGAACACGAACCAUCUUUAUAUGAAAUAAAGAUAUGGAGGGAUUUCAGCUAAGAGCAUCAGCUACAACAUUAGCUUUUCCAGGAUGAUACUCAAUAGUGCAAUCAUAAUCAUUGAUUAACUCCAUCCACCUUCUCUGUCUCAUAUUUAGCUCUCUUUGAGUGAACACAUACCGAAAACUCUUGUGAUCGGUAAAAAUUUGACACUUGGCUCCAUAAAGAUAGUGUCUCCACAGCUUGAGAGCAAAAACUACCACUGCAAGCUCCAGAUCAUGAGUAAGAUAAUUCCCCUCAUGCAGCUUCAAUUGCUUAGAAGCGUAGGCAAUAACUCGAUCAUGCUGCAUCAAAACUCCACUUAGACCACGUCUAGAAGCAUCACAAUAGACCACAUACUCUCCACUAUCAUUCGGAAGUGCCAAAACAGGAGCACUAGUCAAGCAAUUCUUCAAUUCUUGAAAACUUUGCUCGCAUAGAUUUGACCAUUCAAACUUAACCCCCUUCCUGGUCAAUCUUGUAAGAAGAGCAGCAAUCUUUGAAAAAUCUUUCACAAAGCGCCGAUAAUAACCUGCUAAUCCCAAUAAACUACGAAUCUCCGUCACAGUGGUGGGUCUUCUCCAAUUUGAUACUGCUUCCACCUUUUGGGGAUCCACACUAACUCCUUCUGUCGAAAUCACAUGACCCAAGAACCCCACUUUAUCUAGCCAAAACUCACACUUGCUAAACUUAGCAAAUAACUGCGAAUUUUCUAAAGUCCGCAAUAUUAUUCUUAGAUGCUUGGCGUGCUCCUUCUCACUUCUUGAGUAAACCAAGAUGUCAUCUCUGAAUAUGAUCACGAAACGAUCAAGAUAUGGACUAAACACCCUAUUCAUGAGAUCCAUGAACGCCGCGGGUGCAUUAGUAAGUCCAAAUGGCAUCACCACAAACUCAUAAUGACCAUAUCGUGACCGAAAAGCAGUCUUGGCUAUGUCCCCCUCUCGGAUCCGCAACUGAUGAUAACCCGAUCUCAAAUCGAUCUUAGAGAAAACAGAGGCACCCCUCAACUGAUCAAAUAAAUCAUCAAUCCGAGGCAACAAAUAUUUAUUCUUCACUGUGACCUGAUUCAACUUCCUAUAGUCAAUGCAUAGUCUCAUGGUGCCAUCUUUCUUCUUAACAAACAACACCGGAGCACCCCAUGGAGACAUGCUAGGCCGAAUAAAACCCUUGUCUACCAACUCCUGCAAUUGAAUCUUCAACUCUUUCAAUUCCGCUGGAGCCAUUCUGUAAGGUGCCUGAGAGAUAGGCAUGGUUCUGGGAAGUAAUUCUAUAGAGAAGUCUAUCUCCCUUACAGGAGGCAAACCAAGCAACUCUUCAGGAAAAACAUCCGGGAACUCCCUUACUACUGGAAUAUCUUCUAUUCUCACGACUCUCAUACUUGAAUCCACCACAUGAGCUAAAUAUGCUUGACAGCCUUUACUCAACAAUUUCCUUGCAGCAAUAGCGGAAAUUAUGCAACUAGAAAUAACAUCUCUUUCCCAUUGGAAAGCAACCUCAAAACCAUCUGGACUUCGAAGCACCACUACUUUCUGAAAACAAUCUACCAUAGCUCUAUAUGCUUCCAAAAAGUCCAUUCCCAAGAUCACAUCAAACUCCACUAUAUCUAGAGGAAUUAAAUCAGCCUCGAAAUUAACUCCUUCCACUAAAACUUCACAACCACUAAACACUCAAUUUAUCCUCAUCACCUCACCGGAGGGUAGAGACACAUGUCACUCGCCUGGAAGAGACGAUGAUGGCACAUUGGCAUGGAGGGCAAAUCUACUAGACAAGAAUGAAUGCGUGGCUCCGGGAUCAAUUAAAGUAAAUGCAAGCUGACCAAAAAUUAAUAACGUACCAAUGAUGACAUCUGGAGAAGUACGACCCUCCUGCUGGGUCAUAGCAUGCAGUCUAGCGCGAGUCAUGGGACGUCCACGCUGACCACCUCCCCGCUGAGAGCCACCUCUGACCGAAGCACUGCCCUGGGCACCACUACUAGAGCCCCUAGCUAAAGACUGACCAACUGGCUGAGUAGGGGUGGGGGUGGUCCUCUGAGCCAACAAUGGGCAAUCUCUCCUGAAGUGGUCUUGACCACCACUUCAAAGCACCCAGAAAACUGCUGCUGCCCAUAAGAAAAAGUCUGGCUACCGGAUGACCCACCAUGGAAGCUACCACCAGAACCAUACUGCCCAGACUGCUGCCUACCCAAAUGACUCCGAGAAGAACUUCUGAAACGUCCCUUAGACUUGCUUCGAACACCAAAGCUAGAUCUACCACUACUGCCACUACCAGCAAAAGACCCAGAAGCGGAUAAUGAAGCAGCCUUCUUGGAUGGACCUUGACUGGGGCCACUGAAAUCACGAGGCCGAGCACCAUAUGUCCCCAUGGACUCAAUGGCCAUGGCUGCAGUAACCGCAUCCAUAAAGGUCGGAUAAAUCACCCCCUUCAUCUUGUCUGCAUACACUCCACCAAGUGCCCCAAUGAACAUCUCAAUCCUGGUCCUCUCAUCAGGAACCAGAUAUGACACAUGGUAGCUCAGGGAAGUGAAUCUCUCCUGGAACUCUAUAACACCCUCAUCAUCCCUCUUCGUCAUAUGCAGGAAAUCUGACUGAAUUCUGCUGCAGUGGGCAUGAUUGAAAUACUGCCCCAAGAAGAGAGUCUUGAACUACUCCCAUGACAUAUUCAGAGCAUCCUCAAUAUUCCUGCUGGCAAGCGACCACCAGUGAUGUGCUGAAUCAUCCAGAAAAGUCACUGUCAUCUUCACCUUUCUUUCUUCUGGCAACUCAGUGCUCGCAAAAGCAUUUUCCAUCUUGUCCACCCAAUUGUGAGCAUCAAGAGGUCCCUUGGCACCCUUGAACUCUCUCGCUCCAGCAUCAAAAACUUCUCUCCUUUUCACCGUAGGAGGGCGUGGAGCUCGAUCCAUGACAUCCCUCAGCAUAUUUCCAAUAUCAUCAACCAGUCCCCUUACCUUAUUGCCCUCAUCGACAUUGGUCGAAGUAGCCACACGGGGUUGCCGUGGGCGCUUAGGAGGCAUAGUACCUGAGGAAGAAGAUAUUUAGUAGUCCAUAAAUAAGACUAACACAACUAUCACACAUACCCAAUAACACAUAGCAUCAAAAGCAUAAAAUGCCAAUGAAUCCGCCGCGGUCGGAUCAUCACUCUAUAGAAACUACAUGCUACUUAGGCAGACAUGAUAGUGACAAGGAAGCAGGAAAAGGAAACCUAAAGCUCUGAUACCAACUAACACGACCCACCCCGAAUUUCACCCUGCAACUCGGAGUAAGUUGUGCGGGGACCACCUCCAAGGAAAAUUUACCGUAAAGAUUGAUAAAACCUCCCUUGAAAAUGGACAACCCUAACUCGAAAAUUUCAAAUUUACACUCUUAUUACAGCACGUCCAAAGGUCACAUAAUUAUCCAGCUAAAAACAACAAAUCUUAUCCUUCAGAAAUUCUAAACAUGAAGUCAACCGACCGAGCACACUACCGAAAUAAUAUACAAUAAUCUCAAAGUAUUCAGAGCUACUAGACACUAGCGGAAUCAAGAAAACACUAGUAGGUUAAACAGGUAACCUACUGAUGAAAACUGGCGGAAAUGCGGGUGACUAUGCCUCGCCUCCUACUAGAUCCAACCCAAACUCUGCAGACUAGGCAUUUUAAAACAAAGAGCCCAAGGGAAGACAUUUGAAACCGUUAGAGUGAGUGGACAAAAAUAAAAUUUAAAAGAAAAUAAUUCUUUAUGCUUCCCAAAUUAACUUCUGAGGAAAAAUAGUUAACAGCAUGCAACAAGCUCCAAAAGCUUUUAAAAAAUUUACCGAAUUUACCGAAACGUGACUAGCCGCGCUAGUCACCAACACUUCAAAAAUAAGAGCCUCUCAGGCUAAAACAAAAUAUGUAUAUAUUACACUCGUCAUAUCCCUUGUAUGAAUUUUCUUGAAACAACAAAGACAAAUAGAAAAUUCACACAAGGCUAUGACGCUUGCGUCUAACGCUCACGUCGCACCAUAAUGGCAUUUUACCUCAUUAUGGUUGAAAAGACGGUGUAUAAAUAUAUAUAUACGCGCAUAUCCCCUAUAUAAAUUAUUAUAUUUAUAUAGGGCUACGACGAUUGCGUCUAACGCUCACGUCGCACCAUAAUGGCAUUUUACCUCAGUAUGAUGGAAAAGCACGUAUAGCUAGCUAGCAUUCCCUCAUAUACAUAUUAUUCUCAUAAUCAUCCAAAUAUGGAUAUAUAUACAUACUCACCGAAAUUCUCAAUUUCGGUUAUUCUCUAACCACAUAAAUUAUUUCGCAUGCACAUUAUUUAAAAUAAAAGUCCACUCACAAAUUAGGCCUAAGCCUAAUGUCGAUCUGGGGCCUCGUCUGCUUGAGCCUCCUCACGACCUGUUCCAAAAAUAAUAUUAAUUUCCCAGUCCGAAAUUCCAAUAUUUACGCAAAAUAUGCCAAAAUUAACCGAGAGCCAUAAACACGCUCGUCAUUGCCUAACUUCGAAAUGGUCCACAAUUCAACCCUAGAACCAGCAGCCGUAAUUACACCUUCCCACAGUUUAAACAACUUUAAUCCAACGGCCGGAUUCUACAUUAAAUCACCGCCAAAAUACCAAACUUUGGAAAUUCACCAACCUAUCCAAAACUCAUCCAAAAAUUCCAUAAUUUACAUCAAUAUACUCCCCUAAAUAUUUCACAUUUAACACCAUAAAAAUCUCCCAAACAGCGGCGGCUGGAGGCCGAUUCCGGCGACCUCCAAUUCCUAUGAAAUUUUGACAGCAUAAUCCUCUCAUCAUGCUCUACAACUUUCCUAACUAGCACAAACCCAAAAUCCAAGCCUAGCUAUGCCAAUCGAACAAAAACAUCAAAAACGCCCUAGAGCUUCCACCUCAAAUUUCUCCUUACCUGAAGCAAACUGGAGUGAGUCCUUUUAGGGCAAGGCAACUGGGUUAGAGACCUACAAAACCGUACCAAGCUUGCUCAGAUUGGUGGCCGGAGUAGGGAGUUCCGGCGAUGGAGGACUUUGGGCAGCCCGAGGUUCUAGGCGGGAGAACUCCUUCACGGCAGCGCUAUGCCAGCCUUCACCGGCCUAGAAUGGAAGCUGGGUCGGAGGGCAACAGAACGGGACCGGAGCGGCGGCCUACGAUGGCCGGACGGCGGCAAGCUGAGCGGAGGAAACCGGCGGGGGAGAGAGAGAAGAGAGAAAGAAAAGAGAGAAGAAGAAAUAGGCUUGGGCCUCCUACCCGGUCCAAGUCCUAUAUACAACCCAAUUCCAAAAAUAAAACACCCCGAAAAAAUAAUACCCGAAUAAAAAUUACCUUUUACUAGCUAAAAUUUACCAUUUUUUACAGUCGUCAUAUUUUCCUCCUACGAAUAAUCCUCCGCACAUAAUCGUCCCCGAAACCCCUCUAGGGACCAAUUAAACUAUUAAAUCCCGAGUAAUAUCAAACGGGAUGGUAAUCCACCGCAAGGCAAAAGUUAUUGAAGUCCCCAGUAACACCGAGCGGGAUAGGCAUAAUACAAAUAUAUAGCACAGAAGAAGCAAGUAAUAAAAUUAGACUAAGGCAUAAUAUAUUAAAACCCGGGAUGCCGGGCUUAUACCACUAAUGGGUAUUUACAAAAUACACUGGGAUGUAUUCUCACCGGGAUAAGGCACAAAAUAAAAAAAUAAUAAAAAAAGCAAAAAGGAUGUUCAACCUAUGCCUCGUUGGGUUCCUCAUUCUCAUCCGACUCGGCCGAGUCGUCAUUACCGUCAACGCCCUCAGAAACCCUCUCAGACGGCUCGCCUGCCUCAGGCUCUUUCUCGGCCGUGGCUUUGGAUUUGGCUUCUCUCUCCUCCUUGACCUCCCGGGCAGCAAGCAAGUCGGCUAUCAUCUUGGCCUUAUCCAGAUACCCAAGGCGGCUCCAAACGCCGAACUUCUCGGUGAUGCCAUCCUCCCGGGCAGCCUUGAGCAUAGCUUUCAGCUCAUCGGACUCCUUGAAUUUAGCCACAUCAAGCUCACCCUGGGCGAGAAUCUGGCCUUGUAGAUCAGCAACAUGGUCGUCCCUCUCUUUCACCUUAGACAGCAGCUUCGCGUUCUCCCGCUGAAGCGCGUCUAUGUCACACUCCAGAGCGACCACCCUUUUAGCUUUUCCCUCCAGCUCUUUGGUGUGGAGGCUAAGUUUGGCGAACUUAUCGGCCAGCGAGAGUUUCUCAUUCCUCUCGGCCUCCAAGUCCUUCUCCAUCUUCUUCUUCUCGGCCCCGAGAUAGCUGAUCUGGUCAUUCAGGCUGGCCAAACGCUACUUCAUCUCAUUGGUAUCCUCAUUGGCGUCAAUGGCAUAGACAGCAUAGAGAGCCUGCAUGCAAAGUAAAAUUAGUUCAACACCCCAGACAGUGAUCGAAAAUUGACAUUACUAGGGAGAAGUUCACCUUCAUCAUUGCCUCUCGGGCGUACUCCCUGUUCUUCUGAGGAGUGUUGGACCCGAUCCUGAUCCGGUCCAAUUCGAUGCCCUUCAGAUCGCCCACCAUGCAACGGACGAACUUCUCAUCCGCGCACCCGUACUCAUCCAGGAUCUGCCGGAUGGGGGUCUUCCGAAUCUGAGGAAGUGCCGACGCGAGAGCGCUCAAUGAAACUGGAUUCCCGGCCGAGGAACCAGCAGAUUUUUGUUUCUUCGAUGGUGGCGAGGCACCAGAGACGCUCAACCCCGUCAAAGUCAAGCCUUCAUCCCGUUGAGACUUCGACUUCUUGGAUGACGUUUUUCUCCUCUUCUCGCCUAGUUGGACAUUGACAACGUCGCCGGUCCUCACGGGCCCUUCUUUGUCAGAUGGCGGUUUCCCGUACCCUUCGUCGGGAAUCUCCUGAAGCACAGCAUCAUUCGAGACGCGAGUAGUAUUGUCUGCAAGGUUCACCUCAGUCCGGGAAGCCACUUUCCCGACCUCCAGGAGUUCUCUCAGCAAAUCCAUGUCAGACUCCAUGUCACGCGGGUGUGAAUCACGGAUCUUUCGCCUGGGUACUUUAGCUGAAAACAAAAAAAAAAAAAAAAAAAAAAAAAACCCCAAACACAGUCAAGAUCUUGGGUACCAAGAGAAAGGCCAAAGAAAAUAGAAAACAGCAAGUAAGCGAAACUAAUUUGGAACCCCACCAGGCAUACGGCCGAGUUCACAGUGAACUAAGACAGCCCACCGGGUCAGGUUGUACGAGCUUCGAUCCUCAUCCGAGGGCCAAGCUGCAAAUAUCCUCCCAAUACGUCGCUUCUCAAGCUCUAACAGCGAGAAUGACUGAUCCCGGAAAUAUCUAAACCGAUUGGGCACAACGUAUGUCAGACAGUUUUUUGCCAUCGACCGACGGCAAGCACCCUCAGUUUUUUGCCACAACAGUUUGAGCGCCAGUUGUUAUUUAUGGACGUUAGGAGAUCAGUGACGGGAGGGUAGUAUUCCCGGGCAGCAAAUGAAACACACCCUCAGCUGUUCUGUUUCUUCGAGUACGAGAGGUGGUACAGGGCGCGAAACUCGUUGAUCGUUGGCCAACCCAUCUUGGACAAGUAGUAUAGGCAGCAAAGCAACAACAAUUGGCACCAUUGGUUUGGGGGAAUCUGCCCGGGAGCAAGCAGGAGCAUGCUCAGCAAGUACUGCACGCACUGAGGAAGCGGGAGAGAGAAACCAUUCCUAAACAUGUGUUCGUGCACCGCAACGAAACCGUCUCUCGGACAGCACGCCAGCUCAUCCUCGUAUAGGCCACGAAGGGUAACCGUGGGCGGGAUUCCCCAAUUUUUACUGAACUGUUCUAUUUCCGCCGGAGACAUGCUGCUCUCGGGCUCGUCGCACACAGUUCCAUCCUCCAAGAUAUAUCGCCUUGCAAGCUUGCGACAUUGGUCAUCGGGACGCUAUGUACAACCCCUGAGGCCCAAUCGACAUCUCGGGCGGGUACGCCUGUGGGUAACUCAACAGGCCUAGCCGAGGAUGACUCACCCGGGCGGGAUGGUCAACUAAUGUACUCCUCCAUCCUCUCGUCAUUAUCCACUAUCGGCCGAGAAGAUGUGCUUGCCCCGCUUAAGUCGGUCGUACUUCGAGAAUCCAUCUACCCUAAUAUAACAAACCCUAAGAUCUAUUAGUAUGCGCCGCCUAGAGCAAGCGCGCCAAUUCAAAGUUCGACACAGCCUAAACCCAAAAAUCCCUAGAACACUAACAUUCCCAAUUUUACCCAAACUACAUAAGCACCACAAACGCAGAGAAAGCCAAAGCAGAGGCAAAAGUAGAAACUAGCAUAAAGUACAGCAAACUAAAGCACAGCAAAGUGAAGAAAACCUUACCAGAUUUUCAACGCAACAGCAACGCCGAAAACUCUGAGGUCCGGAAACACCUCGCAAUCGCAGGGUUGAGAGAAAGCAGAGAACAGAAAGAGAGAAAACAGAGGACAGAGAGAAACGCAGAGAAACCAAAGAGCAGCAGAGAAACACAAAACAAAGAAUAGAGUAGAGUGAGAGAAUGAAGAUGAAAAACAAAAGGAGGGGGAAGAGUUUAUACACGACCAGCGAGCAGUCGCCUCGAUCCACGAACCGACGCAUUAAAAAAAAUCAUUACCAGAAAACGAGGCACCCCUAGCCAUCUGAUCAAACCGCAGGAUGGUGCCACAUAGCUUAACUGUCGUAGCUUCUUGAAGAAGGAAAGAGUGAAGCGACGUGCAUUAAUUGCUUGGCAGUUAUCUAGGAAUAUCGCGACGUCUGGCGAGCAUGCAUUUAUGCCCCUGCCACUGCUAUGCACAAACUCCAACGUAAGACCAAUUUCGGGUAAGAGUCACUGAGAUCGUAAGACCCAACGUAAGACCAAUCUCGGGUAAGAGUCACCGAGAUUGUAAGACCCAGCGUAAAACCAAUCUCGGGUAAGAGUCAUCUCGGGUGAGAGUCACCGAGAUCGUAAGACCAAGGAACGACCCAUCCCGGAUAAAUGUCACCGGAAGGCAGCAUGUAACAACUGCUUCUUGAAAUUGUAAGUCCCGGAUAAGUGUUCCAGGGAUGCCGGGGUAGGGCAAUUUAUAUCAUUCCUUUAAAAAUGGAGCAAGUGGCUUGAUAAACCAUGGACGGCGUUAACACCCCGUCACUCGAGUAGUAACACCGGAUGAGGAAAGGGUUCGCUACCUUUGUCCAUGAAAGGCUGUAACACCCGUUCAACCCACGUCAUGAGUCCAGACUUGGGGGGACUAUGGGCGGGACCCACUUGAAAUAUACUGGUCAACGGGCUUAUCUUUAGCAAGUCCCCACUCAAGAUGUGUUUUGAAUGGAAACUUGGGGGGACUUGUAGUCGGUUGUGCAUAAAACAACCUCCCAAGCCCGUAAACCAGCCGGCGUCCCACCAUAACCGAGGCCGCCCCCAAGGUAUCCACCAAUAAGUAGGGUGGGCCUGGCCCAACCUCGGUGGCGGUAUUGGGCUGGGAGUGGUUUCAGAAGGCAUAAGGGAACUGGGUGUGAAGUAGCAGCAAAGACAGUUGUCCCAUAUCGGUUUUCAGGUAAAGAGAAUCCACUCUGGGCCAUAAAUAUUGUCACAUCCAGACCCGUAAAUUUUUACCUUAUUUACUAGCUUGGUUAUAAUAAGAAUUUUAUCGUCUCCGUCAAUAAGUUAUGGUUUAAUUGGUCCCUAGAGGGGUUUUGAGAGACGAUUAUUUCGGAGAAUUAUUUGUAGAAGAAAAAAAUUUGACGACGGUAAAAAUGGUAAAUUUUAGCUAGUAAAAGGUAAUUUUUAUUAGGGUAUUAUUUUAGGGGUGUUUUAUUUUGGAGUAAAUGUGGGUAUUUAGGUUUUGGACCGGUUGGGUGAGGCCCAAAAACCCAUUUCUCCUCUCUCUCUCUUCUCCUCUCCCUCCCGACUUCUCUCCCGAUUCUUCUCCCUUCGCCGGCGUUCUCUGCCACGGCCUGCCGUCGUCCGGCCGCCAUCCGCCACCGCACCGGUCCCGUUCGGUCGGCCAUCAACCCAGCCACCACCCUGGACCGGUGACAGCCUCCCUAGCGCCGUCGUGAGAGAGAAAUGACGCCUUGAACCUCCGGCUGUCCAUAGCUCUCCUUCGCCGGAACUUCCUCCUCCGGCCACCAAUCCGGGCAAGCCUUAUAUGGUUUUGAAGGUCUCCAACCCAGUUGCCUUGCCCUAGAAGGACUCGGUCCAGUUUGCUUUAGGUAAGGAGAACCGGUGAGUGGAAGCUCUAGGGCUUUUUGUGUUGUUUUGCUCGAUUGCCCUAGCUAGGCUUGGAUUUUGUGUUUGUGCUAGUUAGAAAAGUUGUAGAGGGAGUGAAGAAGAAUCUGCUGUUAAAAUUUGGUGGGCAUUGGAGGUCGCCGGAAUCGGCCUCCGGCCGCCGCUGCCUGCGGAGCUGGCGCCGCCGCCGCCGCCGGUUGGGAGAUUUUAAUGUUUUUAAAUUUGGAAUAUUAAGGGGAGUUUAUUGAAGUGAAUUAUGGAAUUUUUGGAUGAGUUUUGGAUAAGUUUGUGAAUUUCCGAAGUUUGGUAUUUUUAGCGGUUAUUUAAUGUAGAUUAUGGCCGAAUGAUUUAAGCCAUUAAUCUGUGGAAGGUUGAAUUAAGGCUGUCGGUGUGUUCAUUGAAAUUUGGGCCAUUUUGGGGUUAUGAAGGAUGAAGUUGGGCAAUGAUGAGUGUGUGGGAGGCUCACGUUUAAUUUUUGCCCAUUUUGUUUAAUUAUUGGAUUUUUAGUUGGGAAAUUAAUUAUAUGUUUGGAUCAGGACGUGAGGAGGCUCGAGUGGAAGAGGCCUCGGAUCGACGUCAGGCUUAGGCCUAAAGUUGUGAGUGGACUUUUGUUUUAAAAUAUAUGCAUGCGGUGAUUCUACAUUAAAUGAUUGAUUUUUUUGAAUAUCAAUUUGUGGAUUUGUCUAUUUUCGCGAAGUCAUUUUCAGAAGUAAAUGUUCUCAUUUUUAAUGGCUAUCGUGUUAUUUGGAAAGUUACCGAAAAUGAGAUUUUCGGUAGAGUCGUGUGCGUAUUGCUUUUUAUGAUAAUUGGCAAUUUUCAUUAUUGUUGGAGAAUAACUGAAAUUGAGAAUUUCGGUGAGUAUGUAUAUAUAUCCAUAUUUGGAUGAUUAUGAGAAUAAUAUGUAUAUGAGGAAAUGCUAGCUAGCUAUACAUGCUUUUCCACCAUACUGAGGUAAAAAUUCCAUUAUGGUGCGACGUGAGCGUUAGACGCAAUCGUCGUAGCCCUAUAUAAAUAUAAUAAUUUAUAUAGGGGAUAUGCGCGUAUAUAUUUAUACACCGUCUUUUCCAUCAUAAUGAGGUAAAAUGCCAUUAUGGUGCGACGUGAGUGUUAGACGCAAGCGUCGUAGCCUUGUGUGAAUUUUCUAUUUGUUUUUGUUGUUUCAAGAAAAUUCAUAUAAGGGAUAUGACGAGUGUAAUACAUACAUAUUUUAUUUUAGCCUGAGAGGCUGUAUUUUAUUGAGCUUUGGAGACUGGCCGGAGCUAGUCAUGAAAUUGCCAGUUUUUGUGUUGAGCAUUUUUGAGCUGUCGCAUGCAGCAUAUUUUAUAUGGAAAUGUAAAUUGGGAAAGCAUAAAUAUUUUUAUUAAAUUUAUGUUUUUGUCCACUCACUCUAACGGUUUCAAAUGUUUUCCCCUAGGCUCUUCGUUUUAUAAAUGCCCAGUUACAGGUUAACAUAUUGAGGUCGAGCGUACAUGGUGAAGAGGCAUAGUCAAUAGUAUAGCUUCCGCUCAUUUCUAUUUAUUUCUAGUUCCUCUCCUCUCAAGUAGAGUUGCUCUGAAUAUGUGGUUGUUGAUUAUAGGAUCAUUUGUUAGAUUAGUGAAUCUAUAUUGAGAGAUGUUGUGAUUUGUGGGGAGCACGAAGGCUCCAGGAGUUAAGGUUGGAGUUGGAACUUUUAGAAGUGUUUGCAGGUGUUUUUUUAGGAAGGGUUGUCUAUUUUCAAGGGAGGUUAUGCCGAAUUUUCGGUAAAUUUUCCUUAGAGGUGGUCCCCGCAGGAUUUACUUCGAGUUUCAGGGUGAAAUUCAGGGUGGGUCCUGACAAAUAUGGCCCAGCCACCAACUUGUCAGGUAUCAUAACUACCCUCAGUAAUUACAUUUUACCACAAGAUACUGACUUAAGUUUCAGUGAAGGAAAGAUUGGAAGCCCCCGGUCCCUUUUUAUUGCAGGUCAGCAGGAAGAUAGCAAACCAUCCACCAGACACAUCAUCAGCUUCUGCGAACCCAUCCGGGAUUGUACAGAAACAGUAGUGAAUAAGUUGUGUAUUUUAAAUAAGUGUAUUGUAAAAAGUUUGGGUAUGUGCAUCUAAUAAAAUCUUAAAAUCAUAAAGUUAAUAGAUGGUGAAUGAAGUAUGAAAUGUAUAUCUAGCAAUUAAGGAUAGAGCAAAUGCCCAUUUAAUACUAAUUAUUGAACAUUAUUACCCAUUCCAAUGAAAACUUUUUCUCUGUGCCAAUUCCAAUGAAUAUUAAGAAAAAGACGUAUAUACCCUUAAUUAUCACACACAAAUCUCUCUCCACACGUCUCUCUCGUUUCUUCCUCCCGAUCUGAAACGCUCUCUCUCUCUCUCNNNNNNNNNNNNNNNNNNNNGCAAGUUUACUACCCCCAGUAAAAGUUUACUAGGGGUAGUAAACUUCAUUUUUUCGUCAUCUAAGUUGAUUUUUCUCCUUUUCAAUGUGAAUUAUGGCAUUGGAGCUACUGUUUUGCAAGUUUACUACCCCCAGUAAAAGUUUACUAGGGGUAGUAAACUUCAUUUUUUCGCGUCUAAGUUGAUUUUUCAUUGUUUUAAGGUGUAUAAUAGUCAUGGAGAAACUUUAUUUUGAGUUUACUACCCCUAGUAAAAGUUUACUAGGGGUAGUAAAAAAGAUUACUGGGAGUAGUAAAAGUUUACUAGGCAAUUUUCCGGUCGUCGGAAAAUUCCGGUCACCGGUGACCGGAUUCCGACGGCCGGAGUUCGGAGUCCGGCGACCGGAAUGCGGCCGUCGGUGACUGGCGCCGGAGCCCGAUGUGCUUCCGGCAAAGUCUUCCCUCCAUCUUUUUCACUUUUUCUCUUUAAGUAAAAGCUAAGGGUACAAAAGUCUUUAAAAAUAUAAUUUUAUUAUAUUUAAAUAAAGAUUUGUGUAUUUGGGCUUAAAAUAAGUACCUUGUAUUCAAAUGGGUUAAUAAAAAAGAUUAUCAUUGAAAUGGGGUUUGACUUUUUCUAUUUUGUGUAUUAAGGCUUUUUCCCUUAAGGAUAUGUUAAUAAAAAUUUUCAUAUUCUUUUUCUCAUACGAAAAAAAAGAUAGAAUAUUCUUUUUCCUACUUAGACCAUGGUCUAUUUUAGACCUCGACGAACCCAACCUUGUAGAAGCGGCCCAAAAGACCCAAACCCAAGUUCACCUUCUUCUUUUUCCUCAUAAAAAGUGACCACCCGACAACACCACCGUCAAACCCAGUUCCUCACAGACACCAUCAAGGCAUCAACUAUGGACCCUCUCUCCGCCCUCCGCGACUUCACAAUCCGCGGCGAGCUCGACAAGAUCGUCCGCGUCAACGACGAGCUCCGCUUGGGCUCCGACUACUCCUUCCCUUGCUCCGCCGAGACCGCCUACCGCUCCAAGCAAGGCAACCUCUACACCCUCGAAACCCUCCUCCAUUACGUCAACAACCACCACCUUAAGCACACCGAGUACCUCAUCAACGCCCGCGCCCAGAUGAUCCCCUGCGUCACCUUCCCCGAUCGGAAACCCCUCCUCGAUUACCUCACCGGCAAGAUCUCCUCCUCCGACUCCAUCGAGUUCGUCCUCCCUCAAAACCCUAAAGUCCCCGAUUUGCCCCUCCACAACAACGACUUCCCCUUCUCCGAAAACGACGUCGCUCGCCACCACACGCCUGAUCAGAAUCACAACAACAUCAAUGGCUUCACCGUUUUGAAAGAGGUUGAGGCGCCGGUGGACUACAUGUCGUUGAUUUACGGCAGCGAGAGGCCGCUGAAGGACCGGGAGGAGCUGCUGGAGUGCAAAGGGAGGAACUUUUACGGCGUGCUGACGGCGGCGACGAAGAGAGAGGAGGAACGGCAGCGCAUUGAGUCGCAGCAGAGGAAGGAUGGGCUGGUGGCCAAGAGCAGGUUAAUGGGCUCCGACGACCGGGGAAUGGCGGGUUAUGGUGACGAAAUGGGCUAUGACCAGGCGCCGAAGCCGAAGAUGCAUCUGAAGGGUGGGAAGAUUGGGGAAGGCGUGCCUAUAAUUCUGGUGCCGAGUGCAUUCCAGACGCUGAUUACGAUUUACAAUGUGAAGGAGUUUCUGGAGGACGGGGUUUAUAUACCGACCGAUGUGAAGGUGAAGCAGAUGAAGGGGGCUAAGCCGGACUGUGUGACUGUGCAGAAGAAGUUCAGCAGGGAUAGGGAUAGAGUGGUGACGGCAUAUGAGGUUAGGGAUAAGCCGUCGGCGCUGAAGACUGAGGAUUGGGAUAGGGUGGUGGCGGUUUUCGUGUUGGGGAAGGAGUGGCAGUUUAAGGACUGGCCUUUUAAGGAUCAUGUGGAGAUUUUCAAUAAGAGUAAGUGGAAUGUUGUGUUCUUGGCUCGAGUGGAUUGGUUUAGUUUGGUUCUUGAGAUAGUUUAUUGGGACUACAUUAUGUUGAGUUAAUGUUUGUGUUAUCUUUCCUUGUUGGGUUGAAUUGCAGUUAUGGGAUUUUUCAUGCGGUUUGAAGAUGAUAGUGUUGAGUCUGCAAAGAUUGUGAAGCAGUGGAAUGUGAAGAUCAUCUCAGUGAGCAUUUUCUCCCGCUUGAGCUGCUUUGCUGUUUUUAUUUUAGCUACAUUAGCUGGGAUUAUCAAUGUAUGUUCCACUUGUAUCGCUAUUCUUAUAACUAUUAUGAAUGUGCAGAUUAGCAAGAAUAAGCGACACCAAGAUAGAGCUGCAGCACUGGAGGUGUGGGAUCGGCUAGAAGAGUUUGUGCGGUCACGCUCACAUUCCUGAUGUUUGGGUAAAGUUUCGAGGAGGAAGAUGUGUUCUGAUUUUGGUUGUGACCAUUUGGCCUUUUGUACUCGUGGGACUGGAAAUGUUUUUAUUAUUUAUUAGAUAUUGUAUCUUUGUAUCUUCCGGAGGAGUGAUAAAGUUAAAUGCGUGGUUGGAAGUUUCUUUACAUCUACCCGAAGUUUCAGCAAACCUUCAUCUUGAACCCAGGAGACAACUUCAUAUGGUUUACAUGGCUGCAAACCUUGAAAAAAGGUAUGCAGGGCCAAAUGAACUAACAUUGUUGUAUGGCAAAUGUGUUGUGUGCGACCGCAUGCUAUCUUGCAAACCCAGAAAUUGGAGACUGAAAAGACUUUGUAUCAUCAACUUAUACAUUAAGGUUGUAGAACCAUCAAUAAACAGCAUCGAGUUUUACAACACUAGCUUCUCUAAUUUCAUAUGGUUUACCUGUUUUCUCAUCCGCAGUUACUUUUUUUGAUUGAUUCCAAAAAAGACUUUGAUUCAUACAUACUAUCAUAAAAUUUUAUUCAUUUGAUAGUAUACAACCAAUAAUACACUUUUGCUGUUUUAAGUCCUGUACCUUGGUAAAAAAGUGCAUUUGUUUUUUUGUUUUGGCCUAUCCCAUUUUCAACACUGAUAAUUGAUUAAAGUUUUGGACCCAAUUUGAUCACAACAAUGACAUGGUUUCAAUCUUUGGAACAGGGUUGGACCAAAUUUGAUGAUAGUAAAGAUGUGUCUGUACUGCUGAUGGACUUUACUUGGGAUGAAGAUUGCUACAUGAUGCAACUGUUGGAGUAAAAUGUUUCUUGCAGCUGCAAAUCUUUGGAAUAGCGUGUGGAGUAUAUACCCUAGCAUCACAAGGUUAGCUUGCUUUAAUGAUCAUGUUGCUCGAUAUAUUGCUAUUAGUGUGCAUUUGCAUGGUUAAAAUACAUUCAGUCUUCGCGGAAGUGAAGCAUGGGAAAGGAAACUUAAUGCUUUCUUGUGUUUGGGAUGCACUAGGAUUAGAAACACUUUCUUAAAGGAAGGGAAGACAAGGAGGAAGAUUCAUUCCUUACAUUUAAUACUCACAUCUCAUUAUUCAUUGCAUUAAUUACAAACUUUUAACAAAUUUCCUUGUGUUACCAAACAUUGAAAUAUAAAGUUUAGUGUCCCUUCCCAUGGGAAAGAAAAUGGAUUACAUUCAUUUUGCCUGAAUCAAAAGAGGCUUUGUGUUUCUUCUAAAAAUUCCGAUCUGAGUUUCAAAGAAACCUCUAUCAACUCUUCCUUAUGCCUUGUUUAAUUACUUUAUACGCUCAGAACCAGAACCUUUUAUUAUGAAAAAGAGACCAGGAUGUCUCUUAGUAUAGUACAUAAAUCAACCUCUCUGAGGCCACAAUAAAUAAAAUAACAUGCAUUAAAGGAAUACAACAAUCAUCAAAACUCAAGACCCAAGAGUAUUCAGGAAUAUGUGUAGCCUGAUAGGUAGGAUAACAGAAAAGAAAAUCAGUGCAUUGAGAGAGUAGCAAAUGCUGCAGCAAAUAGCACAAUGAGUUGAGUCAUAGACAACUUGAUGGAGUUUCCAUCUGAUGAGCCAUCAUCAGUUGAUGGUACAGUUUUAGAUCCACUUCCUGCACAAUAUGAACACCAACAUGAAAACUUAUUACUAGUGCCCGCAAUUUCAUUUAUGCACCAAAAGAAUCAUACUAUUUUGUACCUGAAGGAACUGUGUUUGAUGAAUCAUCAGGUGUUCCUGCAGGAGAGCCAGCUGGAGAAGCAGCUGCAUAAAUGUAGUGGUACAUACAAUUAGCAGCAGAUUAAAACCUACAAUUAGGCAAAAAGUAAGGAUUUAACAGAUACACUUUCUUACCGUUACACUGGCUGAUGGGUGGAGUCUGAACAUUGCAAGCACCAGGUAGAGCGAGAGCCUGUGUUUGAUUGACAUUGAUCCCUAGUGAUGAUCCACCGCCAUUAAGAACCUGGCACAAGCACUGUGGGGAUGAUCGCACAACGCUAGAAAGCUGCGAACAGCAUCCUGAAGAUGGAGUUGAGGAGUUCCCAGUGAUGUAGUUGAGACAAGGGGACAUGCUGAUAAUCACAUUUGUGCAAUCUGACUGUGCUGCUGAUCUUGCCAAGAACAUGGCCACUAGAACGAGGACAAGACUCAUUCCAAUCCUUUGUGACAUUGUAGGUUCUUGAGUUGGCUGAAUUUUUAAAUGCUGAGAAGUUGAGAUCACUGAAAGCUGUACUGAUACUCAAGGCUUUGCUUUGUUUGGUGAAAAGGGUUUAGUGGUAUGUGCCUUUUGUAGGGGGGGUUGAAUCAGGCAACAGACAGAUCAGGCCUAGUUGGGUAACCAACUCUUCCUACUAAUAUAGUUUCAUAGAGCUAAACUUGCCUAGUAAUAGUUUAGAGGUCGGUUAUUGGAGGUGACCAACUUCUAUUAUUUUUGUAACAACCAAUCUUGAGGUGUUCGAAGCUGAAGACUUUAGGAAGAUGAAGUUAUAAACUUUUUACAAUACUAAUUAAGAAGGUUAUGAGAGGAGUAAUAUUACAUUAUUUUCUUGUAGGCACAUUGGUGUAGCUUUAUUUGACAAUGACAUUAUUGCUUGGUAGCUUCAUACAGAAGUAAAUCGACCUCAGGUUAUGAUUGUGAACAAUGAGUCAUGUUUAAUUACACCUGUUCAGAUGGGAUGGUCAACAAAUUUUUUUAUUUUUUAUUUUUUGGCUGUGUGCAUUAGAUAUUUUGGAAUUGAUAUGAUGAACAAAAUGUCAAAUAACCUAUAAUUAUUUAGUCUAGUGACAUAAAUGUUCCUCUUAUUAGUUAAAACUUGAAAGGUUGUAAGUUUGAUUUUCGGUAGUCGUCUAGUGGUCUACAUAAGUUUCAGUGUUUUAUGAGAAAUGUCUAUCCGGGUUUCAAGUUUCAACUGUAGUUCUGGUCCUCAAAUGAUGAGGAUUCUGGGACACCUAUGAAAAAAAAAAAUUCUUUACCAGAACACUUCACAUGAGAUGAGCAUUCCUACAUUCCUUUAUGUUGAAAAUUCUCCAACAGAGUUGAGCUAUUAGGCAAUCAAGAACUCCAGAAGCCAUGAGGGUUGACGUAUGGGAUUAGCCAUAGUCGUAGACAGAUGUCGUGUAAUGCUAAUCCCACCUACCUAAACUACCCUUUGCUCAUAGAAAGUUCGUUAAGGUAGUUCAGCUCCAAAACCAAACGUAUCCACCUUUUGAUUUUCUGUCCUCCAGAGUUCCACUUGCUAUUAAUCUUCUUCAGUUAUAAAUACUCUUGUUGUUAACAGAAGCAACUCAUCAAAUCCAUCUGUGUCUACUUGGCUUAAACCACAAGCUUGCACAAACAUCCAACACCAUAAAAAGCACUAUUUUGCUUCCACAUUUAAGCUAGCAAUGGCGAUUUCAGUGCCUUCUCCCCGUCUGGUACUUAUGGCACUGGCAAUGGCCGCUGUCUUGGUUAUGCCAGUUGUUUACGGUCAAAUUGGUACGCCUUGCACUGCUGCUACAAUUGCGAGCUUCAGCCCUUGCAUGAACUUUCUCACCAACAGCACCGCCAAUGGUACUGCACCAACUGCAGACUGUUGCAAUUCACUUAAGAAUCUCACAAGUACCAGCAGGGACUGUAUGUGCCUCAUUGUAACUGGAAAUGUUCCCUUCCAACUACCAAUCAACCGUACUCUCGCCAUCUCUCUUCCUCGUGCUUGCAACACCCCUGGCGUCCCACUCCAAUGCAAAGGUAAGUUCUCUUGUUAAUAUUUGGAUGUUGAUAUUAUUCUGCGUAUUUGUUCGUAUAAAUGCUAACAUGAGCAUGUUACUACUGUGCAGCCACCGGUGCACCUCUUCCUGUUCCAGGUAUCAUCAAUAGUUGAAAACAAAUCGGUGGAAUAUAUCGAGUAGUGUUCUCUUGUUCAAUAAUCUGAUCGAAUGUUAUGUACGUUACCAUCUAACAUGUACUGAUUCAGAUUCAUCUGAUUAUUGGACAAGUGAACUUUACUGAUAAUAUUUAGUUGCUAGGUUCUGUCUUCUGUGAAUUAUAUAUAAUGAGCAAGUUGUGUUUUGCAGGUCCUAACUCUCAAGCACCAACUUCAUCUCCUGGAGCUUCACCAUCUGGCAGUCCCACAGGUAAACUCCCUUCAAUUACCAAAAUUCAGAUAUGCUGAAUAGAUGUGCUUCAUUUUCCUGUAGUUCGAAUAGCUGAUGUUUCACCAAUACAUGUUUCUGUUGAGCAGCUUCUACUGUCCCUGAACCCAGCUCAUCUGCUGAAUCACCAGAAUCAGACACAACACCAUCAUCAACAGGGGGCUCUGAAGCUCCAACAUCUACUACUGGGAGCCGCCCAGUUCUGACUCCGACUCCAUCAGCUUCCAUACCAUCUUACUCUCUAUCGCCUUCUCUUCUGAUAUUGGCUUCAGCGGUUCUGGUGUUGAAGUUAUACUAGGUUGAUCAUCUGUAUCUAGUUCUCUAUGCAUUAUGAGAAAUAUUCUUUUGUGGGUGUGAGUGUGACUAUUGUUUUGCUACUUCAGAUCAUUGCAAGUCAUAUUGGCUAUUUAUUUACUAUAUCAUGCUUUUGUAUUACAUAUCUUGAAUCAAUACAAGUAUUUAUUCAUUUUACAAAAAAAAAUUCAGAUCAUUAAUUCUUUAGUAAACAAUCUACCUAUCCUGCUAUCCAGUAGCUUCUGGAUGCUCUUUCCUAUUCUGAUAAGGAAAUUAUUCUAUUUCCUAUCAGGCUCGGCAAAGAUUUCUCCUAGUUCCAUUUUAAUUCCUCUCGUCUUUAGAAAAGGAAAAACUAGGCCUAUAUAUUGAGGCCUUGGCUGUGUUAUUCUCAUCAACUUCUUAGUCUUGAAUUCAGUAGCUAUUUGUUCUCCGAUUUUGCUCAACUAAUUAAAGAUGAGUUCAACAAAGAAGCCUUCGCAAAAUAAUGGAACAGUAGAAUCUGAAGGCAAUAACUGGACAUCUUCAACAACUCCCAAAUCCAAAGAAGCUAAAACGUCGACAACUGAAGAAGUAUCAUGCAGUACAUAGACACACAUAUUCCAGCUAAACAUAAAUGUGAUCGAACAAAUGGGAUUACCUAAUGGAUUUCUUUUUCUUUUUUAUGUCAAAACUUGGUUACUUAGUUUUUCUAUUAAUGUGUGAUUGAAGAAUUUGUACAUUCUUAAUUACAUUUCUGCCUGAUUUUGAUAUGAAACUCUGAUACUUGAGCAAUGAAGUAUGUAGUUUUCUGGAAAGAUGCAUCAAUCCAGACUCAUGAUGAGAAUCACACUCUGGACUCGUACAGUGAGGUGAACCGGUCCCGGCACGUCACUUCGAGGAUGUUUGAUCCGCCAAGUCAAGUGGUUUGCCUAGUUGGUGAUAUAGUAGAAAAGGGGAUCUUUGUGGAGCCUAACCAGCUUUUCUUUAGGAAUUAAGUGUAAAAUUGUGCAAGAUAGGUAAGAUUACAGCCACUUGGUGAAGUCUACAGCUUAGUGAUAAAAAUUGAAAACUAUCUUUGUUGCAGUUUUUAUUUGGUUUCGGAAUUCAUCUUUGUUGUUUCGUAUGUUAGAUUUUGAUGGAUAUCAUCAGUGAUCAGAGGCCUUCGUGGUCAUUAACUUAUUACAUGUACUGAUCAGAUAUACUGAUCAGACAUCUCAAUUUUUAUGAUAUAAAGAGGAAUUAGACUACAAGUAAAAGGGAUUAAAAAAAAAAUUAAAAAAAAAACUACUAGUAGAAGAUCUAUCCCUUUCUAUCAUAAACAUUUGGAUAAUAGUUUGUUGAACAGGGACAAUAAUCUCAAUUACAGAUGUACUAAUUAACCAAGAAAUGCAGCUUGAGGGAUAUUCAUAUGCAGAGGAGUGGUUGUCUAAUAAAAUCAGAUGAUUCAUAUCCUUGGACCUUUGUACAGAUUCAAAUGGAUGUAUAGAAAAUACUGCAGCUCACCAUCAAUAGUUGCAUGCAAGACCACAUGUUAUACUUUUUAAAAAUCUAAGAUAAAAAUGUUUAGAUAUAUCAACUGGUUUCGUGGUGUAGUUGGUUAUCACGUCAGUCUAACACACUGAAGGUCUCCGGUUCGAACCCGGGCGAAGCCAUUUCUUUUUUACAUUACUGUUUUUCACUUUUGCAACAAGUUACUGCUUACUGAAAUUGAAAGUACGUUGUAUAAAUUGACCAAGAAACCAACCAUACUUGAAUCAUUCCACACUGAUCGAAUGAAUGGUAAAACAUAUUCGAGUUUCAAGUGACAGUCAGUACCAUUAUUCAUUUCAAUCGGCUUGCACGAAAGAAUUUGCAUUGAAAGCAACUACCCAUCCACAUUAGACGCAAUUGGUAUCUCUUACCUCAUCAUAUCCUUCUAACAAAAUGGAUCAUUCUAUAGAGAAGUAAAACAAAAGUACCCUACUAGCAGUUUGCAGAUCUCAAUCUGUCUCUACUAAUUUCAAUAUCAUUACUCUGUGUUUUGAGUACUCAAGAAUGCUUGAGGAUGCAACCCUGCUUCUUUCAAGUUUAAGUUGGCUUUCUUUGAAGAAAAUUAUAUCACUUUACAAGUCAAUACAAAUGUUAGUUAACGAAUACACUGCUAACUAAGAACAAGAGAUUGCCUAGAUAUCUUUAAUCUCUUCAAUCAGAGCUUUGCUCCUGGGUUCGGGUUUGUUGUCUGGUUUGUGAGACAGUGAAACCGCUUCAUAGUUCAUAGCUGAGCUUUUCUCUGCUCUUACGAUGGCUCCUAAGGAAGACCAAGCUUCACCAGGUUGCUCAUGGACCCAACACAUGAGGAAGUAAAUUUUCCUCUCAGCUUGCUUCAGCUUGCUCCUAAUUUCAACUCUUCUUGAUUUUCGUGGUUUCUCUGAUUUCAGCUCGGUCUCCCCAGCCUGGACCAUCCUCUGCAGAUCACAGAGCAAGCACAACAAUGCAGGGGUUCCUAGUGUUAGCAGGCUUAUAACAUCGUCUACAAGUCCUAGUCCAAACUGCAAGCCACCCAUCUGUCUGAAAGCUGAAGAGCAGGUCUGCUCCAGGCAGUAAGAUAGAGCUUCCAGGACAGUCUCCGGUUGCCCUCCUUGACCCAAUACAGAUGACACAGAGAGCACGACCAUAGCUGAGCCUGUGGCAUCUGACUGCCAAUCACCAUUGUAGAGACGAAGAGCAAAGCAGUAGCUGUAUAUAAUGUCGACCAGAUGAACAGCUAAGAAUGGUGAUGGCUUUGCGGAGCUAAGCUUGCUGAGGGGAGGCAGUGGUGUCUCAGGACCUGGUGGAAUUUCGCUUGCUAGGCUGCUCUCUAGAUCAUCUUCUGAUGACAUUGGUUCAUCCUCUCUGGCAAGUGGUUGGAUUAGUUGAGUUCCUUCUUUGCUGAAGGAUAUUGUCCUGGCAGAAGGCUUCAACCACCAUGGAUCCCAAGGCUUGAUCAUCUUGCUCAGUUCCCCAGAUGCAACAGCUCUUUGGAAUAGUUUUUUCUCUUCUGCAGGAAGAUCAUCUAAACUAACUUCACCUCCUGCAGAGAUUUAAUACAAUGAUCUCAUUUUAGUUAUGUGGAAUGACAAAGAACUCACGUGAUGGAUAGUGCAGAAGACAUACAAGUUAAGACUAACAACUAUAAACAAAGGACUGCAAACUGCUUAUCCAAAAAAGGAAAAUCAGACGAACAGAGAGACAAGCAAGAUCUUACCAGCCAGCACCUUUUGAAUAGUCUCUUCAGACAGUGCAGAAUCAGCUGAAAAAUAAGACAUGAUCUUUGGUCAGAAAUCCAAUUUUCUGAAAAAUCAUCCAAGGACCGUACGUUAAAUAUUAACAUGAUUUACGAAAGGAUAAGGACUGAAAAGCUAGUGAGCAGCCAUUAUUAGGCUUCAAUAAUCCAUAGACCACCUACGACAAGUUUCACAUUUCAGGCACAAUUUCCCAACGGCUCCUAAUCAUACUAGUCAGAAACUUUAUAUAAUGGCACCCCUCAGCUUAUUUGAUAAUUCAGUAUCACUGAGUUCCUUCUAAACAAACUCUUAAACAUUCCAUAGUUGAGCUCUAAUUCCUAAACCAAACUGAAUAAAACCCUCAGUUGAAAAUUUCUCUAUUAUAAUUAAGCAGCAUAUCUGUUGUCUUAUAUCUAACAAUGCGAAACUUACAAACUAAGACAUAAAAUCAUUCAUAAAAUAGACAGAGAAAGUACCAUCCACAUCCUCAUCCAUGCAAUCAGCUACUUGUUCCUCAGAAUGAAAUCGUUUCAGUAUGUCCAGCAUCUUCUGCUUCGUUUCGUCAUUCGACCGCAAUUGCCCUAGCUCCCCAACCACAUUAUCUCUCAUAAACGACUCCGUACACCGAAUAUUAUGAGACUGUUUACACCACCAAAAUCAUGAACCAAUUUCUCACCAAAAACAGAAUCCAAAAUAUCAGUAAGAAAUUACCUUGUAGCAGUGGAGAGAACAGUAGCGCGAGUUGCACCGAGGACACGUGUACUGCGAAAACUGCUUCUGGCAACUGCAUUGAGAGAGAGAGAAACCAAAGAGAGGUUCAGGUCAAUCAGAAUUGGGGGAAAUGGAAAAAAGAGGAGGAGAGGAAGAAGCGUACACGUGGCAGACGAUGCGGGAAGGAGGGUCCAGAGGCGACGAGGUGGAGGGUUUCUCGGAGGUGAUAAUCGAGUCCGCCAUCGCCAGAACCUAUCGGAAUUUCCAGGGUUUCUGAGGGUUUUGGAGAAGGUUCUUAGGUUAUUUACUUGUUUGCUUUCUGUAGAAGGCCCAAAUGAAUCCACGAAAUGUCCAAAGGCCCACAUUCGUGAAGAGCCUGAAGAAACGAUAUGCCGUUUGAUUGACUUGGAUCCAGAAACUAGAAUCAGUAGAGUGGAAUCUGGAUUUUGAUGCAUUUGGAAGGCAACAGUUUGAGAACGAGAUGAAGGUAAAGACUUUUUUACUGGAAUGUGAAAUUUGUAAGAGAAAGAUUUGUGAUCACGAGUUGGAUGACCCCAAAUGAAGAAACGAGUUCACCAUGAGGUAAAUGUAAGAAUGAUCUCUAUGUAGUCUAUGAGUUACCAUCUAACCUAGAGCCAAAAUCCAAUCCUCAAUUUCUUAAAUCCUUCAAGUUUUUUGUUAAACACUAUUAGUUUGACAUUUUUGUUGCCGGACUAUUGCUACCGAACUUUAACCUGCAGUUCCGAUACUUGUGGAAGAGGAAUGCUACCAAAUUCGCAAUAUAGAGAAUCUCUAAUGAAGAUUUCAUGCCAGCAGCCGAGAAAAGGAAGUCAAACGAAUCACAUGUGCUUUUCAAUGCCCGGCAUGAAAUAAAAUUGUUAUGCUUGUCUAGGGCAUCAUGUUUGUUGUUCCUUUUAGCCAAUAUGUCUAAUUUUCUUGUGAUUACUUGUUUGUUAAUCUAUUUCAAGCUAUCUUUCUCAUAAUGGUGCAGAUAUGAUGUUUCUUUAUUCUUUUUGGUUUGAAUAGUGACAAUUUAGAUAAAAGAAAAAUAUGAGAAAAGAGAAUUAUUCGAAUUGAGAACCGGAUGCAUGCAAACAUGGAGAUGAGUUGAACUUGAUUUCGUAUGCAUCGAAAGCCUUACCCUUUACUCCCUGUAGUACUCUACCCUUUCAUUAACAGCAAUUUCUCCCCAGGCGACACUCCCGAUUACAAUACUUUUGUAUUGCUCCCUUUCUAUAUAUAUUCAAACUAAAAGAGCUGAUGCACACUGCUGAAAACUGAAACUAGCCUAAAUUAGUUCAGGUACACAUCUAUAUCUAUCUCCAUCGAUCUCUAUCUUCUUUCUUUAAAGAUAUGCCAUUACACUAGUUUUGCGGAUUUUCAAGGAUCAAAGUUAUCAUCUAAAUAAGACAGUGCUUGCAAAAUUCUAGUUAAAUGAAGCAUCUUUUAAUUAGUUAUUGAUCAAUCAUAUAUCAUCACAUUAUAUUCGUUUUCAUGCAUAGAUUAGAUUGCCAACCUCAUUUCUCUUGUUUUCUCAUACGACAUUUGCAUAUGAAACCUAAUGAAUGAACAAUUUGGAUAGUUUAAACAAGCUCUAUGUAUGCCUUGUGUGAAGCUUGAGUUGGUUAGGUUUAUUUGAUCUGUAGUUUCAUUUAAACAUUUUUUAGUGUUUUCAUUCAACAGUUUCAUUCUCAUUUGUAUCUCAUACCAGUUAUUUUGAUGAUCAUAUGCUUGAAAGGCUUUUCUAGAUUUUCUAUCUAGCUUCUCGGGAGAUCAUGUCUUGCAGAACUCAUGUUAUAAUUCAGUUUGUCAUCUGAAACCAAAAGGCUGUUAGUUCACUGCAGAUAUGUCUUCUUCUCAUCUUUUUAGCUCAAUAGUUACGCUAAUGGUAAUUAUUGAAAUUGUUGAUUGCUAUGUUUCAAAAUCAUAUCUCGAUGACCUAAAACAAACCUUCAUGAACAGAACUGGUGACAGAAUGUCUCCUAAACCUACAAUAUGAAUAUGGAAAGGCUCACCAUGAUCAAGUAGGUCUAAAUUUUAUACAUAUUACAUGUGUUAGAUAAUUCUUUUUUAUUCUCUUUUUGUUUAAGUGGGUGUGUGAUCAGAUACCUCUUUCAUCUGCUUCCCCUGGAUAAGUUAAUUAGGAAACACCACUCAAGAAUUUAAAACUAUGUCGAUAUUGUGUUUUGUGGUGAACAUGUCCUCUGAUUCCCAACUAAUUGCAUAGGCCUCCCAUAUCUUUUGAAGGUCAAAUCUUCUAUGGCCUUAGUUUCUUAUCUUACAGCUGUUUCACAGUAACAGGGAAAAGCUUAGAUCUUUAACCAAAUCAAUAGUGAGUUUCAUCUGUAGUGGAGAGCCCUAUAUAUGUAUAUGAAAUGAUUUUAUCUAAUUUGAAACAGGAGAAAAUUAGGUCAUGAAUAAGACCAAAUUGAGGUACCUAUAUCUGUGCAAAAAGUUGGGCAUUACAUUGUAUUUGCAAACUGGGCUGCAUGCAUUUGGUUCUUUCUGGUAUCACUUGGCUGCAAAAAGCACUCAUCUCCACAGCUUCAUGCACUGUUUUGAAAUACUGAUUCAACUAUCAAAAAUUACACAAAAUGCCUAACACUUGAAUAACAUUUAGAGUGACGUGGAGUUCGUGUGGUCAUUGGGCUUUACACAUAGACGUGUAAUAGGUGGAGAAGCCCAAACACUUACAAAUCCACAUGCAAAGUCUCAUAUUCCUAAUGUGAGAUUGAUAUCUCAACACGUUCCCGCACAUGUGACGAAUUUUCAAGCCUAACAUGUGGAAAACAUUUUGGGUGACGUGGAGUGUGUGUGGCCAUUGGGUUUCACACGUGGCUCUGGUAGCAUGAUAAAGUAGCAUGAGGUUCAUAUCUAAAACCAAUUGGCAAUAGGGGAGUAACCCAAACCAUUAUAGACCCACAGACAAUGUCUCAUAUUUCCGAUGUGGGAUUUAUAUCUCAACAAGAUGUACCCAUAAUAUUAGUGCUAGAAAAAUGAAACUGAUUGAAGCAUAUUUCAUUCAAAAAUAGAUUUAAAAUGUGACCCAAGUUGUUAGAUUUGGUAAUUUACAGCACAUUAGUAAUAUGAAUAUCUACCGAUCACCAUAAUGCACAACUCUCACACCUCUUGCUUAUGUUCAUCUGGUACAUUAGAUUUACUAACUGGCUGGUUUUGAUUCUUCUCAUCUGCAACAGACUUGUACACACCCAUCUCAGCUAGUUUUUCAACUGCAUUAACCAUGCCUUCAAUCCUUGUAGUAAUCUCAAUGAGUAAAGAAGCUAAAGUCACAAGUGGCAUGAUAUCCAUGAGAGCAACUGCUCCUGUGUUCUUUUUUUCAGGACAGUCGGCUCCUUGUAGUGGCUGCGGAUUAAUAAAUAAAGUAGGAAGAGAUUUUAAGUCCUCCUGGAGCUCCAAGACUGCAUUGUUCAUUUCUCCAACCAAAUAAUCUAUAUUAGAUGAUUUCUUCAUUGUCUUCAUACUCCUUGCAAGAUCUUUUAUGACUCUUGAAGACUCAGAGCUCACUUUCAAAGCAAUGCUGCUCAUAUGCUUCUUUAUCAACUCAGGAACCUGUUGAUCAGAUGAAGUGGUUGAAGCUUAGCAUUGGUGAUAUCUUUCUAAUUUCAAGAACUAGUAUAAGAUGAAAGUUCUUUUUACCUCAUUUUCGGAAUUCACACAACCAUCAAGGGCAUCGAUGCAAUAGGCACAAGCACGCAUUGAUGCUCCGACUUUGAGGUAUUGUUUCCAUGGAUGUCUGAAGUUGAAGCGGCCAUGUGCAGGCUCCCACCUUGCAAAAUUAGCCUAAUAUACAAUGCCAAUGUCAGAAAGUGAGUACUUACAGAUAACUUGAAGAAACUUUGCAAUUAUGUUGUUGUUAAAUACCAUGGCUUCUUCUGUUGCUUUUGAGGUUAAAACACAUUUGUAGCCAAGCAAUUUCUUAUCAGAUUCCUUGUCAUCAUCAGAAGAGCUUCCGCUGUCAUUGAAAUACUCUCCAACACAACCUGAAAUGAAAUGCAACAUUUAUAAAGUCAGUGAUAUUGUCCUAAACAUGAGUGACCAUAAAUUUGGUUUUAUAUGAUUAGAGUGUGCAAGUACCAUCUAAGGAAUAGGCAAGUUUGUCCAUGUUUCGAGUAAUGAGCAUAUAUAGUUCCUCCCCAGCCCAAAUGGGGCAAAUAAUCAUGGUUAUCAUAAUGCACAAUGCAGUUCCAAUGAUAAUGGUGUAGACUCUAUUGUUGGCCAUCUCCAAUAAUUUAUCCACCCGGUAACCUGACACUGUAACUAAGCUGAAUGUGAGGAUGAAGAUCAUCGCACCAUAAUCAAAUCGCUUUUUGACUGAUGGUAUAAAUCUUGAGAAGGAAACUGCAGAAGCUGAAAUAAUAAAGAAAUGUAUUAGCAGUCUUAUUUCUAGCCAGUUAGGAGAGGGAAAAAACAUUAGUAGGACUACAUACCUAACAAAAAUACAGAAAUCCCAUUGAUGAAAGGCUCAAAUUCUUUUCCUGAUUGACUCACUAUCCAAUGGAUGCCAAUGGCAAGGGAACCAGCAAUAAAGGUUCCACAAAUUCUGUUUAAACAUUUGCAUAUUGUUGCCCCUGCAUUUAGAGAGUUGAAAUGUUUAGCUUCAGGCAAUGAGGGCCAUACUUAACAUCAGAUAGUCCCAUACAAAUAAGGAAACUCAAAAGAUUCAUUUUACCUUACCUCCUAAUAAAGGCACACUUGCAGAAAAAGAGGUAAUCUAAGAGAAGCUAGCUAGGAACUUACCAACUGUGUUUUCAAAGACAACCACAACAGUCAUGACUGCCCACAUAGCAUUUCCUCCCAUACCUUCAUACAAAGGUCUCAUAUAAUAAAACAGUGAAACAACAGUGAGUGCCAUCCCUACUUUCAAACAAUGAAUCACUUUCCUAGGGUCAUUUUGUCCCAAAUCCCAAGCGUUCUUGAAGAAAUCGCAUACUUUCAAGAUCAACCCCAUAAUCAGACCCUUCAGAGCAAGCCAAGCUCGGCAGGCAAGCCCGGUUUGUUGAGCCAAAGCUUCAGAUGAACCAUCUGCCAUUUUUAUUCUCCACUCAGUCACACUGCUCAGUUCCUUCUGUUGAGCCAUUUUUGGCAAUAAGAAAACAAGAGAUUGCCAACUUGUAAGUUGAAAUGGCACUCAAACUCAAAGCAAUGGUUAAGCUUUGGUGAGGAAAGCUGAGUGACUAUUGAAGUAUAUAAAUAGUGGAUCUCUGAUGUCUCAUAUUGGUUUGUAAUAAACAAAUCUCCAUAGAAAGGCAAUGUCAUAGGGAGGCCUCUUUUGUUGGACACAUGUGAAAUCUAGAAGUUUUAUUUAAUUCUCCUCUGCUCAUCAAAAUUUGUAUGUAUAAUGUUUAACUCUCAACACUGGUAUAUAGUAAUAUAGGGUCAAUCUGCAUUUCAUAUCAGAGUUCUAUACAAACUAAACCAUCAUUAUGAAUCAAUCCCUUUCACUUCAGAAAUCAAAGAGCCAAAGUGCAGUCAAAAAUGAUAUCUGAUAAAUAUCCUUAUGUCAGUUGGUAUAUAUAAACUUAACAUCAGGCUACAUGGGGAUUUGGCUAGUGGAACUACUAUCUGUGUGAGUACCUACUUUAUGCAUCUUUCAUUUCAUAAAAAUUUAUCAGAUUAAUUGGUAAAUAAGCACUAUCAUUUCCUUAAUGCCCCAGAAAGAGAAAAGUCUUAAUGAGCUAAACCAAAUCUUCAUGACCUACUACCAAACUUCAUCAACAGGUGACAUAAUGUAUCCUACAUUUUGUUGUGAGAUCAUCAGAACACUAUGAACAAACAAGUAUAAAUAAAUAUAUUCUGAUACAUGUGUUUCAUGUUCAUGUGAUCACUGGAUAAGAUAAUUAGGAAACACCACUCAUGAAAUGCAAUCCCUAAUAUUAUUCUGCAAGUACUAUGGUAUAUACUAAAUAGUGAACAAAUUGCAAUUUGUCUUAUUAAAAGAAGUCCUUUUCUUCCCACUAAUUGCAUAGACCUCCUCUAUUGUUUUAUAUUCUGCUGGAAAAGAAAAAUCUGUUUCCAAGUCCUUUUAGGAAAAACCAGUAGUCUUAGAACUAACUUGCGCUUUUCCCCUUUGUGAAUGACCCAAUUCUUUUAUCUUCCCUUUUUUUAAGGUCAAUCUUAUUCCCAGUUGCUUAAGUUACUCCACAGCUGUUUCACAGAGAUAGGGCAAACUGUAGAGAGUUCCAAUACUAAAUCUUUAGCAAAAACAAUAGUGGGUUUGAACUAUAGUGGAGAACCCAACAUAUGGCUCAAUUUCAAUUUUGAAAUAUAAGAAUUUAGGUCAGGAAUAGGAUCCUAAUUAAGGUGCUUAUAUUUUUUUCUUACAUAAAGUUGAGCAUUACAGUUGAAACUUGGCUGAUAUCACUCUAAAUAGUUGAAUGGAAAAAGCACUUAUCUCCUCCUCCUCAAGCUUGAAGAGCCUUUCCACAGCUGCAUGCACUGAUCGAGUUGAAAGGCUAUUUCAGCUAUCAUCAAAAAGCUACUACUCCACAAUAUUAUCAGAUUGAUUAUCAUACAUUUCUUAAAUAGUAUUUUAGAUGUAUUAGCACCAAACUUUACCGAAAGCUGAUCUAAACCUGUACUAGAGCUCAAUAAGUUUAAUCCCUCAGCUUAUACUCUUCAAUUGCAUUAAGCUCACUGUGUUUCAACCUUAGGAUUAGUUUUCUUUCUCAUACGAAAUCCUAAAUACUAACUUAUUAACUCAGAAGAAAGUCGGUAUUUUAAUUUGUCCACCAUAAUACCUAUGUGAAAUUAGAACUUUGAACCAACAGUCAUCAAGCCUACUUUUCAACUGUGCAUCAGUCAGAUGUGUACCUAAUGAUAAAAUGUCUAAGCGUAUGAUAAUUCUAGUGCGUGAUGAUUGAUGAUACUCUACAGACUACAGUUUAACAGUUGAACAGUAUAUGCAAACACUGAUACACAAAUCCAAAGAUAUAUUUGUCCAACAAAAAAAUAAAAACAUAAAAGAUUCUCCAAUGUAAAAAGAACAAAUUUAAAGCCAACUAGUACUGUAUCAAAUCAUUAGACAGUCAUCUUGCUUUGGAUGAGGUGAAGGAUACUGAUCAAAGAUCGAACACAUUUGUACUAAUCACAGCAAGAGUAAGAAAGGAGAUGAGAAGUUAAAACUGGGCUGAUAUCACUUUAUGCAAAAAUUGAACACAAUGUGUUCAUCAAGCUAAUAUUCAGUGUUCCUUCAAAAGUAUCAGGUAAACAGAUAUACUUAUGGCGAAAACUUUCUUCAUUUUGGUUUCGUCUCGGGUACUAGUCAAGCCAAAACUGAUUGUAUAUACAUCUUGUAAAUCGUCUAAUAGAUUCACUUAAAUGGUGUUUGAGAUUAAGAUUGAUGUUUUCUGGUCUAUAGGGCAAUGAAAUUCAAGUCCUUCCAACCCAGAACAUGUCUUGUGGAUCUGUAUUUGCAUAUUUUUGUGUCUGACAGAGAGAAUCAGAGAGAGAAGUGACAACAUUCCAUCAUUACUAUAAUAAUAUUACGCCACAACAUAAAGGCCAAGAAAACAAAUCAGUGAUCAGCCUACUACUGCUGAGUUUAUAAUCUGGUUGAAGAUAUAAACAUGAAAUCCCGACUACUAAGAGAACAGGAGGCUGCGCAGACUCCAGUUCACCAUGUUAUGAACAUAUGAUCAUGGUUAUAUGCCUUGCACAGCCUUUCCUAAUUGGGAACUAAUUACCAGCACCAACAAUUUUUGAAGGCACAUCACAUCCUAAUCUCUUUUUUCUUAACAUUAUGCACACCUCACAACUACUUCUAAGGCAAUUGGCGAUGGGAUGGUAGCCAAUCACCUUUUCCAUCACCAGAACACCUAUCAUUGCAUACCCUUGAAAGUAAUGCUCAAGGUACUCCAGCAGCACUCGAAAGUGUUUCGAAUCUCAUGUCAAGCUGAUAACACCUAUCAUUGCAUACCCUCGAAAGUAAUGCUCAAGGUACUCCAGCAGCACUCGAAAGUGUUUCGAAUCUCAUGUCAAGCUGAUGGGAGGAGGAAAACUACAUGGCUGGAAACUAUCCAAUACAGGAGGAAACCCAGUGUCUACUACAUUGUUGGGCCGACUGGUUGGAUCAACCACACUGGUACCACUUUGCUGAAGAAGCCGGACAAGGGACCAAAACAAUUCUAUCCUGGUUGUAUGCCUAGUUGCCCUAACAUCAGUAAUAUAUUUAUCUUUUAGAGCUUCACCUCAACGAUGAAGCGUGCCCAUAUCUUAUCCUCUCGGCUCUCCAUCACCCCCUUCAAGAUAUUCAACCCAAAGCCCCGGAUUUCGUCUGCUAACUCAAGAAAGAAACCACGCUCCUCACAGAGGAUCUGCAAGAGAUAAUAGAUAUUGCAGUCAGGAGGGGCUGAACAUUAGGGUUGUCAAAACUCUUGAAGAAAACUUUCAUCCAUGUGUCUUUGACAUACCUCAAUAACCAUUUGACCAGGUGUACUAAGGUCCUCAACGAGUAUAGGGCAAACCACAUUUUGACCCUCAACUGCUAAUGCCCAAGUAUUGUUACCACCAGAUCUACUGCUGUGAUCUUUUAGAACCACACCAUUCUCCUUUCCAGUCAGUUACAAUUUGAAAUGCAAAUUAGUAUCACAUUUGUUAAGAAACAUCAUACAUAAAAUUGUUCAGGCUUAUCCUUCAUAUAACAGUAAUAACCAAAUCAACUAAAAAUUGUUCAGGCUUAUCCUUCAUAUAACAGUAAUAACCAAAUCAACUAACCUUUGGCUCAUGAGGUUGUUUAAGCUUAUCAGCAUGUUUCGUCAAACCUUGCAAGAAAAUCAUGUACUUGAUGGUGCGGUCCAGCAAAUAGUCAAUGCUACACUGCUUCAUUAACAAUAUGUAUGAAUGUCAAACUAUAAUUUUAGAGAUAAAUUGUAUAAUAUGAAAAUAAAACACCCUUCCCAUUUGUAUCCACUGAAAGCAUAAGUAAGUACCUUGCCACCGUUGGGGAUCAUCCCCCUCAAGUCUUUAAUACGGUCUUGGAUCUGCUGACGAUCCUUGGGCCUUGGUCGAGUACUCUCUCCAGGCUUUGCCCUCUUCUUGGCGGUCUUUGUGUGAUCCUCAGCCUUCUGUGGUUUUGCUUGAGACAUACUUCUAGCAUUGACACUAUAACUAUCAUCGAUCCAUAAGCCCACCUGUGAUUUUGGGAGAACCUCUUUCUUUGGUACAAGACAGUUUGUCUUGUCCAAGUUAUACAAAGGUCUCGUCAAAUGCAUGCUCCCUCCAGAACCAGCAAGCCUUGCUAAUCGUACCUGAUUAGUGCCCACAGAUGAACUUUCUAAUUUCCUUUUCCUGGUGGAUAAUUGGUCUUCUAGACUGCAUUUAGUCAUAGAGCUGGAAGUAGUAUUCAUUCCAUUUAGAAGCUCUUCUAGUCCUAAUUCCGAGAAUAACCCCCUCCGGGGGCCAGCCGCAGAACCAACUUCCGCCUCUUUGGUCAAAUCAGUUCCGGCAGCCAAGCAGUCACCACUAACUACUGACAGUAUACUAUCUUCCCACUCGCGGACUUGACCACACCCGCGAUCUGUUCCCAAACCAUUAAACAAAUCAUUUCCAGAACUCUGAAUGAUCACAGAUUUCUCAUGAGCAUCAGCACUGAAUGCAUUCGUGAUGGAACUUUGCAUAGAAGUUGCGGGAUGCUCAAUUGGUAGGUUGAUAAAGGUAUCACCUUUAACCAGACUAGGCGACACCAAAGUACUUUCAAACACUGGUGACAGGUCACCAUUCAUUAUGGUUUUAAUGCCAUUGAAGUCCUGUUCUGGGGAAGCAGCAAACCACUGAGAAAGAUCAUCCAUGAGUGAUCUGGAAACAUCUGUAAUACAACCAGCUCGGUUAAACUCUACAGGGUAUCCCUGUAGAUGUUGCUGAUUAUCCAUCUGAUAUCCACAGCUUCCUUGAAUGAGAGUUGAGUCUUGAGCUGUGUUUCUGCAAGUCUUAAGAGAAUCCUGUACCCCAAUAUCAGAUGCCAAAUGUGGGUCAUAUGAAGCCAACAAAGAAUGUUCAGUACUCCAUGUACUACACCACAGGGUUUUAUCAGCUGAGCCCAUGUCAUCAGAUGCUGUAGACUGUAAAUUCAUUGGAGAUAAACAAUUUCCUCCUAGAUCUUUAGAUUUAUCACCAAGUAUGUUGGCAAUGUCUCCAUGAAAGUUUGCAGAUGAAAUUAAGGAAGCAAAUAAUUCAUUUAGAUCGUUGGCUUCAUUGUUCAAACAUGAAGGUUCACUUGCCAGAGGAAUAAUCCCAUGAAGAUUUUUGAUCUCCUGGAACACCCUUUUUGUUUCGUCUAAAAACUCCAGCCUCUCCAUAAUCUGAGGAAAACAAAACAAAACAAAAAAGGAAUACCUUAGUGUUGUUAUACUGCAACUCUUAUAUAAGCUACCAUAUUAAGAGACUCGAUUUGGGGAACAUGUUCUCUUUCGAUCAUAAGAAUGUUGACAUAACCAAGUUAAGAAAAUAUGUAUAAAGCUAGAUGCUCUCAUUCAACUACCUUUUCAGUGGAUCCAAACUGAAUUACUCCUGAUUCGACAGAGACUGUUGCAAUUGUCUGCAAGUUAAAUUUAUUUGUCAAGAAUAUGACUUAUGGUUGGAUGAUUAACGGUACAGAACAAAAAGAUAGCUCUAAAUGGUUUUGAAAGGUUAAGAUUCCAUAAGAUUUCUCAUAAAUAAUAAAUUUCAACUAGUCAUGCUUCUUUCUGGAUAAAAAUCAGAGAAAACAAAAAGGAAAUGAUUAUACCUUUACACCAGAGGAAAAUUCGCAACGGAACUUAGAAUCAUCCUGCAAAAUGAGAAAUCAUAUCCAGAUAAGUAAACAAGUAAACCGCAAUUAAGUUGCUAAAACUUUUUGAAAAAAAUAGCAAUUCAAUAAGAAUAUUUUUGUCCUACCUGAAACAGAUUACUACAACUUUCAAUGGAAUUGAAUGAAUUCCACUGUUCAUUGUAAGAAUCUGAAUGCAUCCAUUGAUAUUCUCAGCUGAACUCAGUCAACACCAACCAAAACCCAACAAUCUCCUCUGCUUUCCAAACUUAAUGCUCCAAAACAAAAGAACUUGUCUUGUGUUGUUUGCAACCAAACAAGGGAAGGGGAUGAGAAAGUUAGAAGAAUCUGAAAGCAAAAAACCAAGCCAAGAGCUUGGGCUUUGUGGGAAAUUUAGAAACUUGAAAGUGUGGUCGGUUAGUGAGAGUUUGAGAUUAAAACAAAGAAGGUUUAUAUACAGAGAAGAUGUGGUUUGGUAACUUUGGUCCUGCUUGGCUUUUCUUUCUUCCUUUUCUCUAUUUUGCUUCUCAACAAAUCUGAUUGUAUUGCAGUCAUUAUGAUGAGAGCCUCAAAGGAAAUUAAGCACAAAAUGAAGACGAAAAUGAAAGCUGAUAUUCUCUUCCCAAGUUAAAGGGAAAGGAACACACUAGAUCUUUGAGUAUUAAUUUACUGUGGUGGUAACAAGGAAGAAAAUUUCAGUGAUUACGGAAAUUUCGACCUUCUAAAAUAUAGAAAUUUUGACUGAAAUUUCAGGGAAAUAUCGAUUGCAGUAAAAAAAUGAGAAAAUUGAAGGAAAUUUUAAACCAAACUUUAAGAGAUGCUUGUUUCUAUAUUAUAUAUUAUAUUUGAAAUGAAAACCUUGAAUAAACAUUAAUUUAUAGGGAGUUGUAGUAAGUUAAGGUAAAAAUGUUAGUACUGAACCGUUAAUAAUUAUUAAAAGUUUAGGUAGUUAUAAAUGAAUUUUUUUUAAAGGUAGAUAUAUUAAAAAUAAAUUAAGAAGUGUAGGUAAAAAAACAAUUUUUUUUCUUUAUAGAAGUAUAGGUAAAAAAUUAGUUGGGGAUUAGACAUUUAUCUAAGUUUUUACUUUUUAGAUUCAAAAAAAAAAACCAAUAUAUAUUGUAAAGAUACUAAGAUAAACAAGUUGAAUGGUUAGUAAGGUUUAGCCUUGUAUCAACCCAAACAAGGUUCGAAUCUCUUUUUAUUUAUUAGAGGAGGACACGUGGAGGAGAAGGAAAGGCAGCACAUGACCAUGCAUGUGCAAAGCACAGCCAGCCAGCCAGUCAAACACCCUUUUGGGGUCAAAUAUUUCGGCGGGGAAGCAGGGCCCCGUUAAGCAGCCAAGCAGGCGGGAAAAUUUUCGGCUCGGCGGGAUUUAAAAGUUUCUCCGGGAUUUCCAAAAUAUCGCGAGAUAUUAAUAGUUAUCGCGAAAUAUCGUGAGUUUCGGAUGAAAAAUACUGGGGAGAGAAAGAUAUAUCGUUAGGUGAAAAAAAACAAAAAAAAUUUCUUCCUUGGGUGGUAAUAUCUUUGUCUUGUUAGAGACUUGGUUUGGACUUGCCGGUGACUAGUCCCAUUGGUCCUCCCAAAUCUUUUCGGUUGGUUUACCAGCUAUCCCCCGAUGAGUAUGGUUGAUUUUCUCGUAAAGAAUCGUCAAAUCUCAUGAGAUGUUUGGGUUUUCGUGAUGAUUGAAGAUAUGAGAAAAUGAAGAGGAUAAUCUAAGGUUUUUAUUGCAUGAUUAUUAGGGAUUUUUUGUUUAAAAUGACAAUUUACUCUUUUAUAUUGUGUAUAUUGUUGUGUAGAGAUUUUGGACCAUGAUUGGUUUCAAAUUUGGGUAUUAAGAAGGGAAUAUUUUGAAUUUAAUUAGCCAAAAAAAAAAAACAUUUAUGAGGUAUUGAGGUGGUACCUAGAAAAUGGAAUGGAGAGUUUAGGAGUCUAAUUUAUGGAUCGUUUGUAGGAAAAUCACUUAAACUUUAAGGUGCAUUAGGGCAAUCAGUUGUAUUAGUAACAGUGUUACACGACUCAUAUACGAGUGCGUUGAACCUUCAGUGUAUUAUGAUAGGAGCGACAAACUUUUGUGUUUAGUCAUAAUGAGACGUACUUUUUUAUUUAUGGUUUAGAUAUUGGGAGGUUCUAAUUACACCUCCAAUUUGCUAUGUAAACCUCCAAUAUAUACAUACUUUUAUUUGACUUGGCAACUUAUAUGAAAAGACAUACAAAGACAUCAAAAACUCAUAUUGUUAAAUCAAAAACCAUUGAAUAACUCAGAUUCAAUCUGCUAUCUGCUUAACGGGGACAUAAAAUGACACAGUACCAAUUGUGUUAUACAUCGGCAAAUUGUAUACUAAGACGCUGAAAUCCAUCGCAAAUAUUUUCCGGCCUUAUUAAGAAAAAAGAUGAGCUAUGGUCAGACUUUGGUGGAGCCCCAAACAGUUCAUACUCCAACAAAGAUGGAAAGAACGCCACCAUGAAUUUGAUUUCUUUGUUAAAACAAAGAUGCAGAGAAGCAAUUGCAUGUUUUGGGCUUGCUUUUGGGUUUGGUCAUAUUUGUUUUCAUCUUAGCAAGAGGAGAUAAUGUUAAUAGAUGUCAUAAUGUUUUGAGCUGAGUUGUAUGGUUUCAAUUUUAUGGUAAUGCUCGAAGUUUUCAAUUCCUUGCAAUUCAGAGUUUGGCAUGAAAGCAAUUUAAGCUUGAACAUAUUCUAGAUUGAGGUGGAGAACUAUGAAUUGAUUUAAUCAACACAGAGGCACAUAACCCAAUAACCGACUUUGAAAUUCCCAUGUUUAGACUUUCGCAGGAAAAUUCUUUCAUGUUGGCAUACUUGCUAGCUCUUCUUCUUCUCCAAGAUCAUCGUUGCUUAAGAAGACCAUAGAGAUUGAUUAAGUUUUAUGUUUGUUUUGUUUGCUUAAUCGUGAAAGACAGUUUAAAGCAUUUUUGUAAGAGUGGAGAUCUAUUUAUGUUUUUAAACAUGUUAAAAAGUAAAAUGGAGAUGUACUAAGUGCGAUAACUUGUUGUUUUCAUUCAAAUCUCAAAGGGGUUGAUUAUCUUCCAAAUGAAAAUGAAAGCUCGUGUUGGUUUGUUUGACAUACUACUUUAUAAAGAGAAACACAAACUUUGAACUAAUAGAGUAAGCGAUACUCUAUAGAACCAAGUUAACUGGAGCGUAUUACAUACACUAUAGUGAAACUUCACUAGCACCAUAGUGCUGACGUGGCACUUAACCAGAGGAAAACGGAGAAAACCAAGGGCGUCAGUUGGUGGGGUAGGCACGCUGGUAAACCCAUUCUUACCACCCUCUUGUGUUCUGCACGUGGUUGUAGUCAACGCUCUUAACGUGUGCAAUUACCAAGAGGGACAUUGUGAAAAGUAUACGACCAAACAACAUAUCGGGCAGCGGUGGAGGUUGGUUAGUAUAUGUAUUCAUAUUGAAAAUCCAAACUCAAUCCCAGCUCUGGCAAAAUUGGAAGUGAGGAUUUGUGUUCGCCGGUCAGCUAAAGGUAAUUCUAUUUGAUAUAGUGAAUUUGAUCCAGUAGACCAGAUCCACCAUCAGCGGCGGCGGUGGCUAAGCAUAGGUAUUGCAACCCAGAGCGCUUUGUAUUUGUGUUCGCGAUCAGCUGAAGGUAAUUCUAGAUCUAUAUGUUACUAUCUUUGAUAUGUUACUAUGAUUGAUUCAAUUUCACAUGUUUAAAGCGCCGUGUUCGUGUUUACAGUUGAUAGAAAAUGAACGGAGAUGAUGUUCUGGUUAAACGCAGAAGGUUGUGUACUGAAAAACUGGUAAGCGGUUGUAAAUACAUAGUUGAAUAUGAUUAGAUUGAAAUUGUCAAUGUUUUUUUGAAUCGUUUCGAAAUAUAUGUGAGAAUGAUAGUUAUAAACAUAAUUUGGCAGCAAAAACCGAUGGAUAUAAAAACCGGGUGCAAUCCAAAAGAUUUCAAGGCAACCUGUGAGGGGUUAUCAGUCAGUAAGAGGACAGCAGUGGAUGAAAUGGGAUUUGUCGCGCUACGGAAGAUAGGCUGCAACAAACUGAACAUGGAGAUAUGCCAAAUGCUGGUGGACAACAUAGAGGUGCGACCAACUAAUUGCUACAUUAACGAGAUGACCGUACCCAUAGCUGAGCUUGACAUCACACGCGUGAUGGGUGUGAAGAACGGGGGGACACCAGUAGAGCUUAAUGGAUGUUUAGAGGUCAAUGAUAUGAAUGAAAUUACAAAGAGAAAUAUAUUAAUAUGAAGAGACUGUUGGAAAUUGUGGUCGAAAGGGAGGAGACCGACGACAUAUUCAAAAUAAGCUUUGUAUUGUACGCUCUUAGCACAAUGUUGUGCCCCACAAGCCCCGGCAGGGUUGAUAAGAAGUUCCUAAUUGCAUUGCGUCAUCCAACAUCCAUUAACACAAAGAACUGGGCAUCACUGUGUUGUCGACAUCUAUUGGAUGGGGUGCUGUCGUAUCAGAAAAAUAGGUCUGGUCACAUGAAUGGCUGCAUGGUAUUCCUACAAUUAUUCUACUUUGAUUCACUUAAAUGCAGCACCACAAUUGUUUGUAAAACGUUGCAUCCGGUUGUUGCGUGGACACCAACCAAGUGCAAGAGUAUGAUAGAAUGGAUCAUAGGACAUGGUGGAUUCCACACCUGCUCUGUUGAAGUUUGCAGAACAGGUGAUAUUCCAGAGACACUGAUUCUAUCCACCACGGCUGACCAAACCAGAUCGGAAGACGACUCAAAUGCCAGGUCUAGAAUGGAUGCUGUGAACAAGCAGAUUGAGAGGCUGAGUUAACUUUUGGACAGCAUGGAAGAGAAAUUAGAAAGUACGGGGAGUUUGAUGAUUGACGUGCUAUAAUUGGGGGGUGUAUGAAGAGCAAUAGUGAACACAAUCAAGACUGAAUUUUUAACUGAAGAAAAGGAUACCGAUUGGCUCGAGAAUCGUACAUGUGACCCUAGUAAUGAUCUAACAAACAUUGGUAUGGAUAUCGGGACACUGGAACACCGACACCUUUCGCCAAUUUAUGAAACAACUACACCAUCAACAUAAGGUGACCAACAUUCUCCUGCAACAUCAGAUGAGGGCCCUGUUGCACAAAGGGGAUUAGAUUUCUCGAUAAAAGGAGAAAUGACACUUCCAGACUGGACUUUGUUGAACUUUGUGUUCCGGGAACCUUGCAAAGGAGUGGAUGACUCUAGGUAAUGCAUCUAUUUGAACUAUUUCAUUGUAUAAUGAUAAGAAUGAUAUAUAGUAAAGAUGUGAGUCUCAUGUUACAUAUUCAUGCAGUUACGUAGUCGCCAGUUUUUGCGACAUUAUCUUGACAAAAUCUGAAAUUGACUAUCUGCGACCUAGUAACAAAAUUUACCCCAAGGUAUGUCAUUGUAUUAUCGCUUUUAUAAGCGGGGUAGGAAGAAUGAUAUAUAGCAGCAGAGUAUAAAUGUGAAGCGGAAACAUUCAUUUCCAGGUGAUGAACAUCUGGGCGGCUUACUUGUCGGACAAGCACUCAGACUCUUGGUUCCUACCCGCCAGUUUCGGGGUAUGAUGAACAUGUUAUUUCAAUUCUAUGUUAUUCCCCUCAGUGCAAUUAUAUGUUGAAAAUGGACUUUGGCAUUGUUGUUUAACAGGAACGAGCUUGUGAUUCAAAACUGACUACACGACGAAAUUGGAUGACAACCAUCAUUGAAGAAUGCGGGUUACACAGGUUUAACAGGCGUUUCAAACAUUGCUCCAAGGUAUUUAAAUUAUUUAAAUACAACAAAUUAAUUACCUUGAAGGGCUGAUAACCAAAGAAGUACUUUCUUGAUCUAGAUCCUUGUCCCUUUGCUUGAUGUGACAUCGAACCACUGGUUUUUGCUGGUAACGAGACCUGCUGCUAAAGUGGUUGAGAUUUGGGACACCAAACAACAAGAUAUAUCGGCUUCAACCAGAACGUAUUUUGAAAGUAGAAGGCUCAAUAUGGCAAUAUGUGUGGUAAUAUUUUAUUUUGGACUUUUGGGCUUCUAAGGUUCCAUGUUUUUUUAUAAACUGAGAAUACAUUAUUUUGUUUAACUGUAGAUGAAAUUUCUCCAUAAAGUGUUUUCCAAUGAUAUGACAAGACCGAGGGACACUUGCUACCAUAUUCGGUCAUUCCAGAUAGAUAAUCUCAACGUAAGCAAGAACAACGUUGAUCGCUUUGACAGUGGUGUUUAUGUAAUGAAGCAGAUGCAAGGGUUCGGUGAAGUACCGUCUCAGUUUCAAUCUAUUCACGAGAGGAGUGUGGUGUCCUUGUCAAUUGUGAAGGAUCCCAAGAAUGAAAAGCUGAAGUCAAUGAAAGAAGCAGCAGGUUUAAAGCAAACAGAGCGUUCUAUUCCUACAAAACCGGUCGGCAUUCACACAUAUGAUGAAGCAGACUCAGCUAACUGUGACAAUAUUCCAAAGGGAAGGAAGUCUCGCUCUCACCGUCGGAGAAGGGGUCACAGAUGAUUUUAGGCGGCUCAUCAAUUUACGCAUUCUAGUUUUGUUUUAUUUUCUUAGCUUUUAUGACAGUUGAUCAUGUAUAUAAAGGCUACUAAAUUCUUACUAAAUUCUGACUAAAUUCUUAUAAAGUUGGUGUUUAUCUCUUGAAGUAGGUGAGGAACAAAUGAACAGAAUGAAUGCUAUAUUCUGAAAGUAAACAUUGACGAUGAAAUGUUAAAAUGUAUGAAUACAGCCCAACAUGUCCUCACAAUAACUGCAUAAUAACACACUAUUGAAUUUUAUUUGUUUUCAGAUUCCCCUGUCAGCCAGAUCGUGUUCUCUUAGGCAUUCCAUAUAUAACAUCCAUGGAGGUAUCAAUAUAUGAUUUGCGAUCCCUCUUCAACACGUCCAUUGUUAGCUUAUCACAGAACACAUAACUAUUUUCCUCACGCGGGUGUUGCGAAGUAUGAGUAGUCUCUGUCCCAUCUUCACUGUCUGAAGUGAACCCGGUUUUACUCUCCGGUGAUGUAUUAUCCGUUGUCGCAUUCAAAUCUCCUUCUGAUUCGUCACUUGCUUCCUUAUCAUUCCCAUUCUCUAUGAAAUGGAACUCGCCGCAUUUUGAUUCUUUAACAUUCCUCGUCAUGUCUGCAGUUUGGAAGACUCCGCUACGUUCCAGCUUGACAUUAAGAUUAAAAAAAUUAAGAGCUAAAACAUUAUUGCAGUCAUGAAAGUGGUAAAUAUAGCAUCUUCAAGACAGCUUAACCAAUCCAUGUAAUCGCAUGUAACCACGGCCACUAAAUAACCUUGGAAGCCCAUGUAAUUCGUUCAAGUGCCGUUGGAUCUCUCUUUUCUUCUCCAUGACAUCAAUUUCCUGGUAUAUAGCAAUUGACAAACGUGACAGUCAGACUCGUGCAACAUAAUUUACCUGUGCCAUACAUAUUCUACAAAACUCACAUGAAGCCGUUUGAUGUUUAACAUUAUGUCCCUUGCCUCCAGCGACCGAUUUUGGGCUACGGCGGUCAGUCCAGCAAUUUGCCUUAAAAGUGAAUCUACUAGUGUUGUGGUUACCUACAACCGUCCAACCGUUGUCACUUGUAGCAAUCAAUAUUAUGUAAUCUAUCAAACAUAGCUAGAUGGAAACAUUACAAGGAUUAACUUACGUUUACAAAUGACCGGUUGGCGUGUAUGUAUUUAGUUGUAACAUUGUCUGGUAUAGGAAUGGACUCAAAUCCGCAUCCAUCUACUAGUGAAACCAGAGUGAUGGCAUUUUAAACUGCUGUUCCGUCGGUUUUUUAACAAUUGGUUGCUGACAUUGAUGUUGGUUAUUUCUUAUUGAAGAAGAGGCAGCCACCUUUCCAUCAUGUUUGUUCGAUUCAUCAUGACUUGGUUCUGGCAUUACGAACAGUGGUUCCAUAGGAAUGGAAGCCCCAUGUUUCUGAGCCGCACCCAGGAUACUCUUUACUGAAGAAGAGGCAACCACCUUUCCGUUUUGUUUGUUCGAUUCAUCAUGACUUGGUUCCGGCAUUACGAACAGUGGAUCAGCAGGGAUGGAAUCCCCAUGUUCUUGAGCCGCGGAAAGGUUAGUCGUUACUGAAGCAGAGGCAUCCCCAUGUUUGUUCCCCAUGUUGAUUCAUCCAGACCUAGUCGCCCCCGUCCUCGUAUCGGCAUUAUGAACAGGGGUUCAGGCGGGAUGUUAACAAUAUCACCCUGAGCCACACCAAGGUUACUUCUUAGUGAAGCAGAACCAUCCCCCUGUCUUGAUCGUAAACGUGUCCGCAUCAUGACCAAUGGUUAGUCGGCGAGGUAUACAAUCUUCGGCUGCGGAACCUUCUCUGUGUUUUUGACAUUUUUGGGUCGUCCCUGUCGCCGUUUCGGAACAUCAGGCUGCGGAACCUUCGCUGUGUUUUUCACAUUUGUUGGCCGUCCCCGUCGCCGUUUCUGAACAUCAGGCUUCAAAAGGCCCUCUUUUCUAACACCUUCCAUUAUAACAAGAUCAAGCUGCUAAACUACUAAGCUCCCAAUGUGGUUUUGCACUGUUACGAACACUGAAAUGGGUUCUGUAAGAAAGAAGAGAAAGCAAAUACCGCAGCAACCAAAUGAGGUGAAAAUCGAAUAAGGGAAGAAGAAUAAGAAAAAGAAAAGGCUAAUAGGAGAAUCAGAUUGAGCACUGUACUAAUCUAUCAAGGAUUCUGCUAUGUGUUCAAAAUCGACUUACCCACAGGCGGAUCGAAUAGCAGAUAGCCACGAACGUGUGUAGUUAUUGCUGACAAAAAGCCGUCCGCCAAAAGCCGGCUCCUCCUCAGUUAGGACAAAAUGGGGGUCUUAAGGGUUUUUUAUAGACAAUUUUGAUUGUACGGAAUUACCCUUGUUAGAUUAUGAUGGGCCUGCUGGGCUAACUUGAAUAUUUUCCAACGUUAGUUUUAAUCAGGUCCUUCAUCAACCAACCCAGUAGCAUUUGGACUACUACCCUCCAAAUAUUUAGAAAUUAUAAAUAUACACACAAGUGACAAAUCAGGGACCUAAACAGAGAAACUGAUCUCAGAAGAUUACAAGAGUCUAUUUAGGGUUGUACCCAUAUAUUUAACAUUUGAUUACUACAAAAUGGUGAUUAGUCGAUCAAUGAGACUAAUUCGAUUAUAUAUUACAGAAAUUCAUACAUCGGCUACAUCCAAUGUUCUCAUUGCUCAUCGUCAUCAGAAAAUCUUGCGUUCCACGCGUUCCACAAACAAUUAUCAAAGUUGAUGAUCUCAGCAUCAGCUGAGGCACGUUCCGACAGAACUAAGCUGUCCACCAUUGCACAACAACAACUCCAACUUCGUUUAAUUUUCAAACGUCUAAGCACAGGCGAGCACAAAAGUAGAAAUUUAACGAAGUGCAGUUCAGCAAUAGGUUGGAGGAUGCCAGAUAUAGUAAUAAUACCCAAUUGGUUAAACUGGUAACUCUGUACGUCACUCCUCCGACACACAUCUUCAACUACAACCUCGCCUUCUGGAUCAUGAGCACCUCUGGAACGAAGUUUCAGGUGUUGUAGUGAAGGGUAGCAUCUCAGAAGAGAAAGAGUAGUCAAGACCUCCUCACGAUAAUCGUAGUCUAUGCAAAUGGAGAGAUAAGUUAACUGAGAACAGGAUUUUGGGAGCACGCUACGCAUUCUUGCCCAAGAGUAACCAACGGCCAAAUACUGAUAUGACAAAACAAAUGUAUGAAACCAUGUUUAUUCAAAAAUGUAUGCUCAAAUAAAUGUUCAAAAAUUAAGAAAUGAUGUUUACCUUCAGAAAGUAACCAUUAAUAUUAAGCCUUCGAACCUAAGGCAGGUCACUCAAAAACUCUACCAAAUGACCAUCACUGGAAAAAUCAGCAACAAAUGCGUGGUCAUACAAAUCAAUGGAAAUUUCAGUAAGCUUUCAGUGUUCUUCAGAGUAACAUGGUCAAAACAACCUGACAGUUCAAGACAUUAGAGUUUUGGUGCAUUAAUAUUGAAAUGGUAGAAAACAUCAUUGUCCACCAUUGUCAACACUUCAAGGGAAGCACAGUAACCCAACAAUUUGUCAAAAGUAUCUUGCGUCAUCAAAACAUUUCGAAAUAAAACUCUCUUGAACCUCUUCAUUCCUCUACUGAUUGUAGGCGGGGGAUCCAGCACACAAGUAUAUAACUCAAGGCAUUCAAUAUUAGGCAUGGUAUACAUACAUUUAUGGAUUGGGUAGUAAUCCCAAUGGCCAAAGAAGAUAUCAAGUGCGAACUCUUUCAUUGACUUUUCUGAUAGCAGAACGAUCCAUCCAUCAAUCUCACCGGGUUCGAUACUACCAUUGUAUGAAACUUUAAACUUUCUAAUGUCACUACCAGAAGAAAGACUUUAGCCAACAAAAAUAAAAAAAUCAGGCCGAUGAAUUAUUUUUUCGUCGGUUAAAGUCCACGUUAGUCGACGAAAUUUUUCUUCGUCGGCUAAUUUAAAAUUUCGUCGGCUAAAAUUAUUUUUUCGUCGGCUAUAAAAUUUCGUUGGCCAAAGUUUUCCUUCAUCAGCCAAAGUUUUUACUUGUCGGCUAAAGUAUUUUAGUAGACGAAAAAAAAUCUCGUCGGCUAUUAUCGAAAAAAGUUGUCGGCUAAAAGAAAAACAAUAAAAUGUUGUAUAACUUGCUUAAUAGGUUUUAAACAAAUACACAACUUUGUGAAUUAACUCUACAUAGAAGCAAAAUUAACAAAAAUCUCGUGAAAUAAGAUGUGUUCAGAAUUGUGAAAUACGGCUAUGGUUCAAAAAUCACGUAAAUCAGGUAACGCCUCUGAUGUAGAACAGUCGAAACCCGGUAUGCUGCAGAUUUGGCGUUCGGUGUCCGAUUGACUAUUGUGACACCUUUCCUGAAGCGUAACGGCCUUACGAGUCAAACUCAUUGCUUUGCCAUGACAUAUGGGCCUUUUUGGCCAUCCGAGUCCGUUUAGGGCUUCAAAAGGCAGUUUUCUUAUUUCCGAUUAGAAUUGACCGUUUCGAUUGAGCCCUUAACGUUGUCGAAUCCAGUUGAAUUUUUUACCAUAGACAUCUUUCGUCAUAAUGAUUAUAUCUGAUGGUCGAAUUUUGGUUUGUGAAUUUUAGUCAUCGGAAUCACAACGUGUCUACUAAUGUUCUAUAACUUGUUUAGUAGGUUAACUCUACAUAGGAAGCAAAAUUAUCAAAAAUCUUGUGAAAUAAGAUGUGUUCAGAAUGGUGAAAUACGGCUAUGGUUCAAAAAUCACGUAAACCGGGUAAUAUCUCGGUGACGAUAGUAGCGGUCAACCCUAUUUACCGUUAUUAUUCCCUAUGGGGAGCCCUAUCGUUGGAAGGUAUAUAUCUCAAAAUUUUUAUAUGGGCAGUUGCGUCUCAUCUACGUGAGAGUUUUUCAUGUGGAAGGUUUGACCAAACUGUGUAAUAUAGAGGGAGAUAUGAGCGUUUUCGUGUGAUAAGUGACGAUGGAUUAGGGUUGACCGUUUCGAUCGAGCCCUUAACGUUGUCGGAUCCAGUUGAAUUUUUUACCAUAGAAAUCUUUCGUCAUAAUGAUCAUAUCUGACGGUCGAAUUUUGGUUUGUAAAUUUUAGUCAUCAAAAUCACAACGUGUCUACUAAUGUUCUAUAACUUGUUUAGUAGGUUAUACAACUUUGUGAACCAACUCUACAUAGGAAGCAAAAUUAUCAAAAAUCUCGUGAAAUAAGAUAUGUUCAGAAUGGUGAAAUACGGCUAUGGUUCAAAAAUCACGUAAAUCGAGUAACGUCUCGGUGCCGAUAGUAGCGGUCAAUCCUAUUUAUCAUUAUUAUUCCCUAUGAAGAGCCCUAUCGUCGGAAGGUAAAUGUCUCAAAAUUUUUAUAUAGGCGGUUGCGUCUCAUCUACAUGAAGGUUUUUCGUGUGGAAGGUUUAACCAAACUACGUAAUAUAGAGGGAGAUAUGAGCGUUUUCGUGAAUUUAUAGACUUUAGCCGACGAGAUAUUAAAAAAGUCGUCGACUAAGGUCAAAUUUUUUUUCCCGGUAAACCAAAUUUGGAAGAAAAUUUUCAAAGGACUGUAGCCGACGAAAAUAUAUGAAAAGUUGUCAGCUAAAGUCGAAAAAAUUUGGCGGCAAACCAAAUUUGGGGGAAAAUUUUCAAAGGACUUAACCCGACGAAAAUAUAUGAUUUCGUCGGCUAUUGUCAAAAAAAUUUUGGCGGUCAACCAAAAUUUUCAAAAGAGUUUAGCCGACGAAAAUAAAGAAUUUCGUCGGGUAAAGUUCUUUAUAUAGGAGUUUUACCGGAAGUGGAUGGUAAGAAGUUAAAAAAUCAGAAAAAGUUACUGUUUCGCCUGCCGGAUUUUCUUCUCGGCCUCACUCCGCCAUCAAGCCAUCAGAGACCGCCACACUUGUCCCAAAAGCUUCGCCGUCGUCUCUACUUCAUUGUUGGACAGGUGGUGCAUUGAGUGGCGCUGCCGUGAGGGAUAAAUCGAGCUCCAAAACUCCGCCGGUUCGGAUUCGGUGUCGAUCGAAUUUCUCCUUCCUCAGGUCACCAUUUGGUGAGUUCUAUAUAAGAAUAAAUUGAGUUUGAUUAGUACUACAUUCUCCUAGAAUUUGGUAACUCAAUUCGGUGUGUGUGAGGAGAAUCGAAUAUUUGAAGUUUUUAGGGUUUAAAAUUGGGGAUUUUUAUAUUUUGAUUCAAUUGACCUGUUUAGGCUUAGAAUUGGGCUUCGACUUCUUCUAGAAAGUUGUUCGAAAUGUUGAGAGGAAGAUUCUGUCAAAUUUUGGUGGUGAUUAAAGGUGGCCGAAAGUUUCGGCAGUUUUUUUUUUUCAAAAACCAGCAACUUUAGCCGACGAUAUUUAAAUAUUUUAGCCGACGAUAUUUAAAUACUUUAGCCGAAGAUAUUCGUCGGCUAUAAUAUUUUUAAUUUUUUUAUAAGGUUUAGCCGAAGAAUUAUGACAUGUUUCGUCGGCUAAACACUUCUAAAGCCGACGAAACAGACUAUAUUUCGUCGGCUAUAGUUUUUUUUUUUUAUUACACACUUUAGCCGACGAAUAUCUUAAAUGUUUCGUCGGCUAAAGUCUGGGAAAAAAACUGACGACAUGUUUUUCUUCGGCUAAACUCUGGGACUAUAGCCGACGACGUCUUCUUGUUUUGUCGGCUAAAGUCAUCGCCGACGACAUUUUCCCGACAAAAUCUUAGCCGACGAAUUAAGCUAACAGGCCUCGGCUAAAAUGCUUGUCCUGGUAGUGUGUGCUCCCUAUGAUUUCGUAGUACCUGAUUAACCAUGUUGACAAAACUUUCAUGUUGCAAACUUUGUUGAACACAAGUUCUGAAAGCGUGGUUGGUGUGUGCUGCCGUCGCGUAGAUAAAACACAAGUCCUAACAGCAUCAUCGAUCGGCAAUAAGCAUAAAAUUUUGUCAACUACCUCGUCUGGUAAGUUUCUAAAUGGGUCCAUCUUGUCUAUUUUGGAAAUUUUGUUAAGGAUCGAUACGGGAAAGGAUAGACUCAUGAUGUAUAACUUGGAUCUAUACACAAAAAAGCCGAUAAAAAAGGGUAAAACAAAUCUCAGAAUGCAUGAAAAUGGAAAUGAUUCAGGGCCUUUAUAAAAACCGCAAUCAAUGCAUCUCUGUACUAAAGUUUAUGACUAUUUAUCAGUG
rnacentral:lncRNA from 1 species